rnacentral:lncRNA from 1 species
AGAAAGCAACCUAACAUACACAAAAGAUGCAAUUAUCUUGUGUGUUUGUUGUUUUAAUACCUUCCUCCUUCUAGUAAUUAUGGUAACUCUUUUUGAUAGGUUUAUCCAGGUUUAUACGGUGAUUCCAAGACUCACUUCUAUGUUUACUAGACGGUGAGCCAUCUUUCCUAUUUGUUUAGAAAUUACUCAUUUUCUCUUACUAAAGUUACUUUUAUAAUGAUAUUAUAGCGUGAUGGUUAUCAAAGAACGGGUUGCUAUAAUUUGAAGUGCCCUGGCUUUGUUCCUGAAGCUAAUGUACCUAUGGUUCCUGGAGUUGUUAUUCAUGCGGUAUCUGAUCCCAAUGGAGUCAAACGUACCAUCAUCUUCAAAAUUUUAAAGGUAGAAGGAAUGUGUCCCUUCCUAAUAUUUGUAAAAUGAGUAUAGAAAUGUUCAUCCUACUUUCCAAUGGUUAUGCAAGUUUGGCUAUGCUUAGAAACUUAUUGUAUGCCUUCUUUAUAAUCGUAAUCUCCAAUUUUUUUUAAAAAAAAAUCCAAAAUCGUACCGAAGAUUGGUUGGUGCACCUUGGAUUUGACUCUGAACCAUAUUUGAUUGGGCGAUUCCCUAAAUCCUUAUUCACUAGCCUGGGUAACCAAGCAAAUGAAAUUCAACUUGCUGGUACCGUGGUAACUCCAACAACCCACUUAGCCCCAAUGGGAAGUGGAUCCAAACAAUGUAAAAGCAGCAGCAUUCAACAAUAUUCAACUUAUUGAUCAGAAUGGCAAAGCAUACAUGGUUCGACAAGAUUUGCCUACCUUUAUGACUGAUAAGAACAUAUAUUCUGUCUCCCCAGUCGGUGUUGAUGGCAAAUUCACCUAUGGUGGGCCUUUGGAAUGAGAAACAAGAAUGUAUUAGACUACAUCUCUUUGAAUAACAGUAAGAGAAUGUAAUCCUUUGUUUCAUGGCAUCUAUUCUUAUGCAAAAAAAUUAAAAGUAGUGGUUUAUAUAACCUGAAACUAGGUUCCUAUAUAGGACUUUAACCACCUGCAGCCUGAGGGGAUGAAUAAGAAGCAAUAAUAAUUUCUUCAUGAAGAAGAACCUACCCUAUAUCUCGGUUCAACCCAAUGCACCUCUUCUCACAUUCGCCAAAUCCACGUAGUCACAUCAAAUCUACUGAAUCGAGUGAUGUUGGGAAAUCUUAGAGCAAAGUAGAAGCAAAUAUGAAUCGAUCGAGGCAAAAUUCAGUACAAAAGAUCGCUACAAAACCUACAACCUUUCAUUUCAAACUAAGACCUCCGUUCUAGUUUUGAAAAUCGGAUUCUCUAUUUUUUUGAGGGAAAUCAACUACUAUGGUAUUUUUUAUACUCAACUCCGGUGUUUCGAGUUUCAACAUAGGGAAAAAAGACAUCUAGAUCUUUGGAAAAAAGGCAAAACUUGAUCAAAAGACCCUCAAAAUUUGUGAAUUUUUAACCAUUACUUCUCGUAAAUAUGGUGAGUUUUUGACAAAGAGAUCUCAUAGAAAAUGAAGACUUCACCUCAUGGGUUUGGCCAAGAAUACAAGAAAAAGAGAGUUUUGGUAAAAAAAAAACUCAAGAUCCAUGGUGCCUAUGCAUGAAUUGUCCAGCGAUCAUCCUAGAUGUUAUUGUACAUGUCCUAGCAUUGAUUUGGCCUAAGAAACACACCUCAUUUGGGUACUACUUGGUAGUAUUGGCAUUAGGUCACACAUUUAAGUUAAGCUAGCAGAUUGUUGGGAUUUAAUCCUCUCAACAGCGCAAUCUACAAAUGCGGAGCUAUUACAGUUUGAGAGGGAGGGUUGAAUGUAGAGCUAAAUGCACAUCCAUGAUCCAAUACAAUGGGUUGUCGAAAAAGAAUAAUGCUAUGUAUAAGCAAGCAAAACAACUUAGAUAUUGAAGACAUCUUUUAGUAUCGUACUACUAGUUUAGUGUUUUAAGCUUCCACCUAUAACAAAUAUCUUUUAGCAUUGUAGGAAAGAAUUUUUAAAUGAACAAAAGAAUCUGAAGAAUUUGUUGGACAAUUAGCAAAUUAAAUAGAAAGAAGUAAUUGUUGACUUUUUUCUUGUGGGCAUAGUAUGUGACUCUAAAUUGAGCAGUUUAGCACGGAUGAUGCUUAAUCCUUACGUACAAUCUUGCACUUUAUACUAUUUGUAAGCCGUGUAUAUUAGAAAUAUUGACUUGUGUCAUGCAUGGAUAGCAUAUUUCAAUAUACAGAUGGACCUGAGAUACACUUGAUCGCCCACUGCAUGCAAAUGUGUUGUUCUGAUCUAUUUUUUACAGCUUGUCAUUUCAUUCAUUGUUAGGCAUGGAGCAAAUGCUGCUUCACCAAGUAAAUCAUGAGCUCACGUCUUCACGGUCUCAUUUUUUUAGAUUAAGGAAAGAAAUUUGGUCUGAACAAUCAGCGUUUUGAGAGCUUACAAUCGAAGUGAACAGAAACUGCAGUACUGAGACUGCUUACAACUCAUACAAAACUAGAGUUUGAAACAAAUGAAAACUAGAGUUUGCCACACAAUUUAGCAUGUGAUUCGCUUCAUGAGAUUCCACCCUACCUUGCUGAAGACUUCCAUGACUGUGACCUCCAAUUUUUGCCAAUUUUCCUUUAAGCUACAUCUCUCUUCCUCUUUAGAUAGUAUUGACCGAUCCAAUAUGUCUCCUGAAGAUGACCUGCAAGAACGAGUUAGGUUUCGAUCUUUGGAAGACCACAUCAUUUCUACUCAACCACAAGGCCCAACAUAGGGCAGAAGCAUCAAUUAAAUUUUGAUUUCUUAGUUUAAAAGGAAAACUCUUAAUCCAGAGACAAACAUAUCAACCAUACAAGACUGUGGUUGAAAGCCAAAAGAGAUGCUGACAGCAUUCCAAACAAACCACGCUACAUGACAAGAUCAGCUACAGCACAACCAUCAGCCCAGUUCAAACCAGAGUCCCUUAUAUAUAUACAUUUUCUUGAAAAAUAGCCAACAUUGCUUAAUCUAAUGGCUAGAGUCAAGCCAAACUACCUUGAAUCGUCAAAUGAAUAUUUAUAGUAACCUUCACCACAAACGCAAGACGUCAUUCGAUAUUUUGAUCUGUUUCGUGAUGGACAAGAGCUUUGCUUGGACCACCCACUGCCUGUGCAAGAGCGAUACCAAAGCGGCAGAGCCCAAUAGGAACUAAUCAGGAUAUAUAGGAAGGCGACAGUGCAAUCAGGUGAACUAAUCAGGUUUCUGGUUGGACAUUGAACAUAACUUCUGUUAGUAGUAUCAUUUAUCAACAUAUUUUAUCAAACCCUAUGAACAAGCAUUAAAUUCCACAAGACAUCAUGCCGACAUCGGGCUACGAUUUCUCAGAUUUCAAAUUUUCACGGGAAACACUGGUCAAAUAGAGAGAGCUUAAUUAGAACAUGAUCAGCAUAAACCGUAUAUAUAUAUAUAUAUAUAUAUAUAUAUAUAUAUAUAUAUAUAUAUAUUCUAAUCCAAAGGUGGUCCCUUUUCUUUCUACAGCGAAGAACAAGCAUCUAAUCCAUAGGCAGUCUAUAUAUGAGUCUAUUUACUGUGUCCUCUUCAGAAGCUCACUAGUAGUAUCUUUUAUGUCAACUUGAGGUCCUGUCCUGUGCCAACUUGGAGUCUUGUGUCAGGGCCUGCAACAUGAAGAAAGGUGAAGUAAAGUUAAUGAAUACAAUAGAUGCCAGCAACCUCUAAUUUACUGUUACGUGGAAUUAGCAGAGACGACACUGCUGCAAGUUAGAAAAACCGUGUGCUCCUAGAUUCGAUAAGAUUCAAAGUUAAGUAAAAAAGAAAAGGGGUUUACAUGCACCACGAUUUAUCAAUAUGCAAAGAAGUUCAUCAGUCAAAGAAAUUCAACUGUGGCUUGACCUCCAGAAAACACUUACAGUACCUAGCAAGAAUCUACACGGGGAAAAAAGCAAAGGCCUAAAGGAAAGCAACAACGAACUAGUUUUUUUAUGAAAAAGAUUACAGCAGCGAACAUCUCCUGAUCUCCCAGAGCACUACUACGGGGGUGUUUGGAUACAAGGUACUAAACUUUAGGAGGGUCACAUCGGAUGUUCGGACGUUAAUUAGGAGGACUAAACAUAAACUAAUUAUAAAACUAACUGCAGAACCCCUAUACUAAUUCGCGAAACGAAUCUAUUAAGCCUAAUUAAUUCAUCAUUAGCAAAUGGUUACUGUAGCAACACAUUGUCAAAUCAUGGACUAAUUAGGCUUAAUAGAUUCGUCUCGCAAAUUAGACUCCAUCUGUGUAAUUAGUUUUGUAAUUAGAUUAUAUUUAAUACUUCUAAUAAUUAGACAUCCGAUGUGACAUAUUAUAAACUUUAUGACCUCGCGUCCAAACGGGCCCUACCUCAGCGAGCACAUGCUUCUUUUUUUUCCUAAAAAAGGAAAAGACUUUGAUUAAGCUGCACACCGCACCUGCUCUGCUGCUCAGACGCAGCAGCCGCCACCCAGGCCGGCCAUGCAGCAGGCGCACUCGCGCGCAGCCCGGUCCACCAUCUCCACGCCCCACCACCUCACCCACUGCCUCGCUGAUGACGCGGCGGACGUAGCGCAAGCUGGAGCCAAACAUCCAGACGAGGAACCAGGCUGCGGCCAGCCCCGCGACGAAGAAGCCCCGCCUCCUUCACGGAGACGAGCGGCAUCGCCGGGGUCGGCGCGGGUACGCACAAGGGUAGCGGCUGCUCAACCGGCUGGCCAAGGGGAAAGAAGGGAGGCGGCGGCGGAGCAGACAUUCUCGCUGGCUGCGUUGGGCUCGCUCGAGUCCCUCAAAUCCUGAGUGCACCACCACUUAACUUAGCGGUUGAGAACUUGUUAAUUUUGUAUCAAGAUGACUAGAUUACUUGUUGGUUGCAUUCAUUAGAUCAGUUGAUCGAGGAGCACCUGGACAACCCAUCACUCUCACGAACCCAAAACGGAGCCACACGACACGACUGGCGUCAGAGUCAGGUUCCUGGAGAUGAAGCCGCACGACGACGACUGACUGGCACACGAUGACACGGCAGGGUGUAUAUCUGUUAGUGCUGAUCGAGCAGGAGCGCAGAGCAUAUGACUGCAUGAGAUUUGAGAUGUGCGUGAGGUAACCAUCGAUCUCCAGAGUUGUUGUUGGGUCAAGAGAAAAGGGAUGAAAAGGAGCGGCGGUUUGCAAAUGAUUUGCUUCAGCCUGACGGAAAGAUGUUCGCGAGGCCGGGACAGCGACAUGUCGCCUUCUUCUUCGCCUGACACUGUGCCAGCCCCGGUUUAGCUUGUAAAUCCGGCAGGUUUUCAGAUCCAAAUCUCGAACGGCGCAUACGUCCGAGGGAGGAGUACGUAGGGCGAACUGUGUGAGUAGAAUAAUGCAGCAACAGCCCGGCCGUGCAUUGCAUGGGUCAGAUCUGAAAUCUCAAAUCUCUGAACCCUUCCAAGUCAAGCGUCCAACGACCCACUUCCUACCGCAGCGAGAGGUUUUGCAUUUCACACCUUGCGUCGUCUCGUUUAAGCAGAAAAGAUGACUUGAUUCUCUCGAUAGUGACGCUAGAAGCCUUCAAGCCUAGAACACAAAUGGGCACGGCCGAGUCUCCAUUGCUGACACUUGCAGACUCCAUGGUUUUUUGGUUUUACAAAAACAAGGUAGUUCGUGCAAAGUUUGGCUACAUCCAAAACCGUGAACAAUAAACAUUCAUGGAGCCAUUUGAUAACAUAACUUUACUAGAUUCCAAAUCAACCACGAUAAGAUCAUGCAGACUAACUUUGCAUAACAUAGGUGUCCUCGUCUCCCAAAAUUCAGUAACCGAGAGAUACCAUGAAUUAAAAAUGGAAAUUCAAAUGCUUACUAACUAUUUUAUUCAAAACAUCAUGUAUUUAAGUAUGAAAGUGGUACAAGAUAUGCAAAGUUUGCAUAUUGUAAAGAGCACUUCAAAGACUUGUGUAUUUUGGAUGUUAAGUGUCAACGGAUGCUGAGGGGACGACCCACGUGGCAACCUGGACCUGGUGACCAGCAAUUUAGUUUAUCUUAUGAGUUAAUGAAAUUUCGGACUCAAUUCAAAAAGAAACUUACCUAUUGUGGAAAUAUACAAAACUAACAUUCGAUAAUCGAGAAAUAAUGAAAUUCAAUAUAAGACAGAUUCAAACUAUUGGUACUAGCCACGAAUCGUGCCAUGCCACUCAGUUGGCAGGCAACUUUGUGCAAGUUUUAUCCAAUUCACCACGCCUAUAUCCUAGCACGUACUCUCUCUCCCAAAUUAAUAUUCGUUUUAGUUUUUUAAUUCAUAAUUUUUGCUAUGCACCUAAAUAUAUACUAUGUCUAGAUACAUAGUAAAAGUCAUGUAAUUAGAAAAGCUAAAACGAAUAGUAAUUUGGGAAGGAGGGAAUAUCACUUGAGUGUGUUAGAUGUAAUAUGUGUGAAAGUUUAAUUUGGAUAAGGAAUACCGUACUUGUCCGGCCAACACUAACUAAUUAAUAGUUGGGGCACGUGUAAAAUCUUGACGCUAUAUACAGGGGACAUCGCUAGAAAUGCUGGGAUACAUUUCAUAUACGUAGUGGGCUGCUACAAUUCGCUAGGCAAAUUGAGAGUAUUUGUUAACAAGAUUUGGAUAAUUAGCCAGCAAAAAAGCAAAUUAUUGGAGGGCCUGUUUGAAAGGAUCGCACUGUUUGGCUCGUUUCUUCUUCUCCUCCUCCGCAUGCCUACCUCCUCCUAACCCACCAUCGAGUCACCAACCUCGCACCCGCCACCGCCUCCGCUUGGCCGCUCUCCCGCCAUGAAGCAGCUCCACAAGUCAUCCCCCACCCACGCGCCGUCGCCGGCGCACGCUCCGGCGCCGAAGGCGGCCAAGCAGGCGCGCCCUGGCCCGCGCUCCUGGAUCGGGUACCUCCUCCGCGAGCAGCGCCUCCUUUUCGUCGUCCUCGGCGCGCUCAUCGCCUCCACCUUCUUCCUCCUCCGUCCCUACCUCUCUCUCUCCCCAUCCUCCCACCUCCCCGACGCCCGCCCGCUCUUCUCCUUCGCCGCCCGCUCCGGCGUCCCCGCCGGGUACCGCCCGCCGCCGCGCCGGGUCGUCGUCACCGGCGGGGCCGGGUUCGUCGGCAGCCACCUCGUGGACCGGCUCCUGGAGCAGGGCGACAGCGUGAUCGUUGUCGACAAUUUCUUCACGGGCAGGAAGGAGAACGUCGCGCACCACCUCCGGAACCCGAGGUUCGAGCUGCUCCGCCACGAUGUCGUCGAGCCAAUUCUCCUCGAGGUCGACCGGAUCUACCACCUCGCGUGCCCCGCGUCGCCUGUGCACUACAAGUACAACCCGAUCAAGACGAUCAUAUCCUUCAUUGCCGGAUCUGCAUCUUCUUUUGAUUUUGCUUACAUUGAAAGCAACUUGAUCUGAUCACAUCUUCUCAUUUUGUUUUUGUCUUUUGUCGGUGGGUGGGUGGGUGGAUGGUAAAUAUGCCCGAAACAAUUCGGAUAUAAUUGGGGAUCUGGGGUGUGGGGAAUGGGAAGACAGACAAAACAUUGUUAACUGCUGUCAAGCGUAGAACAGUCUGGUAGAAUUCGGCUUUCUGUGUUAGUUUUGCUGUCCAAUAGAUUUGUCAUCUGCCACUAAGACUAUCGUUUGACAUAGAAUUGUGAUCACCAUAAAAUGCACUAUCACAAUGUUAUCAAUCUGGACAUGCUUAAGGCGCGCAAAAAGAUUGACUGGGCAUACUUAAGGACCAAUUUAGAUAACAUCAUCUCCUUGCUCUUGUUUAACUGAAUAUUCUUAGGGAUCAAUUUGUGUAGUAUUAAGCUAGGGAUUGGGCCAUUUUAGUUUAGUAAUUUGAAACCAAAUCUAAAGGGAGUCCUGCUGUAUGAGUAGAUCCUUGAUAUUAUUUUCUUGGUGGUGUGACUUUGUGUGUCAUUUUUGUAUCCAAGAGGUGGUCAUCACCAUGUAUUUAUGUUCAUUAUUAGUACAAGAGUUCUGUUAUUUCAAUAAUUUUGAAAUUGAGCUUCUUAACAAUUAGUACAAGACAAAUGUCAUGGGAACCUUGAAUAUGUUGGGUCUGGCAAAGCGAAUUGGUGCAAGGUUCUUGUUGACUAGCACAAGUGAAGUUUAUGGUGAUCCACUUGAGCAUCCACAGAAGGAGACUUACUGGGGGCAUGUUAAUCCUAUAGGUACCCAGUGACGCGCUUGUCUAGUUAUUGCCUUUUAAGCCUCUUUAUUCUGUUCAAAGCAUCACAUAUCACCUCCCACAAAAUCAAUCCCUUUGUUUUUCUCAGGUGUUAGGAGCUGUUAUGAUGAGGGAAAGAGAACAGCAGAGACUUUAACCAUGGACUAUCACCGUGGUGGUGGUGUUGAGGUAAUACUCCAGUCUGUGUAGUCAAAUAUGAUAUCUUGUGAUCUGAUGAGAAAUUUGUUGUAUAGGCUUUGAAGCCUUUCAAAAUUUUGUUUUGCAUUUACUUAACUGGCAAAAUAAGGAAACUCAGUGAACACACAAUCUAAACUUCUUCAUAUCAUAAAUUUUCGAUUCUGCUUUAGUUCUUGAUUACUGAUACGAUCUGGAAAGAUACAGUUCUAUUAUGGACAACUAUUUCAGCUCAGGAAAACCUAAAUGAUUGUAAAUGUUCUUAUAUUUCCCAAUUGGCAUGUGGAUUUAUUUCAUUAGCAGUUACUCAAAUUAUACUAGGUUUAAUAUAUAUUUAUUAUUUGCAUUAAUAUCCUGUUUCUGCAAUUUUUCUUUGAUCAAUCUUAAGAGAAUGUAAAAUAAAAGGGUACAGCUCUGUAUUUGUUAUCAAUGCAGUUUAUGUGACCACAAUGUCUUAAUUGCUAUUACUUGUUGGAUAUCUUUCACUAACUGAUAUAUACACAGGUGCGUAUUGCUCGCAUUUUCAAUACAUAUGGUCCUCGUAUGUGCCUCGAUGAUGGUCGUGUGGUCAGCAAUUUUGUUGCACAGGUCUGUUUGUCACAUAUUGUGGGUUCUAUUUUCCAUAGCUAUAAGUUGUUGCGCAUCUAAACAUCCCUCUGGUUUGACUUGCAGGCACUACGUAGACAACCAAUGACAGUUUAUGGUAAUGGAAAACAAACUCGAAGUUUCCAAUAUGUUUCUGAUCUGGUAAGCAUAAACAUUCUUAUUGUGCUAUGUCUGUGGACUGUGAUAUCAGUUAUAAUUCUUCUGUGCUCCCUAUCGCAAGUGAUCUGGGCAACACUCUCUUAUGCUGUUGUAUAUCCUAAGAAUCAACACAAAAUUAAGUGUUAUGCUUGUCACAUCAGCUUUUGCACUGUCCAAUCUCAUGGCAAUUGUUACCAGCACAUAUUGAUGUUCAUAUUGUUGCCACAUUUUUCCAAUUCGGAGACAGAAUUUUCUAUGACUUCGAUCUUAUCUUGUGCAUUGCAAAUUUAUAAUUAAUAGAUGAAGUCUGACCCAUGGAUGCACAUACAUUUGCAUGCCUAUUAUUAAGUUUUUCAUAUUCUUUCUCAAUAUCUUUUUAGGUUGCUGGACUGAUGGCUCUUAUGGAGAGUGAUCAUAUUGGUCCAUUUAACUUGGGAAACCCCGGAGAGUUUACCAUGUUGGAGUUAGCACAGGUAUGUAACAGUUAGUUUUAAAUAAUGUUUUUUCAUCUCGAAAUGGUGUGAAGCUGAUCAUCAUGCAUUUUCCAGGUUGUGAAGGAAACAAUUGAUCCAAUGGCAACCAUUGAGUUCAAACCCAAUACGGCUGAUGAUCCCCAUAUGAGAAAGCCAGAUAUCACCAAGGCCAAGCAACUGCUUCAUUGGGAGCCAAAGGUCUCUCUCAAGGAAGGCCUUCCCUUAAUGGUGACAGAUUUCCGUCAAAGGAUCUCGGAUGAGUAACCGAAGCAAUGUUGUGGUAUUGGUGACCCAUUUGAUUCUGAAUGAUGCUGCAAAUAUGGUGAGAAGCACUUCAUCAACUGAAGCCACGCAGUACAAUGUACUGUAUACAUGAUAGAUUCUGUAGAAUCUCGUAGUCCCCACUUGAAAUAUGGGGAUUCUGUCUACGGGAAUAGUGCCUUUUCCUGUGAAAUAGCUGCAAAGUUCAUGUGAAAUUCAUAUUAAUUUUAUUUGUACCUUGGCGAGACAGAACAGAAGUAGUCAAUUAAUUUUGUGCAUGUGUGGAAGAAUUCCAGAUGUGGUCGGUGAGAGGUAGGAUAUAAUACUGUAUUUCAUGAGCCUUUGUAACACGACAUUAUGGAUGCUUGAUUAUGUGAAAAAUGUAAUUGAACGUGUUUUGCCAGCUCAGUCUUGUUGCUAUUGCAUAAUCCAACUGUCAAUCCACAAAUUCCCCUUUUAGUUUUUUGAGAGUGAAAUUCCCCUUUUAUUACUGAACGAACAACUCAACAAACUAUACAAUAUAUGUUUCCGAACGGUUUUCGGAUACAAUCUUCUCGUGAAAAGUUGAUUCUCCAGUAAGUGGAAGCCAACUUGCAGCAUGUUAAGUGAACAAGUGUUUCUUCAGAUUCUGUAACCUUCUACUUGAGAUGCACACUGAAACUGAGCCCACUGCUCGAGCUGACAUCACCACCCAUUUGAGGCGCAUCUGCUGCUCUGACGACGGCGAAACCAGCGGCGCCGCUGUACCGCCCCGUCCCUCCGACCACCGCGACGUGAGACUCCUCCUGGUCGUCGCGGCGGACCCCGAAGAACCUGAGGCUGUCGUCGGCGCCAUCGCCGGCGAACGAGGCCCUCACGGCCACCAUGUGGCUGCUGUUGUCUGCCGAGCUGGUGACGAGGACGCCCUGCAGCCUCCCUUCCAGAGGCAGCCCGAACUCCUUCCUGCCGCGGAGCUCCUCGUCGACGACGGUCACCGUGCCGGGCCGGAGCGCGCCUGGCCGCGUCAAGGCGCGCAGCCAGCUGCCGUGGUGCCCGAUCGGGCCCUCACUGGUAAAGACAGCGUGAUGCGAGGAAGCAGCCGUGGCUUUGGGUGUUGCGUGGCCAGCGGUGUAUAGUGUGAUCGUCUGGCCGGAGCCGGGGGAGAGGGCCGGGGGACUGUGACGUGCCGGCCGGCCGGCAGCCGCCGUGCUUGUCACGGCCAGCAGGAACGCGAGAGCAAUGCAGGCUUGCUUGAGGAAACGGGUGCAUGAUGGCGCGUGCAUCUCAAAUGUUUGGUGUUUGAUGAUGGGGCGUGGUGCCUGCAAAGAUUUCGGUUAGGUGAUCUGGAGUGCAAAUGGUUGGAUAAGUAAGAUCAAAGGGAGUUGGUUUAUGAGCCAAACCACUCCAUUAGGUCUGUUGGAGUAGCAGAAACAACUCUCAGAAUCUGCUGCCUGGACCGUGCGCGCACGUGUGCGCAUCGAAAGUUCAGUGUACGUAAUGCGCCGAAAUUCGCUUUCUUCUUUAGGCUGCAGCUAGCCGACAUAGUCAUGUUUAGUUCCCUCCAAACUUCCAACUUUAACACUAUACAAAAAGAAGAUUUCUCGUCACAUCAAAUUUGCAGUACAUGCAUGGAGUACUAAAUGUAGACGAAAUCAAAAACUAAUUGCACAGUUUUGUUGUACUUUGCGAGACGAAUUUUUUGAGUCUAAUUAGUCAAUAUUUGAAUAAUAAUUCACAAAUACAAACGAAACGCUACAGUUACACAUUUAUGGCAAAAUACCAAUUUUACCACUCUCAAAUUGGAAACUAAACGAAGCUAUACGAUUUCAAGGAAGGUUUACGUAUAUUUUGGUAAGAGUCGAAGGCUCCGGAAGCCCCUGGGCGGCCGCGCACUUUUAUUUCGGCCCAGCGGGCAGUGGCCCAUCAUGCCCUCUUCUAAGUCGCGUCCUCCCCUCCCUGGCCAACCAUUUCUCCCUUCCUCCCCUCCCAAAUUUGUUGCGGCGGGAGAGAGGCUCGAGAGAGACACAGCGCGUAGAAACCGGCGGCGGCGGGCGGUAGCGGCGAUGAGGAUCGAGGAGGUGCAGUCGACGUCGAAGAAGCAGCGCAUCGCCAUCCACACCCACAUCAAGGGCCUCGGCCUCGACGUAGCUGCCCCCAUCCCUCUCGCUUCUCCGUUCCCCUCUUCCCGAAGGGGAGGGUUUUUCUAGGGUUUUAGCGUCUCUGUGUCUGCGUAGAUCCUCACUGCCUUGUUUGUGUUUUUUUUGUGGGAGCAGGCCAAUGGAGCGGCGCUUCCGUUGGGGAGUGGAUUCGUGGGGCAGGCGGGGGCGCGGGAGGGGUCCGGGCUGAUAGUCGACAUGAUUCGCCAGAAGAGGAUGGCCGGCCGCGCGGUUCUCUUUGCGGGUCCUCCCGCCACGGGAAAGACGGCGCUCGCGCUCGGCAUCUCCCAGGAGCUCGGAAGCAAGGUGCGUGCCUCCAAUUGCUCUUCUCCUCUCACAAAUCAGCUAAUCGUUAUGGUGGUAGAGCUAGGGUUUUCUUCCUCUCCUUUUGUCCUUUUUUGUGGGUGAUAAUGUUCAAUCUCAUACCAAAACACUGGUCUAGCAUUGGCAGGAAUUAUGCUUUUUGGGAAUUUACAUACUAGUUUGCUGUAUUGAUUCGUGGAUUACCAGUUUUUAGCUACACAAAUUGAAUUAAUCAUUUUAAGUUUUAUUGAGGGUGGCUGUGGAUGAGGACAGACUCUGAUUAAUUCUAGGCCGUCUUUAGUAAGUUAUCUGUAAUUCUGCUUGUGAAUUAGCCUGAUUGGUGAACUACCUCUGAAUGUGGAAGGGCUUAUCAGGUUUCACAAAAAGCCUGCCUACUUAGUUUAUAUCGAGUUUCAUGCUGUAUGCUAGUAGCAUUUGUGUUGUUCUCAUCCAAUAAUUUCCUCCCUUGUUUUGCUAUUCUACAAUGCAGGUCCCUUUCUGUCCUAUGGUGGGAUCGGAAGUGUACUCUUCAGAGGUCAAGAAAACUGAGGUGCUGAUGGAACAUUUUCGUAGAGCUAUAGGCUUGCGUAUAAAGGAAAACAAAGAGGUUUAUGAAGGAGAGGUAAGUAAUAAAUUUGAAAUACAAGGUUAUACUUAAAUUAGUGUUUCUCUUGAUUUAUCAACAUUUUUUAUAAUAACUUCAAUGAUGGAUGUCCACUUCUUGCUUUUAUGGAUUGAUCAUUGUUGCUCUGUUUCCUAGGUUACUGAACUUUCCCCGGAAGAGUCCGAGAGUACAACAGGUGGAUAUGCGAAAAGCAUUAGCCAUGUAAUCAUAGGUCUAAAGACUGUUAAGGGGACUAAGCAACUGAAGUUAGAUCCUUCAAUUUAUGACGCUUUAAUCAAGGAAAAGGUAACUGCCUGCUUUCAUACCACUUCCCCCUGGUGCUACACCUUUGGAUUGCAUUUUUACUCUUCAUAACAUUGGGUGGAUCAGCAACAACAACAACAACAUAGCCUUCCAGGCUCAAGCAAGUUGGGGUAGGCUAGAGUUGAAACCCAACAAGAGCCACCAAUCAGGGUUCGGGCACAUGAAUAGCUGUUUUCCAAGCACUCCUAUCCAGGGCUAAAUCUUUGGGUAUAUUCCAUCCCUUAGAAUCUCCUUUUAUUGCCUCUUUCCAUGUCAAUUUUGGUCUUCCUCUUGCCUCUCUUCACAUUACUGUCACGCCUUAGGGUUCCACUAUGCACCGGUGCCUCCGGAGGCCUUCGUUGGACAUGUCCAAACCAUCUCAGCCGGUGUUGGAUAAGUUUUUCUUCAAUUGGUGCUACCCCUAACCUAUCACGUAUAUCCUCAUUCCGGACUCGAUCCCUUCUCGUAUGACCACAAAUCCAACGCAACGUACGCAUUUCCGCAACACUUAUCUGCUGGACAUGUCGUCUUUUCGUAGGCCAACAUUCUGCACCAUACAUCAUUGCAGGUCUAAUCGCCAUCCUAUAAACCUUGCCUUUUAGCUUCAAUGGUACCCUCUUGUCAUAUAAAAUUCCUGAUGAUUGGGUGGAUAUAAUUGUUUUUUUGCUCAAAUAUGUCUUGAUGCACAUUUUUAACCUUAAGUGGCAUCUUAUUGAUAACUUACUCGGCUGGAAAAUUUUAUGUUAAGUCUCUAUCAGAUGUCCUGUUGUAAACUAGCACUUCUGGAGCUAAGUAGAUCCGUUGACAUUGAAAAAUCAGGCAAUAUUUGCUUUCUGGCUGCUGUGUGCUAUCAGCAUGUUGUUUUUGGUUACUCAUUGGCUGCAUGUGGAAUGCAGGUGGCAGUGGGUGAUGUUAUAUACAUUGAAGCAAAUAGUGGUGCAGUGAAAAGAGUUGGUAGAUGCGAUUCUUUUGCUACAGAAUAUGACCUUGAAGCUGAGGAGUAUGUUCCAAUCCCCAAAGGUGAAGUCCAUAAGAAAAAGGAAAUAGUACAGGUACCAGUCUGAUGCAAUUUUUUACCAUAAGUUUUCGUUUACUUUCUGCAGUGUGCUUUUCACAUCGUACCCUCAUAAUGAAUGUUGUUGUAAUUAAAACAAUAUAUUUCAGACAUUGUUUUGAUCUCCACUUUCUAAGAUGCAAGCUUUGUCCACUAAUUUCUAUUGAUGUCUGUCACUAUGCUGGACAAAAGCAAUUUAAACAUCUUAUUAAAAAUUGUUAUGCUGUGGCUGGCUAUGGUACUAUCAACUUUAGCUACAAAAGUUUCUCUAUGUUUCCCUCCAAAUUUUAUGUCCACCUUAUUCAUCUUUUUCUUUUAAUUAAAUGGAAACUGCAUUCGUAGUCGCUUAAUCAGCUAGUUGGGAGGUACAUUUUUUUGGACAAUCAUAUAAGAUGCGCGCACCAGAUUGUGGCAGCAACAAAUAUGGAAGAUUCAUAUAAUCCAAUAAUAAAUACUGUUUCUUCCUUGGUAGAAUAAAUAUAUGCAUAAACAUAGGUAUAAAAAAGGAUUAUGGCUAUACAAGCUCAUGACUAUCACUCUAUCAGGCAUCCACUUGAGUCCUUUCAACAAGAAUCUUCUUGAGUCCAUUAACUUUAUUCUAUCAUUGCAACUACUACUACUUAGCAAACUUACUGUUCAAUUCAGCUGGAAGAUUACCUAUCAUCUCAGGAAGGAUGAUAUUUUUUUAUGCAAUAUCCGACAAGAAUUAAUGUUCCUAUUUUCAUCCUGUCAUGAAGGUUUCCUGUAUUUGAAUGCUCUUGUUCUGAAGAGGAAAUAAUCUUCUCAUCAUUUAUGCAGGAUGUCACACUUCAUGACCUUGAUGCGGCAAAUGCCCAGCCACAAGGAGGCCAAGACAUUUUAUCACUUAUGGGUCAAAUGAUGAAGCCGCGAAAGACUGAAAUCACUGACAAGCUACGCCAAGAAAUUAAUAAGGUUUAGAUUUUUUUUACUGACAACUUUGGACUGUAUCAUAAUUUUCAGUGUGAACGGUAAUCAUGUACGAAUGAUGGUGGCAGGUUGUAAACAGAUAUAUCGAUGAAGGAAUUGCAGAGCUUGUACCUGGUGUUCUGUUCAUUGAUGAGGUAUCAUUCUGUCCUCGUGAUUGAAAAUCCACUGCUUUCACAUGCUAGAAAAAAAAUUAAGAAAUAUAUUUAAUUCUCGUGGAGCCCUGCUACAUUUGUUGAACUUCAUCGUGUCUUCUGAUUACUCAAAACUAAUCAAUAAUAAUAAUAAUAAAAUUUUCCAGGUCCACAUGUUGGACAUCGAAUGCUUUUCUUAUCUUAAUCGUGCACUGGAGAGCCCAUUGUCACCGAUUGUGAUACUUGCUACGAACAGGGGAAUAUGUAACGUAAGGUAAGCAAUUUUCUUUGAGACUUAAGGUACCCUGCACCUAACUGCAGUACCAGCAUGGACCCGCACUUGUCUAUUAACUUGCACGGUUGCACCUUACACGUUUAACGAAUCUUGUAAUCUUUUUACCCAGAGGUACUGAUAUGACAAGUCCACAUGGUAUACCAGUCGACCUUCUAGAUAGGUUGGUGAUUAUUCGAACAGAAACAUACGGCCCUACUGAGAUGAUCCAGGUUCUUGCUUAUUUUGAGUCUAAUUUCUAUCAGAUUACACGUUUAGGAUUUGCUUUUAAUGUUUAGAUUAUUGCCCUUUGCAGAUAUUAGCUAUCCGGGCACAAGUGGAAGAGAUUGAUAUUGAUGAAGAAAGUCUUGCUUAUUUAGGAGAGAUUGGACAACAGACUUCUUUGAGGUAUGACUUUGUAUUUGUCCAUAGGGAUUAGCAUAGAGGGUUUACUGAUCUCAAACAUAAGUUCAAUGCGGUUUUUAGUCUCCAGAAUUUUGGUGUAUGCUUCCAAUCACAAAAUAAGAAUUGAUGUCACUGUAGUUCAUUGUUGCAAGCCCUCCACCUCUCGUAGGGUAAUAAACGAUGGUAAUAAUAUCUUCAUUCCCUUUGCAGACAUGCAAUCCAGCUGCUAUCACCUGCCAGUGUGAUUGCAAAGACUAAUGGAAGAGAGAAGAUCUGCAAGGUAUAUAUACUGAAUUUUCACUAGAAUGUUGUAUUUUCCUUAGCUUCUUGUUCUUGCAAGCUUAUAUUUCUGAUCCUGUGAUCUUUAUCAGGCUGAUCUUGAGGAAGUUAGCGGACUCUAUUUGGAUGCCAAAUCGUCAGCACGUCUGCUCCAGGAGCAACAAGAAAGAUACAUCACCUAGAUUUCUCCUGUUGUAGAAGUCACCAAGAAAACGUAGCUGUCGACUCUAAUCAUGUACACUGCAUCGGUCUGGUUAACAGGUGCAGAAUCUUCGAGAGUACAUUUGAGGGGUAGUGAUUUUUGUACUCGCUGCUUUGGACUCCGGUUAGUCUCCAGCGAAGACUAUUCCGGCAUAUUGCUUGUUCACAUACUGUUCUCAGAUUAGAUCGGUGCAGGAAUUGUCGUGUACACCCUUGCUAAUCAGUUCCAAGAUUCCAUGUGCUCACGAGUACAAUCUACCAUCAUUGGUCAUGAAAGAAUGCCUUUUGAAUUUUGACCAUAUACUUGAUUUCUAGAAGCCAAUUUUAAUGUAUUUCUUUAUUUUAAGUACAUAUAAAAAUUAACAAAAAUCUUUCAAUGCAUUAGGUUUGAAGGUAAACCUACCGGCAUGCAAAUAGUACAAUUGUCGAGUGUCUUGAGAGUUGAGAAACAUGCAUUUUGUUCCAAGAACAUUCUUCCACACGCUGAAUCAUUCUUCCGCCUAUUUUUCAAACAACUGAUAUUUUUGCACGUUACCAUUUGCCCAUCGUUUUCCCGAUUUCCUGCGGCAACGCGAAGGAUCUCUGGAGCCUGAGGCCUCCUCUCCUGUCGAUGUUGUGACAGAGGAAGCCGCGAUCAGCAGGCGUCCUCUCGUACAUGCCGGUGUCGCUAUUUUCUACCCGGCCGGGGCGUUUUCCUCCCGUCUCAUGAUGACAUGGAAACGUCCGUAUCAUCAUCUCUCAGACAGCGAUGUGUUGUUGCCCUCGACCUUAUUCGACUCCUCUUCCCGCCCGGAAUCGAUCCCCGAGGAGCAACGCUUUGUCAUCUUCACCCGUGCUGCUACAGAGCACUCCUGUGAAAUACAGCAGAUGUACAAUGGCCGCAUUACGGCUCACGGCAUCACCCGUCGUCGUUGCGUGCUCAACGGUAGCGCUACCGCAUCGUCACCGAGAGGCCCUAGUCACCGGAGACCUACACCACUCGAGUCGGGACGCGGCAUCGCACGGCAUCGCCGCUCGCCUCACGUAGUCGUUCCGGGCUUCCGGCAGUGCGGUGCGUCGUCGACCAGUUAAGCUAGGGUGAUCGCGGCGACAACAACGUGAGUGAGGUCCGGGAAAUGACGCACGCGCUGACACCAAUUCCCCUGCAACGCGACAGCCCCGCCUGGGCCGGCCCGCGUCACAGCCGCACACGCUUCUGGCUGCCAGAUAACGUCACCUCUCCAUGGCUCUCCCACUCCCACGCACCGGCCACCGCGCGCGCGCACUUGCUUUUCUAGCCUCGAUUCCGUCGUCCCCAGCAGGUCAAGUUGGUCGUUUCGUUCGACACCGGUGGCGGCGCGCGCGCCGAGAUUUCAAACAGCUCGUACGAACCAGGUGCAUUGCACCUUGCAGCUCCGGGAUCGCUCUCGACCGGCCAAAUAAAGUCUCGCGAUCGACGGCUUGUCUCUCGACGACGUCGCAGCGUGCGCCCCAAGCCGAUCGACGUACACGUCGAGAGCCCGUGUGUGAUGGAGAUUGGGUUUGGGGUGUGCAGUGCAGGGGCGGAUCGGAUAGGGCGCUCGAAAUAUCUCAACAGUAGGUGACAAGUCCCUUUGCUCUUUCCCCUCUGUUUUCUCCAGGCCCUCUGUCCCCAAUUCCCCCCAUAUUGUGUGGCGCGCGUAGGAGCAUCGGGUACGGCGGCGCCCCUUGGCCAUUUCCAGCCUUUUGUGUCGCGGGUCGCAUGAUUGCAAAUGCCCUUGGUUUUGGCUUUCCGGUCGUGCUCGUCAGCUCGUGCGUGGUGAGAGACGUGAGACGGUGGCAGCGGCGACGCAGCGGCGGGGGGUGUGAAAGGAAUCGGCGGGGCGGGUGCCUAUUCGGUCGUACAGUGCGGGUACACUGUGCCGGCCUUGGCGCCCCCCCAAUCAUUUGUACGGGCGCAAUUUCGCCGGCCAACCCGGGGGCGCCACGUGGCCGGAGAUCUCGUGGGGGAGUGUGGGGUGGUCGAUGUGAUGAGAGAUUUGAGAGCGGCGAAAGCCACGUGACCCGGCCGCGCGCUCCCAUUUUCCAGGAGCGGCCAAAGCUGCCUUUGGAGCUCCGCCCGGAUUGCCGGAGCAUGCUACGUACUGGUAGCGACUAGCGACCACUCACCACGCAGCGUCCUUGCUCAUGUCCUGUCGUUCUGAUGAUGUCCAUGCUUUGUACUAGUUUGUAGCGUGCUGCACGUCUACGCUACAAAUUGUUUUGGUGUAUAAUUUGUUGUCUGUUAAACAAGGAUCGAUAAUGUUGGUAGUACCAUAGUACUGUGCUAGUAGUAGGCUAGUAGCCUUGACCAUCACUUUGCCUUGGGAGGAACUGCAGAUUGUAUUUGCUUACCUAAAGAGUCCACUUUGGUAUGCUUUUACAUGGACAGUUUCUCGUGAACAAUACUGUUGGGCCACCUACGAAUCUUUUGAUCUUUCUCACUGCACAAGUGGGGAACGAACGAGCCAGAGAAUAUUGGAAAGGGGUGAGAUAUUCAGAUAUCCUCCAGACCGAUUCAUGCACGAUAAAAGUUAGCUUUCCAUAGUCCAGAGCUUCCGCACUCUCGGACUAUAUUUGUGUAAAAUGAAAUGAAGAGAAAGCAUGUUGAAAUUCACAUUGAUUAAUUUACUAAUGCUACAGGAAAUAGUUUGAUUAUCCUAGGUUUAAAAUUAUAAAAUUAUAGAUCGUUUUAGCUUUUUUAGAUUCGUAUAUGGAACAGUUUGGAAUAGUGCUCCGUUCCAAAUCCAACCCGAACUGUCUCCUUUUUCUUUACAGCAAACGCUCAAAAUUUACUCGUCGCCUAGUACGACCAACCUCCCCGUCCGCCGAUAGAUCCGACGGCCGCGAAGUGGGCGCCAUCCUUGAUCGCCUGAAAGGAACGGCGGAGGAUGGCAACAAGGUUUUCACCACAAAUGAAAAGGGUAAGGCGGGGCGGCGUGGGCCCGGAAGAAUCCCCUCCAUCACCUCCCAGCGAAUGGGGAGGCGGCACCCACGUGAUGAGCUGCCCGCCCCCACAUCCUGACAUGCGCCGAUCCGCCAGAGCGCCGUGUCCCUCUCCUCCCGCGCCCCUAUUUCUACCUCCCCGCCGGCUCUACUCGUCGCGCUCUCCACCGGUCGUCCGCUCGUCCAUCCUCGCUAUCGCUGCCGGACACUCGCUGCCGGACACUCCCGCUGGCAGGUCGCGAAGCACACACGUCCCCGGCCGCCGCGGCUUCAGUUGAGAUCGGAAGGUAGCUAGCGGCUUCGAUCGCCACCCGUCUAUGGACAGGGAGGGGCGGCGGCCGGUCGUCGGCGAAUCGGCGGCGGCCGCGGAGGCCAUGGACGACGACGUCUCCUCGUCUCCGGCGGCGGCGGAGGCCAUGCACGACGACGGCUCCUUGUCUCCGGCGGCGGCGGAGGCCAUGGACGACGACGGCUCCUCGUCUCCGGCGUCGUACAUCAGACUGGUACGCAAGUGCUUUCGCGCGAUCUGCUGCCGUGCAUUGAGAAUUUGAGAUACACGGCAUGCAUGGUGAUAUUUAAGCAUGGUGAUGAUAUAUGUAAGCGAAACCUUAAUUAUAAUAUGCAGGUGCAGCAUCUGAUCGAGAAGUGCAUCUGCUACAGCAUGAACAAGGAGGAGUGCAUGGUGACGUUGGAGAAGCACGCCAACAUCCAGCCCGUCAUCACAUCCACCGGUAUUGUCCUAGCUGCAUGUUCUUCUUCUUCAUCUUCCAUUGCAUCCCUGCAAGCGAUUAGACGAGGGCAUUUCCCGAAACUUGCUAGUCCAGUAGUCCUAUUAUAUUGUUGAUUUCUUCUUUGCGUUGAUAGUUUGGAAGGAGCUGGAGAAGGAGAACAGGGAGUUCUUCGAGACGUACAGGAAGGAGAACAGGGAGUUCUUCGAGACGUACAAGAAGGAUCGGCCGGGAGAAGAGUCGACGCAGAAGAAUCCAUCCGACGAGAAGCCUUCCGCUCCCAAGAGCUCAGAGCCUCAGACGACGACGACGACGACGAGGAGCAGCCUUCCGCUCCCAAGAGCUCAGACGACGACGACGACUAGGACUCGGUCGUAACGAUGGUGCACAGCAGGUACAUAUAUCUAGAGGGCUAGUAUAUGCAUGGAGUGGUGGCUAGCUAGCAUAUAGGUACAGUGUAUAUCACUGCCAGCAUCACCAUUCACCAGUGUACGUAGUACUAGUAAUUUGCAUUGCGUAUAGUGUGCGCGUACGUCGUAGGAGCUAGCCUGCAUGGUCUCGCAUAAAUAACAUUAUUAUCGGGCAGAUGACUAUUACACAGCACGGCCGGCAUGCAGGCGGUACCGUGGUGGCUGUACAGAUCUUUAGCAUGCACGUGGGGCCCUGCACACGCGGCGGGAGAAUGUUCAACCAGCGAGGUGCGAGGACCCCGACCCGUCUGUGUGAAGGAGGACAGGUUCCUGUCUGAAAAAAGACGCGUCGCUCUUGCCCGGUGUCCCCAGCGCGGCGCCCUCCGCGCUCGCCGUGCGGCCGGGCUCCGCCGAUCACACCAGGCCAAAACUAAAGCUCCCGAGAUUUCCCCCCCGCUUCCUUUUCGGCGCCGGGGCGGGAGCGCGACGUCUACGGCGGCCGCGAGCGCCGUGGAGACGGAUGGCCAGCUCCCAGGGGUGCGCGUGCGCGUGCCGCCUUGUUUGGUCGGUAGCGCGGCGGCUUCGAUCGCCUGCAGAGCGUGGGUCCAAGGAUUACGCGUCUCCUGUGUGACCGGUGCUGGCGGAUCGCCAGAUGGGAUGCACCCGCGACGCCAUGCGUCGUCGGCCACACACGAGGUGGCUCGAUCUGGCUUCGGGAGUUAACUGGAAUCAAGUCACCGUCGUCGGCUCCAGCCGGCGGCCGAUCGAUCGCUCCGAUCCGCCCGGGCGACGGCGACGGCCACGGCGACCGUGUCGACGAGUGCGUAGGUGUAUUUAGGCAACGUGAAUUAUACAACGUAUGGAGCUUUCAUACGUAGAGGCCGUCAGGACUCAGGAGCACAGCUGGUGGAACCGACGGAUACGGGAGCUGGCGCUGACGUGCCCGCUUCGUUGGCUGCUGCUGGCCACCGGCCGCGCUGUGGCUGUGGUCUCCCUUCGCCGAUCGUUCCUACCCCAGUGCAUACGGCUGUACGCAUACGUCCUUGUCGGCCUGCCAGAUGGAACUUUCUUUCAGGCACCGGCGCUACCUAGCUUCACGCACGGUUUUCUCACGCUUCUUCUCGUGUGCGCUGCUAUCACACAGAUGCCGGUCUGCAUCGAUGUGGUGCCAUGUGUUGUUUCCCUCGAACAGAAAAGAGAGAAUCUAUCGAGCGCUUCUGUGGUGAAACACAAUAUCCUAGCUAGUUAUGCGUACACACAGUUUUGCUCGUGUGGAACGAGGAAAGUUUAUCAAGCGUAAGCAGGGCCGCCAAACUCCGUGGAAUGGAUCAAUGGGGUUGGCCGGAUUUCCGUCUCGUCUUGUCUUGCAGUCUUGUUGGUCACACGUUGUUGAGGAACGGUAGCGGCAGGCUACCAACCGCUCAAGAGUACCCAACAGGCCAACAUCCCGGUGCACAAUUUAAGCUAAGCAGAAGAGGCCCGGCCUGCAGCGUAAUUGGUCCCGAGCCCCAACAGCUCUUCCUUUCUCCGUUGCGCAGUCACUGAACCGCCGUCUGCGCCGCUGCAAACAGGCCCGCCAUACAGCAUCGCCACCGGCGGGGACUAGGGAUGGCAACGGGCACAAAUUACCCUCUAAAUUUGGGUGAAGAAAAUCCUCGUUUCCUGUCAAAAAAGGGUGAAUUUGGGAUCAGGACAUGAGAAACAUGUGGAAGAUUUCGGAUUGCUAUGAACAGGUGGGCUAGUCGCAAAGCUGUAUGCAAGGUAUCUUGACAAAGCUUGCGGCAUUGCGUACAUUAGCGCAGAGCGAGUCCACAGUCCACACUCGCGGUAUCAUCAUCACUACUACGAAACGUGCAACUCGUCAGACACUGAUUGGAUGACCCAAGGCAUUGACUAAAUCAAGGCUGUAUACAUUACUCCAGAAGAAAUACACAGCUCAGUUGUCGGUCUUCAGGAAACCAGAUAUAACACAAGAAAAGAGCUGAAGACCGGUAUAAAAGAGGCCCUCAUCACUGAUCACUGGCAUGAGAUUCUUGUACUAGAAAUCACACUGCAAUCUACCAGGGUCCAGAGCAUCGCCGCUGCGGGCACUCGAGAAUGCACUCAUGUUCCCAUCGCAUGUACCCCAAUGGUUUCCUACGACGGCUGAUGAGACGAGCACCAGGUCUUCCUGCGGCUACGAACCCGUGUAUUUCCCCCUGCUCUAAACUUGCAAGCUAGUUCUCGUGGGACAGAGCGUGCUCGGGCCGGUGGGUGAACUCAUAAUCGAGGUGCACGAAGGCGCGCUCGAUCUCUGGCAGCCGCUCCAGCUUCUCCUGCAGGGCCUCGCCAAUGUCGUGCGCCUCCCGGAGCGGCAUGUCCGACGGCAGCACGAUGUCCACUUCCACGAAGUAGUGGGAGCCGAACGUGUAGGCGCGCACCGUGUCGAUGUGCCGCACGGCCUUGUGGUGGUUCCAGCACAGGUACGUCAGCUUCUGGAGGUACUCCGGCGAGGCCGACUGCCCCACCAGGGAGUGCACGUUCUCCAGCACUGUCAUAGACCAUGUUCUGAUUGUGUAGAUUGCAAGCUGCAAUGAAAGAGGUAGGCUGUCAGCAUCUGAAAUUUGCAUUCUGGAGAAAUGGGCUACUGUGAGUAAUGCUCACGUAUGGGUAUGGAAUGCUUGUAAGUGCAAUAGCUGCCUAUCCAGAAUUCCAAUUGAGGAGUCACAGUAAGUCAUUGCUUAUCCUUUGAUCAUGCUACAAUCAAUGAGUUAAUCUUCUAUUAAUUUUUUCUUUCAAAAGCUAGGUAUUCUAUUUUUAAAGACAAUGGCCACUAGACCAGUCAAAAUGAUUUUAGGUGCUAAGCUAGAUCCUGGAGCCUACCAAUCAGGAACUGAAGCCAGUCAGUGGCUCAGGUUCACCCAAACAAUGUUUAUUAGAUGUCAUAAAAACUUGGGUGAAUCACUAAGUGCACAUCAUAGAACCUUUUUAGACCAAACUAAUAAUUAUUGGACUAGGGAUAUACUCCGAUGCUACUUAUACUGCAUAUUGAUCAGUGAGAAUAAAGAUAAAAACUUCUCUUGUACUUACAAUGAUUGCACCAACUGGGUCGAUCCAGCCAUCAAUAUAAUUGGCAAGUAGUGCAGCAACUAGACCAAUUACAUUGGUAAUGACAUCGAAAAAGUGAUCCUGUGCAUAUGCCUUGACGAUUUCAUUUGUGAACGAGCGGCAAUAUAUAACCAGGGCAAGUUUCACCAAUGUCACCGAGAGCAUGAUGUCCACAACCCACUUUUCCUGCUGGCUUGUUAAGCUGAAUUCAUCUCCCUGGAGAAUGAGAUCUGAGAUAGUUACCGAGGGCAAAACAAGAAUAUGAUCUACGGAAGUAGCGUACCAUUAAGUGCAAGAAAAAAAUUUACUAUUAAAUAGCAAAAAAACAGAAGCAUUUGUUUGCUGCAAAUAAUUUGGGUGUGCCGUGAAGGAUAAAAACAGGGCAUCUCAAUUGCAUACACUGAUGUCUUUGUUAGUUGUUACUGAUAGAAAAAAAGUUCAGACUACUAAUAUUGAAUUGCGACUCAGGAAAAAAUGAAAAUUCUAAGAAGUUUCUAGUCAAAAGGAAACUGAAAAUACAUUUUGUUUGGGACUGCUUGCUGGUUUCUCCAUCAUCCGAUCCACAAGGAAACCAAAAGCAAAGGAAUUUAAGCGUGGACCGAGAGAGAGACUUACAUCAGACACCAAUGACCGUACUGAUUCUAGAAUGAUCUGAAGGCCAAGAGUUGCCAUAACAGAAGCAAAAACAAGUAUUCCCUGAAAAAAAUAUUACAAUAAAUAGUAGAGUGAAAAAUAACUGCAAAAUUCAAGGAAAAACAGCUUGAAAUUAAAUAAAAUAGAUUAGAGGACUCCAAACAAAGUUUUAAAUUUAUCAUUGGACUAAUGCCCAGAGAUGCAUUAGAAGCGAGGAACAUCAUUUCGGACUAUUCAAUUUCAUAAAUCACAAGCUGUCAUUUUUUGCAUCUUCCCAUUAUAUGUACUUUCUGGAAGAGCAUUGUUUAAGCAUUCAAUAUUUCCUUUCUGAACAAAUUUCUGCGUGUGCUUUCAUGUUGACAUAACAAUAACACCAUGUUAAGUAACUCAUACAUGUAAUGCAUACUGAACAUUGAGAUGGCCGAAUGGAACAGUGUUCUUGAAUGUACAAUGGAACCAAAUACAGAAUUAUAGUAAAGAACAAAUGAGCUAAAGAAAUUCUGGAAGUACAGGUACUGACAAAACUCACCAGUGGCUGCAUACGCUUUUUACCGAUAGGGUAUCUGUAGGGGUUUGGAGUUUGCAUUGAAAAGGCGGUAAACCACAAGAUGAACCCUGACAGUAAGUCUAGAAGAGAAUCCAAAGUGGAAGCAAUAAUAGCAAGUGAGCCACUCCGUACUGAAGCAUACACUUUUGCAGCAAAAAGAACCAUGUUUGCAAAGUUAGACAGCCGUAUUGCUAAUGUCUCACUCCUAGCAACCUUUUCGCGUUCUUCCUGUGGGCAAAUGAAUUGGUGAUCAGUGACACGAAUGAGGUCUCACUAAAAAAAAGUAGAUGCAAAUGCAGUCAAACUAAUCUGUAUCAUUUAAUUAACUUGCAGGUAAGCUGUCAUACGUCCCCAAUGUUAAAGUUACAACCAAAAGUUUAUAGAACAGACCUUGGACAUUCCAGGAAGGAAACCACGAUCUGUAAGCGUAUCCAUCUCAUUAAAACCCUCAAGCAUCUCCACUUGUUGUUGGUAGUACUCGGCAACAACAUCCUCAGGACCUUGAGCUGUCGACAGAACCAAAAACGUUUUUAUUAAAAAAAACUCACUUUUGUUCAAAACCAAAGAGGAAGAUAUGUGAUUCAUCAAUAUAAGUCAGAUAUUAUUGGACCAUGAAAUGGCUCCUUUGUUGUUAAACUGACACUUCAUAAUUCAACUUGUAAUUGUCCUUUCCUCUAUAUAUUGGGAGUACAUCAUACAACCCGGCAUCUCACGUGCCAUCCAAAUGUCCUUUACUCUUGUAACCCGACUUGUCAGUUGUCACUUAAUUACAUGCACCAACUAACCAAAAAAAUUCUAUUUUUCCAUGACUUUUGCACGUGCAGAAAUGAGCACCUCACGUGAUGCAGACUGUCCUUCCCCAUAUGAGCCCUGAAAAGUGUAAACCCAAUAGGCAGCAGCAGAAUUUGCAGAACCCCAAGCUAAAUUAUGCUGACGGAAAGAUACACAUUUGUGUUGGGUUCCCAAAGUGGCGCCAUAGCAAAUCGGUAACAGCUAGGCUGCAUCUAGCCCAACACUACCUUAAUAUCCUAAUUCGAUCCCCAUCUCUGGACUAAAAAGAAUCUAGCUAGUCCGCCCUAGCGUCAACUUAGCUCUUACUGGAAACCAAAAAAUAAAAUAAAAUUGGCAACUUCGGGUAUUCACAGGUCGCAGAAAGAAACUAUUUUAUCAAACGAAACAGGCCGAGAGAGGCAAUACAGAAAGAAAAUGGAAGCAGGCAAUACAGCCGAGAGAGGCGGACCUAGGACGCCGAGGCAGUGGUGGAGCGCGCCGGUCGGUGGCCUCUCCUGCUGGUGUGCCUCCGGCGGGCGGAACCCCUCGAAGUUGAGCCGCCACGACUCCUCCGCCGCGGCGUGCGCGCCGCCGCCACCGUUGCCAGCCUCCACGGCCGAGAGCAGGAGCAGCUCCUCCCCCUCUACGCCAUCUGCCGCCGCCGCCGCCCCAGCCAUUCCCCAACCCUAGGAGCCCGGCGAGCUUGGCGCGCCGCGCUUCAAACCGUACGUGCCACACUCCCCUUGGCACGACGGCGCACGAGGGGGAACCGCAGCGGGAGACUGGGCUGCCUCCGCCUGGCCAGUCGGUUGGUACUGUAGUUGCCAAGCAAGACGGCCAGGCCAAAAGCGCUCGGCCCGCCCCCCGCGUGCCGGCGUGCGCCGUCUUGAUUAAAGAGGGAGGCGAGGCGGGGGACGAAGUGGGGGCCUCCCUCGCCUCGCUCACGGCUCGCUGGGUGGGUGGGUGCGCCGAGCCUAUGAGCCCGGAGAGGCGGCCGCCGUCGGAGACCGGUCUCUGACCUGUCGCGGGUCUCGUGUGCUUGGUGCAGGGCGUGCUAGGGCUGGGUGGGCGAGAGUUCCAGCGGUACGCAGGUGGAGGGGGCAUGAUUUGAGAGGACUCGGAUCUCGCGGUUGCGUGCGCGCCGGAGGACACGAAACAGCGAAACUCUUCAGGAAAACUGGAAAAGGUACUUCCUUUGAAAGGCGUGCUUCACCAUUAACCUCAACUCUCAACUUUGGCACUAUGCAAAAAGAAGAUUCUCCAUCAUAUCAAACUUGUGGUACAUGCAUGGAGUACUAAAUGUAGACGAAAUUAAAAAAUAAUUGCACAGUUUUGUUGUACUUUGCGAGACGAAUCUUUUGAGCCUAAUUAGUCAAUAUUUGGACAAUAAUUCACAAAUACAAACGAAACGCUACAGUGUGCUACAGUGUUGUAACAGUAAUUUGGCACCUCCAAACUUUGGCAACUAAACAAGGUCUAAGAUUUAGGAAACUGAAAGCGUGUCGUCUCGUGAUAAACGUUGCAAAAAUAAAAUUUAGGAAAUCAAGCAAAUUCGGUAUCCGUGAAUGAGCCAAGUACGGCAUAGAUUGCCCAGCGCUAACCACUUUAACGAGAUUUCGAGACCCAAAUCUUUCAGCAUCGAUUUACAAACCCAGACACUAACCGUACAGUGUGAUUUCGUUCCAGGCGACUGCUUGUCUAAGCCGGUAAAAGAUACUCCUGACGAGAAGUCAUGAGCGUGCUCACGGGAUUAGAUGUUCUGGUCGUGCCAAUUUCCUGAUGGAAGACGUACGGUGUGGCCACAAUGGCCCGCCGCGUCGAGGUCGCCGUAGCUUUCGCGGGGCGAAAGCCGAAGCCGUCCCGUGCUCAUCCGCCGAGCUCGCCUGUCCAGUGUUCCUCCACACGUCCGACUCGGAAGGGAACCGUGUGGCGCUGGCCCUCCGCGGCGUCGAAGCCACCGGAACAGGGCGUCCGAAAGCGCUGGCACGAGCGCCACGGCGAUAGGGAGUGAAUGGCAGCCCAAAUACCCUGUCAGUGACUCAGCUGGACCCGCUGGUCAGUGACGGUUUGCUCGUCUUCAACCGGCGGCGGGGCCGCGCGGUAAAGCAGCGGCCGUUGGGCGUGGAUAAGAUGGGUGCUCCUGCUCCGACGCUGCCACCGGAGUUAUCCUGGGCAGGCGCACGCGUACAGCGACGGUGAUGGGAUUUUGGAAGGAUCAUCGGGGCGGGUGGGUGCCUGACCACUUGGCGAUGCGAAUAACGUGAAUUGCGUUUGCGUGGAUAUUCCCCAAGAUUGUGGAAAGGGGGAAGAAAAAUUCGUAGCAUGCCAGAAGAGGGGGUUUGUUAAGGACGAGGGAAAGGACAAACGAGUUUGGGCGCUGAUCGGUGAUCAUGGAGGAGAAUCCUGGGUUGGUGAGGAGGGACAGGCUUGGGGUCAAAAUGACCUGAGGAACGUGGGACAGGGCGGGCGUGUAACUCAGGGGUGUUUGAUACGAGGUGUUAAACUUUAACAGUGUCACAUCGGAUGUUCGGAUGUUCGGAUGCUAAUUAUGAGAACUAAACAUGAGCUAAUUAUAAAACUAAUUGCAGAAUCCUGUGCUAAUUCGUGAGACGAAUAUUAGCAAAUAGUUACUGUAGCACCACAUUGUCAAAUCAUGAACUAAUUAGGCUUAAUAGAUUCAUCUCGCGAAUUACACUCUAUCUAUGCAAUUAGUUUUGUAAUUAGCCUAUGUUUAAUACUCCUAAUUAGCAUCCAAACAUCCGAUGUGACAGGUGUUAAACUUUAACACUUGUUGCCAAACACGCCCUCAAUCAAAAUUUCGUAAAGUUAACCUGAUUUUGACUGCUGCCCUGAGAUUCAGUAUUCCGGGACGCAACCCCCUGUGACGUCUCCAGCAGCGCCCAUGGUGCCACAUACCAAAGGUGAGCUGAUAGCUGCCGUAGCGUCGUGGUAGCAACUUACAGAUCAGUCCAUCUUAGUUCUGAGACCAAAAUAUAAUUUUUUUGACCGAGCGAAUUGCCGACGUUAUCCUUGUGCAAUCACAAGUGACCAGAGCAGAUACGGUAGUUACACCAACCACACGUCACACCAGAAUAGCAUACACAGUAGAGUUGCGCAAGCACCUGUCCUACGCGGACACGCCCCUUUUUCUUUCUCCACGAGGCCUGGAGCUUCUUAUGUCAAACCUUCUGUGAUGAGGCAACAGAAUUUCAUGCCAGCAUAUGACGCAUCAAAGUCAUCAAUACCCGGCUGUCCUGUUGCAAACCUGCCAGUGUUGCAUUUGUGCUUUCGAAUCGAGCUCGGGGUGACGUCAGACAGCCCGGCAAACGAUUCCCUGAACCACGUGGCCUAACGGUCUACUUCGAUCCCCCUAGGUCAGCCUGAGUCACCAUUGCAUCAUGGAAUACAGAAGAAGAGACGCUCGACUCUUUUAUGAGUAAAAGUUUUAUCAGCGUACAGUCACACGCCGCUGGGUUAAAAAAGACGAGAAACUGCCACUAAAAUACUAAAUAGCACGAUUUCUGAUUACGUGUGCCAGUGGCUAGAUAUAGCCUGUGUUUGUGUCGUCCUAUUCAACGCAAAACAUACUCUUACCUAACAUGUAUAUGGAAGGUUUUCCUGGUGAGAACAAUGGAAUCGCUCUAUCUUUACUCCAGUACAGAAAAAAAAUAAAAUCUAAACAAAUACCAAGAGAAUAUCACAAUUUCAUUUCUAUACAUUUCAUACCACCAGAGCUCAUACAAAACCUUGGAAGGUGUAAGAUGCUAUCCAUAAAACUAAGGAACUGGACUGUUUGUUGGAAGCAGUUCAACAGAUAAUCUUUAGUAAAAAAAUGAGCUUUUUAAAAGCAUAUAUACGGCAUAUGACUAUAAUCACAUGUAAAUCACUGAUUCCAUGCUCAUAGUGUACUCUCAAAUCUCAAUAACAUGUAAACAGCUGGACAAAAUCACACGGGUUAUGGUGUAAAAAAAAUGCCCCCACAUUCCCAAAACACUGUGGGAAAGUUUAAAGUCUCAGCUGGUAGUAAGUGCUUUUGAACAAGGUUAGAGCCUAGAAGUUAUCUAGGUGGAGCUCCAGCAUUGAGAUUGUCUUAUAUUCUUAUGCCGACAAUUUGCAAGCUUUUUUCAUGUGUCACACUCAAAGCUCAGUGAAAACCAAGCAUGACCAUGAUACACAGACUUAUUGUAAAAUAAAAAGCCCAUCUCAAGCAGAACUCAUCACCAGUAGAAACAAACGGAGUGCGUUUGUUUUGUUUCUGGACCAACUCGCACAUUUUAAGACGAAAAAGAAACACGAACAAACCAAAAGAUCCAAGGCUUGCCAACUUGCACAAGAAAUACUCAGAUUUAAAAUGCAUGCAAAAUGAUUACCUGUUGACAAGAAUGCUCACCGUAUACCACCAUUAAAUACAGUGUACCAGUCUUCCAUGCAAGCCACUGAGAUCCCAUUUAUCCUCAAUUGACUCCACUUAGUUAGAGAUUUCUGCAUACUACCUGCUAGUACUGAAGAGUCUGGCAAAAUUAGUUUGAAUGAAGACAGAAAUUUGUGAGAAUUCGAAGAAAAUAAAAUCCAGUUAAAAUGGAUCGACUGUCCGAGAACUCUGCUUAUAUACAACAAUUACCUUUCACAUCAUUGAACAGAAUGCAAGUUAGCAUAUUUCAUUUUUCGUAGAACAUCUCCACUUUUUUUGUAGUUCUUACACAUCAAAACGAAGAAAUACAGCAUUGAGAUUUUCAAUCUCAGUAUAGCCUCAGAAACCAAAUCUUCUGAUGCAUCUGGUAAAGAAAGGGUGUCGUAGAGCUUCACGUGCUUUAAGGCGCUCAUUAGGAUCAUACCGAAGAAGUCCUUGAAGAAGAUCUAUUAGAUCUCCAGCAGAAUGAUCAACAUGUUGCAUAACAAGAUUCUGCAUGAGUUGAAUGAUUAGAAAUUUUCAAAAGGCAUACCAUCGUAUGUCAGUUGAGAAAAGAAAAAACUGUGACAGGUAACAGGUUACAUCAGAGGCUAGAAGACUACCUGAAGACGAGGCAAUUUCCAGACUGCCUUCAUGCUCUCUCGUGAGGCCGCCCCCUCUGGCCAGUCCAACCUUACUCCGCGCUUGAAGUACUUUUCAGCACGUCGACUGUAAAAUAGCAUUAAUUAAUUAAUGUGAGUAGUUAAUCUGAAUAAAAUUAAGACAGAAGUCAUCAUCUGCCUCAACUAGAUGUACAUCAACCAAGAUUAUAAAAAAAAAUACACUAAGAGGAUAGCAAAGGACUUGUAGACAUACUCAGCUCUGACAAUCAUAUGCUUUGGGAGGGGGCCUAAGACCCUCUCCAUCAUAGCCAAAUGCUCCAAAUUUUCGUGAGUUUGAAAGAGAGCUUCCCCCUAGUAUUAUCAUGCAAAACCAAAAAUGCAAGAGGAACUUAUCAAGACAAGAACCACAAAGUUGCAAUAGCAGCAACAGCUAUGGACAAGAUUAACCAAGUACUCAGAUUCAAAGAGGUUUAGUGAACUAACCGAACAGAGCUCAACUAAAAUACAACCCACACUCCACAAGUCACAUGGAUAGUUCCACCCAAGACCUAAAAGGAAAAUAGCAAAGAUCAAAACACAAAAACAAAGCAAUUGGUGUCAGUAGAAAAUAAAGAUGAAUAUCCAGUUUGCAUGGGUUGGUGGGGAGGUGUUAACUAUACCAAGGAUAACUUCGGGUGCGCGGUAAUGUCUUGUCGACACCACAUAAUUGUGAUCUUGGUGUUCAAAUGUCGUGCUGCCAAAAUCAAUCAGCUUGAUAGCACUAGAUUUUGGAAGGUUCUUGAAGAAAGAACCAUCCUUGGGUGGUCGUAUAGAAACCUUCAUUGCAAAUAAAAAUAGAGUUUAGAAAAAUAAAUGUAUUCAUGCACAAAUGAAAUUAACUAGUCAGCAAUUCCUAUCCCACAUAAGAAUUGGAUGGAUUCCUGCCAUUGCAAUUUUGCACAAUUCAUUAGUUUUCAUUAUUAGCAACAUGGUGGAUCCCACAUGUCACUGGCACACAAUGGCAAAUAACGAAUUGCAAAAAUUUUGUAUGGCAAAGAAUAUUUUCCCUGAAAAAGAACCUUAAGCAAUAAAUGUCCAAAAAAAAGAACCUUAAUAGCAAAUGCCAUACAGAAGCAGAGGUGACAAUUUAGGAGUUCAGUAAUAACCUUAUAAUCAGGCACCCUGAUAGAUUCGGAUGAAACAAGAAGAAUGUUCUCUGGCUUCAGAUCCGUGUGAAUAAGUCGCAAGUCAUGCAUAACUGCAGAGAUAAGAGAAACAUCAGAUGUUUUAGAAAGGGAAGCAUAAGCACAUCAGAACUAGCAAAUCCAGCUUAACAAGAUCAUGCCAAGCAAACUUUAGCAGGUUAGUAAUUUAGUGAUAUUGAUGGAAAUUCAAAAGACUUGAUGAUUGCAUCAAAUACAGCAAAAGUAGACUGAGUACUCACAUGCAACAGACUCUAAUAUUUGUCUAGCAAAUUCACGAACAAGGUCGAUCGGAAAUGAACGGUAGCUAUUCUUUCGCAGAAAGUCAUAUAAGCUUGGCCCAAGCUUCUCAAAUACCUGAACAGAUCAUUAAUCCAAUAUCAUAACUUGAUCAUCAAAAACAAGAAAAGGAUAGCCUUCUUGAUGCAUAUGUACUUACUAUACAUAUAUGAUUACGAUAGUCAAACCAAUUCCGUAUUUGCACACAGCUGCAGGCAUAGAACCAUCGAUGCAAAUCCAUCAACUCACAAAACGGGUCAAUAAGUGAAAUAAAGGAGGUGGAUUUCUUACCGGCUGCCAGUAAAAUCAUGCUUCCCAAGUCUCUGAAGCACGUCAAUUUCUAUCAUAGCAGCCUCUCGAUAUUUCUGGAGGGAGCGCACAAUCUUGAUAGCCACUGCUUCUUGGUUUUCCAAGUCCCAGCAUUCCAAAACUUGUCCAAAUGUCCCUGUGACACAAAAUGAAACGAUAAAUAUAGCAUGAAAACAAUGAAAGCACAGGGAACAAGAGCAAAAAAGAGCCUGUUCAUCCUCUACAUUCAAAUGGAAACUAAACAUUCCAACUAAGAACCAGAUCACUACAGAACAGAAUAUGCAGAAUAUGAAUUGUAGUAGAUCAGACGGAACACACUAACCUUCACCCAUCUUGCUAAGUAUCCUAUCUGCAAGACCAGGAAAGCAGCGUUAGUCAUUAUAUUAUAAUAAAAUAGCAUAGCAAACAGAACCAAAAACAUAAACAACGGUUGGAACUGAUGUAAGGAUCAAGCAGUUUCAACAAAUCGUCAACAAAGCCUACAGGCUAAGACCAAUAAAGAAUAUUGGGGCUUGUUUAGAGCCAAUAAGUAAAGCAUUUUCUUAGUUUUUAGUUGACACCAUUUGAUGAAUGAUGAAUGUGGUGUUUGAAAUUGAAAUGGACCAACGAUUAGUAGAUGAAACAGGAAUUUAAGUGUUUAAUUGUGAAGCUAUGUAGAGCCAGAAUACAGAAAUGAAAACUGCACCACCAACAUGGCAACUUACAGUAACAGAUAACAUCUGAAAGAAAAUCCAUCUCAACAAGCUAUAGGUCAGAGAGGCUCAGAUGCAAGCCAGAAACAAGCAACCUAGUGCAAGUAAAUUAAACAUCAUUGAGCUGUGGAAAUAAUGGAAAUAUACAUCUUGGUGUCAGAUUCUCUCCAACCGCGAAAACAUAGUGCCCAUCCUUGUCAUCCGGUCUCCAAGGAGGUGAAAGAUUCCGCGGAGGUCCGGUGUAAUAAAUUGGCGGCGGCGGCAGAAAAGCCGUCGCAAAACUACCAUUAAUUAGUUCCUGCCCGCAGUAUAGCAUUGGAAUUGCCUGCAAAAAUAGAAAGCAAUGUAAACUUUUUACUGAUAACAUGGAUACACAAAAAACUGAAGGCUGGUCUCUUAUGUUUUGUACUGUAAUUUUUAGAAAACAGUUGCAUGACUUGAUAUAUUUGAGGUUGCAAUCGAUUUUAUUCAGUAGUCACUAACUGAAGUAUCGUACAUAUAUGUUCCCACAAAAGUGACUGUUAGUGAUUGAUGAAUAUUUAUUAAACUCUCCAGAUUUACUAAUGGUUUUGUUUCCAUAAUCCAUAGACAUCAACUGAGAAACUCAUCCUGUAACCCUUAAACAUUCUAGCCGAAAGAAAGACAGUUAUCAGCUCGAAAGUUCUGUUAGAUAGCUCAGAGGCCAAAACAAGGUAACGCAUAGGUCACAAAUUUCCCCCUCUAUCUCGAAAGUAGUAGCUCUUACAUAACGGAGAUUUCCAACCAUAUACUCUACUAAUUGGCCGAAUAUCCACGAUGAUCCGCAACAACCGCACCACAAAUCCACAAUUAUCCGAGCCCCGCGCCUCCGUCGAACCCACGGGCUCCAAAUCUAACGGAAACCGCGCCUAGAUCUAGCCAAAACUACCACCACAACCCCACGCCUAGUAACCGAUCGAGACGGCAAACAGCGCAAGUACGAUACCUUGGGGGGCUGGAACAGCGUGGGCGCGACAUCCCAGGCGAGCCGGGGCCGCUUGCGCGGCCGCUUGUCGGCGCCCUGGUGCGGGUACUCGGCGAGCCACUGCGCCUCCAUUGCCGGCUUCGGAACCCUAACUGGUUACUCCAUCCGCGGGGCCAGUCCGGCGACGAAUUCCGGGGGUGGAACUGGUGCGCGGUGCGGGAGGAGCCGCCGAAUCGGAGCUCAAUUUGGGGGGAGGCGUAAGAGGAAACGAAGCGGUUGAAGGAGGGACCGAGGGAGGAGGAGGGGGGGGGGGGGGGGAGGGGAUCCCAGGGCGUCGCCGCGAAGGCAUGAGAGUGAGGGACGGGCUGCCCAUGGAGUCAGAGGCGGGUCCACCGGCCCACNNNNNNNNNNNNNNNNNNNNNNNNNNNNNNNNNNNNNNNNNNNNNNNNNNNNNNNNNNNNNNNNNNNNNNNNNNNNNNNNNNNNNNNNNNNNNNNNNNNNNNNNNNNNNNNNNNNNNNNNNNNNNNNNNNNNNNNNNNNNNNNNNNNNNNNNNNNNNNNNNNNNNNNNNNNNNNNNNNNNNNNNNNNNNNNNNNNNNNNNNNNNNNNNNNNNNNNNNNNNNNNNNNNNNNNNNNNNNNNNNNNNNNNNNNNNNNNNNNNNNNNNNNNNNNNNNNNNNNNNNNNNNNNNNNNNNNNNNNNNNNNNNNNNNNNNNNNNNNNNNNNNNNNNNNNNNNNNNNNNNNNNNNNNNNNNNNNNNNNNNNNNNNNNNNNNNNNNNNNNNNNNNNNNNNNNNNNNNNNNNNNNNNNNNNNNNNNNNNNNNNNNNGGAGUACGGCGUAUGGCAUGAUGUGACCGCAGCUCCUCCGUCUACCAUCAGUCUAGUGAGGGGGCGGCGUCAACAUGCCCUUUAAGGAACAGCGCCUUUCAUGUGUUGUCGUUGGUGGAUGGGUGGGGAGCUCGAAAAAUGUGGUGGUGGUGGUCUGGUUGUGCUCGCGUUGCGUCCGAGGAACCCUGGUUUGGUCUGAGACCCGCGGGAGAGGCGACGCUAACUAUGGUUAGUUCAUUUUUAGCCCCGUUACAUAUCAGCCCCUGAGUUUAUGUUGUAUUCGACUUUACUAGCUGAUGCGACGCGUUUUCCGUGCGGGCUGGGCGGGUGCGAAUCUUGUGCCUGUUUUGCGGGGCCUUUCUGCAAAGUAGCGGUUGCGAAUUCCCGUCAAAUUUCGGACCCGGCCUGCCCUCUCCGCCUCCGCGGUUGGUGGGAAACGGUUUGAACUUCCAGCCGUACCUCUGCAGCUGCUUCGUUGGGCAUGCAGCAUGCUUCCGUUCUCCUCUUCUGCUCUCUCACCUUCUUCCAAUUUCAGCGUUCCUCGCAGAUGGGUAUCAUGGGGGCAUGCGCUGGAGAACUCAUGGAUAUCAUAAUUGCCUCAUGGGCUAAUGGGUUUUUUAAGCACGCCUUCAUCAGGUUCUUUUUGAGGGGGUUUUGCCUUGAAAGCUUACUGCAUUUAGAACUUGCGUUUAUAUUUGGAUGUGUUUUUGUAGCGGGUUCUGGCCUUUCGGAUGCAGAUAUCAGAGCAAGGAUUUGUGCCAUUGCUUGGCGUUUGAACUUUGAAGGCAGAAGGCACCUUCGUUGCUGCAGAUUUGCAGGUGACAGGGGACGCGGUGUUGGCGUAGAGGUUUUUAGCGGCGUCUUGGCCUACGCCUACGCGGCACCCUUGGUCCAUCGUUUGGUGCUGGUCGUUGAGAGAGAGUAGACCAGGCCAUGAUCUUCACCUAACUCCUCCAAUGAAGCGCUACUUGAUGCGUAUGCGUUCCAACCAAAACAGUCGAGUCAUUGGCGACAGAGAGCAAACUACGCACGGAUAGAUGCAUGAUGCAUCAUCCCCUGCUGCCACAUCCCUGUGAAGCAAGCUUGGUACAAGCAGAUAGCACUGGCAAAGCGUAUUUUUCUUGCAUCCGUGUGAAGUUUGGCCACGGAGGUAUCGUCUUGUAAACGUUUGAGUCACAGGUAGUCUGUUCGCUUCAGCUUAUAAACCGGCUAAAAAGCUGAAACGGCUGAUUUGUUAUAAGAGAAAAAUACUGAUUGGUGGCUGAUAAGCCGGCUGAAUAAGCUGAAGCGAACAGGCCAAGGACCGGAAGAGCAUCAGAAGGGUCUUUUUUUAUUUUGGCCCUUUUCGCGAAAAAAUUUCACAAAUAGUCUCCUGGUGAAACCAAUUCCGAAAAUGGACCCUUAGCUUGGCGCCAGGAUGGCUGGCGCCAAGGUCCCCCCACCGCGCCUCCGACGUAGCGCCGGCCCACUGACGUGGUUCCAAGGCUUGGCGCCAUAGAUCUUGGUGCCGAGGCUGGCGCCAAGCCUUUUACCUUAACGGCCGCUCCUUCCUUUUGCGCAGUUUGAUUUCGCAUCUCUUCCUUUCUCAACAACCCGCGCCGGCUCCCUCGUAGUCCGCCGCCGCCGCUGCCGCUGCCGCAGGCGCCCUCGUCGCCCGCCGCACGCCGCCCCGGCCCGCCCAGCUCGAGCCGCACCGCCCCGUCCCGCCGGUGCUCCCCGGACGAGCCCCAGCGCCCGCCGUGGCCUGAGGCCGGCCGCCCCCCGCCCUGUGCCCGCUCCCGGCUGGGCAGGCCGCCUCCCGUCCUGUGCCUGCUCCCACCAUGAUCGAAGGUAAUUAGUUGUAGUAUAAUUUAGAUAGAUAGGUUUAGAUAAAAUAGUUAUAUUGAUAAAUUAGAAUAGUUAGGUAAAAUUUAGAUAGAUAGGUAGAUAGAUAAAUUGAUAGAUAGAUAGAAUUGUUAGAUAUGAAAACUAAUAUAAUUUGGUAGGUUUUACAUAGUAAACUAGUUAUUACGAUAUUUAGUUAAGUAGUUGUAUAGUUAACUACAUAUGUACAUAUUAGGUGACAUAGUUAAUAUUAGGUGACAUAGUUAGUUAGUAUAUGUGACAUAGUUAGUUAGUUGUAUUUAGUAGUUAGUAGUCAAUUGAUACUAUCUGAUUUCAUACUAGACUUAGAAUGUUGAUUUAUUAUGGACUAAAUGAAUUGUGCGUCGUUAUAUUGAUAUACUAGAUGGAGAACGUAGUGAGCAUAUAUCACGGAGGCACCGUGGAAAGGGAUGAAUAUGGAUGUGUUAAGUUUGUUGCCAUGCAGUGCGAGGUUGUCAUAUUUGAUGAGAAACUCUUGUUUAGUGAGUUGCUUGCAAGGACUCGGGAGGAGUUACAUUGUCAUGAAGAUGAUGAAAUCACAGUCGAGGGCAUACUUCACCUAGGUUCCCCUCUCAACAUUCAAAGGAAGAUGGUCCCAAUUGGGUGUGCAGGCUAGUGGGAAAAAUAUGUGAGGACGGUUAUGAAUGGUCAUUCCUUAAGUGUUGAAAUGGUUGUUCAUUGGGUGGGAGUUGAUCCAAAUCCUCAUCGGUUUUCCCGACCAAUGGGUCAACGGGCACACUUCGAUCCUCCCGUCCCAGAACCUGUUAUGGACGUGGAUGUUGCACCUACUAUUCCCGAUGCUGAAUCUGCCCCUAAUGAAGUAGUUGGACAUGGUUGUCGGAUUGUUAAUGAUGUGGCGGACUCUCCUAAUGAGUUCCUUUUCACUCAGAAUGAUCCGAGUAAGUGUCUUACCGGUUUCUAUUGUUGAGAGAUAAUCCAUUCGUUCCAUCAAUUUAUUCUUUACUCAUAUUUGUACUUGAUGGCGCAGGAGAUAUUCCAGAAAAUGUGGAUGUGCCUCUAGUUGAUGCGCAAGUGCAAUGUGGAGAUGGAUUGCGUGGCUCUAAUAGUGUUGAAAUUUUGAAUAAUGAAGAUGCAUACGAGAUGGGAGUGGAUCUUGAUUCUGAUGAUGAUCGUCCUAUUGGAGAGAUGACAGAGAGUGAUAUUGAGAUGUUCAGGCGUAUCUUCCCUGGACAUCGUGACCGAUAGUUCACGAGUUUAGCGAUUUGACUCUUUCCGAUCAGGCGUUUGCAGAAGGACGUGAUGAUGAGCUCCUAGAAGCUCCUGAAGCUAGUCCUAGUAUGGUUAUUGAGGAGGGAAGGGUAUUUAAGGACCUUCCCGUAUUGAAGAGAUGGUUGCAAGCUUUUGCAGUAAUACGGAAGAGACCGUACAAAGUGUUGCAUUCAUAUGCGGAGCGCCGUUACACAGUUGUGUGUGACAAGGAACGGUGCCCAUGGAGGGUUUGUGCAAAGAAGCAAAAUAUCACCGGGAAGUGGAAGAUCACAAAAGUUGUUGAUCCACACAAUUGUGCUGACCAUGAGCUUAUAGUGAGACAUCCGCAGCUAACAUCUACCCUCAUUGCGAAGCGGUUGAUGGGAAUAUUGAAGGACAACCCAACAUGAAAGUGAGAACAAUUAUCAGAACUGUUGAGGAGAUUUAUGGAGGUUAUGUGAUAACAUAUGGUAAAGCUUGGAGGGCUAAGCAGCGAGCGUGGAAGAUGAUAUAUGGGGAUUGGGAGUCUGGGUACGAGCAAUUGCCAGUGCUUUUUAAUGCAAUAAAAACGGUGAAUCCAGGCAUGCAUUAUGAGUACAUCCCAAAGCCAAAUGCUUGGAAGGAUAGGAGGCAGAUAUUCGGGCGUGCGUUCUGGUGCUUCCCUCAGUCUGUGGAAGCCUUUAGGCACUGUCGUCCUGUUUUCUCUAUUGAUGGUACAUUUUUUAUUGGUAAAUACAGGAGCACACUUCUUAUAGCCAUAUCUUGUGACGCGAACAAUAGUUGAUUCCUUUGGCAUUUGCAUUGGUUGAGAGGGAGAACAAUGACAGUUGGGGAUGGUUCUUAAGACUAGGCCGGAUACAUAUGGUUGGUCCUGGUAGGGAGGUUGGCGUCAUAUCCGAUAGGCACCAGACCCACCGAGGUCGUCUCAUAGCGGAAGGGCAGGUAAUAAUCUACAAUUCAUGAUUCAAGCAUUGCAAGCGUCCACGUCUUCUUUCCUAAGAAAUGUCUGACUCGGUUUGUUUGCAUGUAGGUACUUCCGCUCCUUCGUUCUAGAGCCCAUGAUGGGUUUUUGGCGCUGCAGUACGACGACCGCUACACUCCUUUGUUAGAGAUGGCGGGCCUAGAUGUCAUCUCGUAUUAGGUUCGUCGUGUGAUGCCCAAGUUCAACUCAGCGGCUAUAACGGCGUUGGUUGACAGGUAAUACUUUAUUUCUAUUACCUCCGUUCAUAUUCAAUUUAUUAUGUCCUUACAUGUUAACAAGUAAUAAUGCUGCAAAAUGUAGGUGGUGGCCCGAGACUCACAGCUUUCACCUGCCGUUCGGAGAGAUGACAGUGACCUUACAGGACUGUCAGAAGAUGCUGGCUCUGUCGAUUCGCGGCCACGCAGUGACUGGACCGUGCGUCUCAGAGGGUUGGAGAGCACGAAUGGCAGCCUUCCUUGGGCAAGAGGUUGAGGAGCAGGGGAGUCGCACAUCUGGAGUGCUAAUCUCCUGGCUGCGGGAACACUUCGGCCAGUGCCCCCAGGACGCGUAUGCGGGGACAGUUGGGCACUAUUGCAGGGUGUGGAUCCUGCACCUGUUUGCCUGCGUUCUUUUCCCAGACGCUACAGGUGACACUGCGUCUUGGAUGUGGAUUCACUGCCUCACUGACUGGCACCAGGCACGUCUUUACAGUUGGGGAUCAGCUGUGCUGUGUUUUCUACACCGGCAGCUGUGCGAGGCAUAUCGUCGGACUUCGGGCUCCGCGUUAGUUGGUGGGUGUGUCUACCUAUUGCAGUUAUGGAUGUGGGCCCGUCUUCCUGUUGGUCGUCCCGAGAUUAUGCCGCGUCGACCUUGGUUCCCAGGUGAGAUGCCGAGAUGGCAGCCGACAUGGGUAUAUAUUUGGGAUCAGGUUAAGGUUAGCCAUACGAGGUUGGACCGCGCGUACCUGGAUUACAUCAACGAGAUAGACGCGCUCACGGCUCAUAGUGUAAGUCAAAUUUUUAUUAACAUGCUUUGUAAUCUUUUAGUAUAACAACUAACAUCUUGUUUUGACAUGUUGCAGGUAAAUUGGAAGCCUUACAAAGGAGAGGACGCACUUCCUUUUACCCUUAGCUUCAUGUGUGGGUUGACGACGAUCUUUACAGGAUGAAGUGCCCUCUCAUAUGCUUCUAUGCUGUCGAGUACCACCUGCCAGAUCAAGUAGCACGACAGUUUGGGAUGAGGCAGAUUUGGCCACCACCGGCGACCUCGACUAGUGUGGAGCUACACAGGUAAGUUUUUUCGUAUUUGAAUUAUUUCAAUACCAUUAACUAAAUUUUGCCUAGCAGUAACAUGUAAUGUGACGUGCAGCGUGGAUCGUAAGAAGAAACGGAAGGUCUCUGAGUGGGCCGCGUUCCACCAGGCGUACAUUGACGAUUGGGAGAACUUCGACGAAAACAUGGACGAGAACGACGAGCCGCACACAAACAGUGAGUACAGGCAAUACCAAACUUGGUACCAAGGUGCGACGCGUCACAGGCUGAGGGCAGCAUGGACGGAAGAUGACUACACCGACAUCCAAUCAUCCGAUGAUGAAGACACGGUGUACGAUCAAAGUACUCGUGCUGGAAGGCAGGUGGAGGCAGGACCAAUCCUGGAUAGGAUGGUAAGACAAUUGCUUGACUUUUCUAUGUUCUAUGUUAAAAUACUUAGAGAUUUAGUUAGUUAGAUAAGGACUUAGUGACCAUCUGACUUAAUCAUUUAGUCAUUUUAGUGACUUAGUGUGUAAGUAAGUUAAUGACUAAAUCAUUUAUUGCUUUAGUGACUUAGUCAUUUGUUGCAGGGCCGUACCCUCCAAAGCUCGGUUAGAGAUAUAGAGCAUUUCCGUCCUAGAGUUACGGACCCCGAGACGCGGAGCUUUCUAGAGGCAAUUCUCAAAUUAUUCUUUCUAAUACUUUAUUAAUACGUUACAUUCUUCUUUCGUGUAACUAGUUUUUACUACGGCAAUGACUGUUAAAUCGGCUUCGCCGUGCGGCUGCUCGUUGUGGUUGCAGGAUUGCCACGACGCGAGACGUGCACGUUCCAUCCCUACGCGAAGGAGGCGUCAGUACGUCUAGCCAAGGCCCCUCAGGUUCGAAAGCAAUUGCAUCCGAGGAUGAGAACGACGACGACGACGACGAUGAGCAGAGGGCCGAGGAGCUUGGCCCGUCUCAGCUUCAGGAGGCUCCCUUAACUCAGCCUACACAGGUUGUAGGCACUAUACUUGUUGGGGGGAAAUAUCAACACUCCCCAAAGACACCACUUAAAGAAGCGGACGCGGAGGCCCGGGCCCACCUAAGCGUAAUCAGAGCUCCGCCUCGCCCGACCAAGGCGCCAGGAUCGGGAGCGCCCGACCCCCCUCCGCAAAGUUUCCGCCUCGCCCGACUGCGACCCCGGGGUCGGGGGCGCCAGACCCCUCGCCACGGAGUUCCGCCUCGUCCGACCCCAAGCGAAGGGGUCGGGCGCACUGGGGCCCCCGGGGGAGGCAUCCCCCUCGGAUACGGUCCAGACGGACAAGACAGACAAAAUCCUGUGGGUCCCCCCGUCGGCCUCGCCAUAAAUGCGCCGCAGGACUGACGGAGGGCAGGGCGACUACGCCCCUCACGCAGCCCGGCGCAAGUACCCGUGCACGACCGCUAUGUACAGGCUACAGUGCAGGCGGCCGGCUCCCAUUCGCCGCAGGGUACUCAUGGCCUGCGCCGACCGGAGCAAAAGAGAGAGCGGCCUGUCCUCGGGCCCCGCGUACCCUCGGGUCCCGCGCGCCCAGCAGCACGGAUGCGACACUCUCCCUCUCAGCACCCGUCGCCUGAACAGCAGCAUCCACCGUCCUCCCCAAACGGACACUGGGGUAACGACGGAACGCCCUCAUCAUGAUCUGAUACCUACGAGCAUCGAAGUAGCUAUAUGCAGGGAGCAACAACACUUGGCACACGGCGACCACCCCCUCCGGCAUGCGCGCCGGCACUCGUCAGGGGCCGACAGAGGCAUCGGACGCCUAGGAUCUUGCUCCUCCUUCUUGCAGCUACUUUUACCAUUCUACGCUUUACCCUUUACAGUCCUCUGAUCCGAUCCCAAAUGUAACUCCGGCCACCCCCCUUGCGGUAUAAAAGGCGGAACCCGGGGCCGGAGAGGGGAUCGGCUUUUUCUCCCUCACGCCAUAGUACACCACAACUCUCCCUGAGAGCGCAAGCACCAAAGAGACUUGGGACCAGUCCCUCUCUCGUCGAUCUGUAACCCCCUACUACAGAACCCCGCGUGGGCAACACGAACAUCCCCGAUACUGGACGUAGGGCUUCCUUUGCCCGAACCAGUCUAAAUCCGUGUCUCCCGCGCAACCACCUGAGGCUUACGCGCAUAAAAGAAAUUUACUAGUCUAAGUCUUGAUCCGCUGAUCUUGACAACGACAAUACUACGUCGCCUAUGUUCUCCUUACACUCCAGGAAUCGACGCCCUUGGUCACAAGGGUAAGGGUAAGACUAGGAGGCAGUGACGGUUUUUAUUGCGAACUUUGUAUUAUAUGAACUAUUUGUAUAUAUGGACUUUCAUUCUGAACUAUUGUGGAUUCUAUUAUGAAUGUGUCAUAUGUUUAUAUGCUUGUAUGUUUGUAUUUAUGUUCACUAUUCAUCUCGUAAUUUUGUAUGGAUUGCAUCAAAAAGUAGGGAAAAUUCUUCCGAAAUUUCGCUAACAAGUACCCUUUUUAUUUUCUGCGGGAAUUUCACUAGACUACAACUUUGAAGUGCAUUACAUCGCAAAGUAAACAUAGGUCGUCUACAAAUUGCGUGUCCAUACUUAAAGUGCAUUAUUACAUGACAACAUAAUAAAAGUCUCAUAGUAGAAAAUAUUGUUCAUAAAUAAACCAUAGAACUAGAAUCUAAAUAUGGCUAUUGAGUGCAACGAGGCCACUUUCCCUUCCUUAAGGCAUCGGGAUUAUCCUCAACCGCUGCUUUCGCUCGGCGUGCCCGCUCAAGCUUCUUCUCUCUCUCCUCCCUGUUCGCAGCAACGCGCCUCCUUUCCUCCUCUUCCUUGUGCUCCUUUUCCGCAGCCUCCUCUAUGAGCCUUUUCUCGUACACCUCCUUCCUCUCUGCAUCCCAGCGCAUCAUAUACUCCAAAAACUCCUUGUCUUCAGGAUUGAUCUCAGUGUCGACCCACUGCUCAAAAUCACAUAGCGGUGGAGGGGUCUACAACAAAUGCAAUUGUUAUAAAACAAAAAAAUUAUGGACAAUAAUUAUAAGACAACAAAAAUUCCUUACCAACAUGUUAAUGCGGCGCUGACGAAGUGUAGAUUCAAACGCAAAGUUGGAACACAUCUAAUACCUCUGCCUAUACGUGGCAUGUUCAUCGGACUUGGCUACCUUGCAAGGAUCGCCGCAAAAGUACAUCGGCACUGGAACACCACUAGGCAGAGGCAAUUGAUCGAAGGUAUUUCCGGUCUUCUUGGCGCCAUAACUACAAUUUAGUUUAUUUCGUUCUAUGAAUCAAACGCACUUAACAAUAAACCUACAAUUAAGGUUUUUUCAUUUGAUCCACAACAAUGAGCAUAUAACAUAACUACGUGCGCUGAGAUUACCUUAGUUUCUUAACUUUUCCAUGCCUCGGCAUCCUACAUUUGCAUGAAACCCUAAGUUUAAAAAUGCAACAAAUAUAUAGCGAAUCGAUGCGAAAAAAAGGUACGAGGGAGAGAGGAUACCUUGCUCUUCAGGAUCCACGGAUCAAAUGAAAGUUUCCUAAGCUACAAUAUCGAUUCGUAGUCUAGGGCGAAGUAGAGAGAGUAAAAACCCGAGAGAGUCGAGAAGAAUGAGGAGGAACUCUCGGGCAGGAAGAAGGGUGGCGGUAUAUGUAGGGAGGCUUGGCGCCAGGCUUGGCGGCGCCAAGCCUUGGCGCUAAGAUCUAUGGCGCCAAGCCUCGGCGCCACGUCGGAGGCGCGGGCGCCAAGACGUUAUAGCUUCCUGACGCCAAGCUAAGGGUCCAUUUUUGAAAUUGGUUUCGCUAUAGGUCUAUUUAUGAAAUUUUUUCGCGAAAAGGGUCAAAAUAAAAAAAAGCCGGGCAUCAGAGCUGCCAAAUUCAUGCCGGUGCCGGGCAGAGGUGCCAUGCCGCGCCAAUGCCAUCGGACUGCCGAAGCAAAACGCAGCAUGGCACGGGUAGCACCAUGCUGCAGUUGGCAAGUGGCAAACAGCAAAUUUUGCCGGAGACACGCAGAAUUGGGCAUCGAUGCGUGCCGGAACCAGUGUCCUCUCCUUUCCCGAAAGGUCACCCUAGUUAGGCCAGCCUGAGGCUGAGAAACUUUGCUUUUCUACCAAUAAACACAUGUUUUUCCUGAGGGUUUGAGCUUGUUGCGCUGCUACAAGCUAAAAAAUGGCACGCGCCGAACUUUGCCACCAUGACAAGCUGACAGUGACGCCUCAUGCCUGUUGCGCCGCAUCGAAAGGCAGCGUGAAAGAAUUGCACGAAGCCGUCAGAGUCCAUCACCGUUCUGGGCCUUCUUUCCGGUGAGCCUUGAUCGCGUUUCUUGCGAAUUGCGAUCCGUGGUGACUGGUGGUUUCACUCUCGCCAAAAGACAAAUAGUAACAGUGAUGAGGCAUCUAAUCUCAGAGAGAAGCGGCCAUCCGAUCAUCACGCUCACCAAUCUGCGAUGUACAAGCGGGUUCGUCGGUAGUUCGUGACCUGCCAAGGCCAAUUCUGCCACGCUGGGACAAUGGACAGCCAAGAAUUUUCACAAGUACGCGUGCUUCUUCCUGCCGAGUGCCGACCAUAGUUCAGACGCCCCGAGCCCCGAGGGCGCCCGGCCGAGACGUUGCCGCGACGCGGCGUGCUCGCAGGUCGCAGCAUCCACGAAAAAGGACUUGGCCAGUUGGUCACAUCACACUCGGUGAAUCGCAUCGCACAAUACGCGCGCGCCGCCGGUUCUGCUGCAUCCGCAUGGGGUCCAUGCCCGCCACCGCCUGGCGUCUGGACAGACGCCUCCACCAGCACAAGCGGCGCGGCCGGCCGAGGGCCACGGGCCACGGCCAACUGCGUUCCGUACAAAAUCAAAGCGACCGAGGCCCCAUGCGGGCUGCGGCCCUGCUCGCGGAGGCGCAACGCGGGUUCGUCAUCCAUGGCCGGCACUGCCCUCGCGGAGGGAGAGGGUGCGCCACCGUGCCGGCGCAUCGCAUGCAGUGGUGGACGUGGACGCGCGCGUACUCUGCCGCCCUAGGGUACUGCGACCGCCUGCGUGGACAGUGUCAGGCUGCAGCGUACGAGCUGUUCCAGACUUCCAGCGCCUCAGAGUCUCGGACUCAGUGUCAGAGCCCACCACCUGCAGAGUGCAGACACGCCAUGGCUUCGGAUAGCCUAGCUUAUUAGCUUCAGCAGGAUGCACAUUUGAAGUUACGGGUAGCUUCAGCCUUCAGCAGAAUGCUGACUGCACAUUUGAAGAGCCGCUUGCAGGCUGGUCGAUUGUAUACACAGAGAGGACCAUGUUUGAAGGCUGUGGCCUGGAUUACUCCAUUGUAACCUGAGACGCUGAAGCUGAAGAUUUUUUUUUAUUUACUUCUAGAUCAAGAACAAAGAAGGCAAGUACAGAUUGCAUUGAUAUAGAGAAGACGCAUCGAUACAUCGCGAGACUCAACGACAGCACAGCACAGGACAGAACACCGCCACUUCCUUCUGCACCUAAACGACCCCAAGAAGGAGAGAACAACCGGAGGAACGUACCAGCUGCUACAAACCACACGCCACCGGAUGCGGUCUGUCUCUACGCGCCGUACUUGUAGCUCCCGAUGUCCUCCGAGAUCAUCUCGAGGUCCCUGGAGGCCACGGCCAUGGACAUGGCCCGCCGGUGGCGCCCCGCCUGCCUGGCCGCCUGCAGCUCCGAGGCGUCCGCCGCCGCGGGCUUCCGCUGCUCGGCGCCGCCCUCCGCCACCGCCGCCGGCACGUCCUCCAGCGCGAAGUUCUCCGGGAGCACGAACACGCUCUGCGACGCCCGCCUCUGGUGCCUGCCCGCUCUCUGCGACAUCUUUGCGGCGCUCAACAACACCUACAACGACAGGGCUUGGCCUCGUGCGGCUGUUUCCACUAGGCAGAGGAAAGAGUGCUCGAGCUACCUGCUUGGGAGCUAAGGACGAGGUGGCUGCUAUAUAUAGCCUGCCCGGCGCAUGCUCGAGGUCGGGGAAGGAAAAUGUUUUCCCAUGACACUUCAUGAGCAGUUCAGCAUCUCACCAGUACAGAAUUGUACAGUAAUUUGUACGUUCACACCGCCGGCCUAUGCGUACACGGAUCUGACAUCCUGACAGUUUCUGCUUCCCGAGGGCGCUGACUUGUGGCAGAUGCAUGUGCAGACGUGCGUCUGCAUGGCCCUCCAGCAUUUCGUCAGGCUCUCCCCUGAAUCCCUGAUCGCGAGAGGAAUGGCGUCUUGCUGAAUGGGCGCUCAUCUGGCGCCUCAUCAGGAUCUACAUCACCACAUCAGCGUGCGAUCUCUGCAGCCAUGGCUGCUGAGCUCAACUUGGGCCUGCAAGCUGCGAUCAAGUUGGCACGUACUGUCUGCCGACUUGCCUGGCGAGUGCAGGGCAUAUGAAUUUUCUGCUCGUAUACGAUGUCUCCAGGAAGCUUCCUGCUAGGUAAAACAAAUGGUGUUCGUGAAGCGUUUGUACCGGAAUCUUAGGACCGAGCCCGCCAAUUUUAUUGGGUAAGUGCUGCACUCAUGAUCCAUUCUGGCGUUGUUAACUGAGACCCCACGUGCAAACCGGGAGAAGGAAUCCGCCAACGAAACCAAUCACAGAGGAAGGAGGAGUAAUCACCAGUUCAUAAAAAAGUGUGCCGGUACGGAUCGAAAUCCUGCCUAACGGUUUCUCAUUGCAAGUUUCUGAUAACAUUAUUAGCUCGAUAUAUCGACUAUUUCAGGUUUUCAGUGCUAGCAAAUCUGCAACUGAUUUGAUUGCAUAUAUCCCUCACUCAGUUUACUCUCUUAUCACAACGGAAUCUCUCUUUUUUUUUUCAUAUUGUUUUCUGUAUUACGCCCUGAUCGAGCUGGAUGCUUAUGCAACCAGAAAAGAAUCGAUAAGGCCAGUGGUGUUUAACUGUUAAAGAUGGCACCCGUGCAUGUUAGUAGAUUCCAAAAUCCUGGCCCUCGUGUCCAGCCUCACAUGGGCUGCUCACAUGGCUCCAUCGACCGGGCCAUGAUAAGCCCACCCUUGUACAAAUUAUUGGUGUCCCCUCCGCGCUCGUGUGCAUCGCCAUAAUGUGUGAGAAUAAAACAAGAUACACCUCAGCAUUCCCAACGUCGUGAAUAAGAAAAGGAACUGUAUUGUACUGUAUUUUCCUAGAAAAAAGUUCAUUAAAAUGCUAAAAAGUUAAUAAUGGGUAUAUAUGCUUAAAUUUAAGAUGUGAACAAAUUUUGUUAUAUAGUUGUUAACUUGUUAUUAUUAAUAACCGGUAAAGGAAGAAAACAAAUAAUAAAAGAGAGUCAUUCUGCGCGUUGCGGCCGGGCCUAACCGCCUAAUGGGGGCCUGGGCACAGCCCAAAACAGCAGCAGUGCUUGGGCCACUUAGCGUGGCACCGCAUGUCGGCCCGGGAACGGCCUGUUAAGGGCCCGCACCACUCCCCCACCUCCCCCAUACAAAAGGUUGCCCCAACCCUAGCCCCUCAUUUUCCCCUCCCCGGUUUUCCAGCAGCCGCCGCGCGCUGCUCCCUCGUUUCACCCCUCCCCCUCAUCUUGGCGGCGCUAUUCGGUCUUCGCAGGGCCCUUUGCCGGCGACGAGCACCCAGCAGGUAUGCCCUCCCCUUCUCCACCCUUCCUGCUGUGUGGAACAGAGCACCACAAACCCUAAUAUAAGCUAUCUGUAUUCGGAUCCCACCCAGUUACAAUACUAUUACAUAAGAGCUUCGAUUUUGCUUGCAAAAAUUAUCGAGUGUACAUGCGUACACCCAUGUCCUAUGCUGGGUCCGCCCCAACUGGAAUGCACGGUUUAUCUGCUUUAUGUAUUUGCUUUGCGAUGUAAUAGCAUUCCACUUUUGGCCGUGCAAUAACAUUAGAAAGUUGGUAUGUAGCAAUUACGAUUUGCCAAGUCCUUUUUACUGUUCGUUGGUUUCUGCCUGCUUAUAGAAGUCCUCCAUAAUCCAGAAAUGAAAUGAAGUUUCAACUCUUCUGCUGCACGGAAUGUAUUUGGCUCGUCACCUCUAGCUAGUGUGUAUUCAUCCAUGGAGGAUCAUAUUGAUGCUAUGCUUCUGUCCGUAGCCAGUUUUGCGUUUGUCUGUACUGUGAUAACUGAUAAGAACGAGUUUCAGUACUUUUUACAUUUAAUGUGCGUUUUUUUAGCUUGUGGAAGAUCAUUCACACUUGCCUAGGCUGUUCUGAAUGCCGUACAUAGUAGUACUCCCUCCGUUCCAAAUUGUAAGUCAUUCCAAGAAUAUUGGAGAGUCAAAGCAUCUCAAGUUUGACCAAAAUUAUAGAGAAAAAUAUAAAGAUUUAUGACAUCAAAUAGAUAUAUUAUGAAAAUAUAAUUGAUAAAGAAUCUAAUGAUACUUAGUUAACAUCAUAAAUGUUAUUAUAUUAUCAUAUAAAUUUGGUCAAACUUGAGAUACUUUUACUCUCCAAGAUUCUUGGAAUGACUUACAAUUUGGAACGGAGGGAGUAGUUGGUUUCUGUGACACUUGGGUUCAAUUCAUCAACUUUUUUGUGGUUUUGGCACUUCAGUAUUAGUUAAGGUAGACGAGGCUUAUUCUUCCAUGUUGGUUCUUCUUGACUGCCAAUCUGCUAGUGUUGUAUUGCAGUCUGCAGCUUCUCUGUUACUUAGUUUUUGGCCAACAUAAAUGGGUCUUGACUGUCUCAUGUCAACUUCGGUAUCAGUUGUAGCUCAAUAUGGUUAUCAAUUUACAAAAUAAUUUAUAUCUGACCUUGAAUCGUGGACUGUUUUUUACACUUUGGUUAAUUGUACUUAUUUAGAAUGGUUGCACUCUUAAGCUGCCUUUCACAACUUUUUUGAUGGUGUUCUGCAGGUAAGGUCAUUAUGGUUAGAGUCAGUGUUCUCAAUGAUGCUCUGAAGAGCAUGUAUAAUGCUGAGAAGCGUGGGAAGCGGCAAGUCAUGAUUAGGCCGUCAUCCAAGGUCAUUAUCAAGUUUCUUAUGGUCAUGCAGAAGCAUGGUUAGUUAUCAAUUUUUAUCCUAACAAUUUUUGCUUUCAUGGAGGAUGGGGUCCCUGAUACUUUUGUUGUGCUGUGCAGGCUACAUUGGUGAGUUUGAGUAUGUGGAUGAUCACAGGGCAGGAAAAAUUGUGGUUGAACUGAAUGGCAGGCUGAACAAGUGUGGUGUCAUCAGUCCUCGCUUUGAUGUUGGAGUGAAGGAAAUUGAGGGAUGGACAGCCAGGCUACUCCCGUCUCGUCAGGUUUGUUGCUUGGCGAUGUUACCGACUCCAAAUACCUAAAUUGUGACGAAUUGUCUGUGUUUUGGGCACUGCUGAUCUUUCAGUGGUAAAUUGAUUAACUUGCCCCUUGGGACUUGCAGUUUGGUUACAUUGUUCUGACUACAUCUGCUGGCAUCAUGGACCAUGAGGAAGCCAGGCGAAAGAAUGUUGGUGGCAAAGUUCUCGGUUUCUUCUACUAAAAUGGAAAUUUUGCAAGGAGCAUCAGUUUUUUUGUCUGAAUAGCUGCAGAGAUGAGCUUAUGAAGCAUGUUUGCUGUUUUGUUAAUGUUUUGGCUUUUAUGAUAUUUGAGGUGUAGUUGAAUGUUCGCUUGUUAGACACCAAACUGUGCUCAACUUAUAUAGUUGGCAUCUGGAUUUUAAUCGAAUUAAGCUAUGGUACUUUCUCGUUGUGUUGACUAUCUCCAAAUACGCUCUUUUGACUUGUGUUAAUUCUUGUAUGUUCCCAAGUGCAAGUGAAGUCUGAAACUCAGAACUGGUUUGUUUCAGAUGUCAAUGACCUGGAUAAUAUGCCAUUAGUCUGGAUGCUGCUGAAAUGUAGUACCUGAAGUAUAUGAUUUAAAAUUUUAGAAAAUCUCUAUUUGCUACUCUCUCUUUUGAAUUGUAGGUUGUUUUAUUUUUUCCACUUAGAUAUAAGUGUAUGUCUAGAUGAACCCAGAAAAUCAAAACAACCUACAAUUUGGAAAUUUGGAACGAGGGAGUACAUUACAUAUGGGUCACACACUCACACCUGUAUACGCCGUUAUUCCCAAACUAAUUUAUGCUAGCUGGCUAGUAUGUAGUUUCGUAGAGCAUAGACAUCAGAUGUACCAAUUAAGAUGAAACUUCACAAAGAAACUUCACAAAGAGAACAUCUCUGAAAAGCAACAAAACGUCACAACAAGCUCUACAAACGUAUACAGUGGCCUGCACCAUAUGGUACUUCACUAAAUACUGAUGUAUUAUUGCUGACUUAAUAUAGAUAACAACGGAUACAUGAAGUUGCAUUUCUACAGUGACUCAUGAGCUAGGGGCGGUAAUACACGCGCUCAAUUACCAUCUUCUCACGGAGGAGGAAGAUCUGCCAAAGAUGUAUAGUUGCCCUACAUGGCCGAACACCAGCUGCCUCCGCCGUCAGCCCGUCACCGUCGCAGCUGUCGCCGCCGCACUCGCUGCCGGCGAAGCCGAGGGAGCAGCCUGCUUGAACUACAUGGCAGCGGCAUCAGGACAAUGUUGGGGUAGAGAUUAGAGAGGCACACCCCGGUAAAGGGUCCUCCAUGGAAGGUGUUGGAUGAGGAUGCAUAUAUAGGGAGCUUGAGGCUUGUCCCGGCGAGUGGAAGCCUAGGUGGGUGACGGCCUUUUUCGCGAACCGGAAUGCGGUAUCUUCCUUAGCAUAUUCUUGAGCACAUGGAAACUUCUCCCCUUUUCCUGUUCCAUGCUUUGCUUCGCUUUCGAGUAUUCAAAGGAUAUUCCAUGCCUUUGCGUGCCUUUCUCUGGACGUAGAGUUGGAGUGGCUUGACGAAGCAUGGGCUGGAAAGCUGGUUAGGGUUAGCUGUGGUCACGACGUCACGUAGAAGAGUCUUGCCUGGUGCUUUGUUUGUUCGUCUAGCAGUAUAUACCAGGUCAUUCAGAGUGAUCUGUUCUUCUAGCACUUGAUGAUCUUGCCUGCUUGGUCGUUUUCCUUUCCCCAUGAGUACAGACAUCAUAAAUAAAAACUAUUAACCAUAUGAAUAUCUAUUUGAAAAGGUUAAUUUAGUGAAAAAUAUAACGUUAAAUUGCUGCCGUGUCAUGGUGUGUUGACGAUGUGAGUUGGAGUGAAGUCGAUCUGCACCUCCGGCUAGGUAAGCUCAAGUUGGUGUUUCUUUUUGUUACCCAGCUCUUUGCAAAUCUUUCGACCUACACGAGAUAUGCUCGAGCAUCUUUCGAAAAAAAAAGAUUUUAGCUCGAGCAACACUGUAAUUUGUUGCCCGCAAAAAACACUGUAAUUUGCAAAUCGCACGUCGAGCACGUCACGUGAAUCUGAAUGAAGUGCUGCGCGGCCCAUGAUCCCCAGGCAUACACGGCCCAGCCAGUAAAAGAAAAACUGCAUGCAGCCUUUGCAAGCGACCCACCAAAAGUCCAAAACCGCAGCGGCGCAAACCACCCCCAAUCAUGACGAGGUCAUAACAGCCCAAAAUUGACCAAAAUACCCCCAAAGGACAACCCACCCGUUCCUACGAUUACCUCAGAUCCACCCCCGCUGAGAACCGAAUCCAAAGCGAUUCGAUUCCCCGCAUCGGCUGGUAAAAAUCCGCCGCUUCGCGCCCGCUGCUGCUGCUUCGAUUGCUUCGUGUGAUCAGUGACCUCGCGCUUCUCUCUCCCAGCCUGUACUCGCCAGCGCGUCGCGGUUGAAGGUCGGGGUGGUCGGGCGGGAGGGCGAUGGCCGCGCCGCCGGCGAGGGCUCGCGCCGACUACGACUACCUCAUCAAGCUGCUGCUCAUCGGCGACAGCGGUGAGUGAGAGUGCUUCGUUCUACAUGUCCCUGCUUUGAUUCACCGCCUGCCAUUUUUAUUUUUGUUAUCUGUGUUGGUUGCGUGCGAGCGCAAGCCUGCUGGAAAGUGGUCAGUGACGAAAUGCUACGCUAGCUGUUAGUGGAUUGUUUGUUUCAUUUGUUGGAUUUAGAGCGGAUUAGCAGAAGCAUGUGGCUUUUACUUGCUGGCGUUGAGUUGCGGGUACAUGAUCAUAGCUGCGCUUGAUUACCUGCUGCCUUUGUAAUAAGUGACAGCUUGUUGAAUAAGGGAGUGAUACAGAAGAUAACAAUGGGAUAUUGAUAAGAGAAGUUAUUAGUUAUAUUAUGUGAAAUUUGGACUACAUGCUACCAGGGAUUAUGGGGACAUUGUUGUCUAUUACUGCAGAAGAACAUUGUGUUUUGCUGAAGGAAUCGUGGACUUGUGGAAGGUCUGCCAUAUGCAAGUCGAAUUGCUUGAUUCUGUGUUUGAAUAAAUGUUUGUUUGUUUGGAAGAUCUACUAUGAUCUUUUUUCUUUUUGAGUGGAGAUUUACUAUGAUCUACAAGGCUAGCUUAUGUUGCAUUUCCCAAGCAUGUAGACAAGGACAAUAUCUCAUCCAGUCAGCUGCACUCCUGAAGUAAGUAUGUCCAUAAAAUGUUUUCAGCUGUAGUAAAAAAUGGUGCGAAUUCAAAGGUUUACAGGGGGUUGCUCGUUUUUUCAGGUACAUGUGCACGUGUGGUGUUCGUGACCAUCCGGGUAUCCAAUAAUCAGUGACAAAGACAUCAUUUAUAAGCUAUAAUAAGACCAUGUAUAGGCUAGAGAGAUUGGCUAAGGAAAAUGAACCGGAGACGGAGUUUUUGAGCAUAAGUCAUAAUAAACCAAAAUGCAUAACAAAAGACAUAUUUGGCAUACUUAAAUUUUUUAGGACAUGAUUAGCAUCUGACUCUACAUGAGUUUUCUUUGGUCAUUACAUUGUUGUAAAGUACAAUAAAUACGCUACCUACGAGGGAAUUUUGUUCUGCAUUUUCACUUUCUCACUUUGUUAUUUCUUCAGUUCACAAAUGAGUCAAUCCCCUGAACCCUUCCUUUGUUUUUUUUCUGUACAUAGGUGUCGGCAAAAGUUGCCUCUUACUGCGGUUCUCCGAUGGAUCCUUCACUACUAGUUUUAUUACUACAAUUGGGUAUGUUCUAUGUUGAAACAUUAUUUAUCUCUUCCCAACUUCCCCUGAUAAGUAAUUAUGCAUUCUUAUUCUGUUGCUUCAAGUUUUCCUUCUUUGCCUGUUGACCUUAAAUCCUGUUUGCCUGCAGCAUUGACUUUAAGAUAAGAACGAUUGAACUGGAUGGCAAGCGUGUUAAAUUGCAAAUUUGGGAUACAGCUGGUCAAGAGCGAUUUAGGACUAUCACUACAGGUGCUAUACUUGUUUCAUUGUGUGCUAGUGACCAGUCCUAUGAAACUAUAUGAUACUGACAGUCCUAUUUUCAAUUGAGUUCCUUUUUAUCUCAGCAUACUACCGAGGAGCCAUGGGUAUCUUGCUUGUCUAUGAUGUCACUGAUGAGUCAUCUUUCAACAGUAUUGCCCUUAUAUAUCUCUUAAAUCUUCAACGUGGAUAAUUUUGCCUACUUUCUUUUGUCUUUGAUAGUCUUGUUCAUUUGACAUACAGAUAUACGGAAUUGGAUUCGCAACAUCGAGCAGCAUGCCUCUGAUAAUGUGAAUAAAAUUUUGGUAGGCAACAAGGCUGACAUGGAUGAGAGUAAAAGGGUAUUGAUCCAAGCUCCCCUAACCCUAUUAUAUGCUACUAGUUUUGUAUGGGCUCUGAUAUCUGCUACUAGUUUUGAAUUACUGCUUCACUUCUCUUUUUGGUUGUUAUUGCAGGCUGUUCCUACUGCAAAAGGGCAAGCACUAGCUGAUGAAUAUGGCAUCAAGUUUUUCGAGACUGUAAAUACCUGCGCUGUGUUGUUUGGUUGUGUCACUGACGAACUUAUUCUGAUUUUGCUUCGUGCUGUAUCUUUCAGAGUGCCAAGACUAACCUCAAUGUGGAGCAAGUUUUCUUCUCUAUUGCCCGAGACAUUAAGCAGAGACUUUCUGAAACCGAUUCCAAGCCUGAGGUAUGGUUACAUGGAGGCUUGUGUUUAUGAGCACGUGAAAUUUAUUUACUCUGUUCAGAGUUUGAAAACUAUCUUAUUGUUUUUAGGAUAAGGUAGUCAAUAUUAGACAAGAUCAAGGUGCCGAGGCCUCGUCAUCUCAGAAAUCUGCUUGCUGUGGCUCAUGAGGAAUUUGGUCUUCAUUAUCCUAAACUAUGUUAGCUUUGUUUUCUUACUUUUUUCCUUGAUAUUGUAGGAAAAAUGUCAAGAAGAUAAUCAUGAUGUGCUUGUUCUUUACUUGUUUCCAUUCUGUGCAACAACCACUCUUGCCUUUUCAGUUUACUAUUGCAAUUUAUUUUUUUCUUCUUCUUUUCUUGUGGGGUGAUGGUGGUGCUGUGAUGGGGUGUUACUGCAUGUUUUGUUGCAAUCAAUCGAGACACCUACUUUUUGCAGUGCUGUGUAAUCAAAUUUAAAUAAUUCCAUUUCUAGUUUACCUAUCUAGGUAUAAUAUAAUAGUACAUCAAGUCACAAGUGUUGCAUUGAACAUUAAUAGUCACAGUUAUGCAUUAAAAAAACUUCUAUGAUAUUAUAUGCGCAGAUCCAUCUUUUUCGUAUGGUUGAUCUGAAUAUUUACAAAAUAAUAUCAGAAGUCAUAUUUAAAAUAAUUUGACUGCACAUGUUCUAAGACCAGUUAUUUUAAAUAGAGCGUGUAUGCCAAUUAUUUGGACCUUUGACAAGCUAAAACUUUUGACUUCAUGAUUGUUGAAAGUGAUACCACAAUUGGUAGUUGUGUAUUAUGCAAUGCUUAUAGUCAGAUCACGACACCUGAUUGAACAACUAGUACAAGUUUUUUUAAAAGAAUUAUCUUUCCUCAAUACACAGUAUGAUGGUUUUCUUGUUUUUGUUUCCUUUGCAUCAUUAAGAAGAAAUAAUAAUUGAAUGAUGUGGAUUUUAUACGGGUAAUACGCUGUGAGAAGUACAAGACAGCUUUGAUGUUGGCACCAAAUCACAUAAAAAAUUCUGAAAGGAGUAUACACAUGUACUCCUCAAUUUAUUCUAUCUCUAUAUAAAAUUUUAAGUUAAAAUAGUUCUGUAAAUAGUUAUAGAAAUUGAGAAUCCUGACAUUCAAAAUCAAGAGGAAAGUGAAAAGGAUGUUAUUGUUUCAUUUCAGUUUUAAGUUGAAACCGUAAGGGGUUAAUUAUAUGGUAAGUUUGCACAUCUCGUUUCAUAUUGUAAAAUUGGUUGAAAAAGGCAAAUCUCGGUUAUUCUUCCAUGUACGUGGGUGAAUGAAAGUUUGAACUGUUCUGAGUGCACGUUGAUUGUUGAAUGCACUUAAAAACAGGGAAGAAUCCAUCAGAAACUGUCGAACUCAUUCUGCUUUGUUUUAUUCAUCUUCUUGCGUUUCUUUUGGUGUACUCUGACCAGCUGAAGGUACAGGGUAAUCCUGACAGCCUUGCAAUUCAGCCUGCAUGUUUCGCACUACUGUGGUUAUCAAAGUAUUAGCAUUUAUUCAAAAUAAAAAGAAGGGAUAUUAAAAUUGGAAUGAAAAGCGAUGUCCACGGGCAAGCAAGAAAAUAUUGAACUUGGCCAAUAACAACUGUUUGAACGCCAUUAUUACAAAGCGGUACAGAACUGUUACUUCGGUAAAUUCUCUCCGCUUAGUCAAAUGGAAACGCAUAGCAUGUUAUUACUAUUUACACCAAGGAAAUGGGAAGGGUUCAUCUCUAUUUCAUUCAAACUACCCUAGCCUAUAAAUAUACCUAACAACUCCAUGGUAGAAACCGAGAAUUACAGAAGUCUAAAACAAAUCUAACAUGUAUUUUGGAAAGAAUUUGGGGGUGCCCCCAGAAAGUAACAAUGGAACAGUAUACCGUGACGAACACAACAACAACCAUGAAAGAAAAAAAAAAUUAUGUGCAGUCUAACGGAAAUCAAAGGCCCAACUAGAGCGAACAGUCUAACAUGGCGAGCGUCUUAUGUACACCCUGCCCGGCUCCGCCUAGCACCGCCACGCUCCGGCACUUGGCGCAGUUCUCCGACGGCGUGAGGUUGAGGUCCAGGCAGAUCCCUCCGGCGACGUCGCAGGCCUUCUCGGGCGCCGGUCGCUGCACCUUGUUGUUAUGCGCCUCGGCGUCGGCCUCGGCCUCGGCGCGGUGCCGCCGCAUGUGCCCGCCGAGCGCCUGGCCGAUGGCGAACUCGAGCCCGCAGACGGGGCACUCGUGCACCCUCGGCUUGGCCGGCUGCUGCGGCGCCAGCAGCAGCGGCUGGCGCCCGAGGCAGAGCUCCGCGUGGUCGGCCGCUGGGCUCUGCUGCUGCUGCUGCUGCAGCGGCUGGAGCAGCCUGGGCCGCUUGUGGCUGGCGCGGUGGCCACCGAGCGCCUGGAACGUCGGGAACUGCCGGCUGCACGUCUUGCACUCGAACACGCGCCCGUGCGGCCCCCGCGCCGAUGGGAACGGCGCCCCGUGCCCGUGCUGCAGGAGGUGGCGCUGCUGCUGCUGCUGCUGCGCCUGCGCGAGGAGCACGAGCAGGCGGGCCGUGUCCGCGGCGCCGGCCUCCACCUCCCACGCCGCCCUGUCCCUCUUGCUCAUGGCUAGCUAUUGAUCUACCGAAAAAAAAAUACGCGCAAAUGUCGGGGAAUGUGCGGGGCAUGGGGGCAACAGGCGGUCGUAUAUAUAGCAGCGGCAGCGCAUGGCGGCGUUGGAAUUGGGUGCCAGGCCGGUCGGGUCCGUUUCAGACCGCCUGCACUGCACGUACGACUCCGCAAAAGAAAUGGGGCACGACGCACGACUCGCCCAGUUGCUAGAAUGCUAGCUACUACGCCUAUACCUGGUGAUGACUCGACUGAAACGACCCGAUCUCCCGUUUGGUCUGCUUCUAGACGUGGAUGUGUGUACUAUUCCGAGCGCUGGAGAGUGCCUCUGACCACAGCUGCGUGUGUGCUGUACUACUGCUACCUCCGGACACCCCUCGUGAAGUCGCGAUGUCUCAGUCAACAUGGGUGUGUCCAUCGAUCAAGCUGUGUGGCUACCCCGGCUCGUACUGGCGCUACCCUUCUAGAGAGGCUGCGCCGGCGCGGGCGACGUGCGUGCUCCCGAGCGUCGUCCCGUUCCGUUCGCCAUGUUUUACUUCUGCUACUCCCGAGCGGCCACGGCUUUCACACCUCCGAUCCUCCUCCAUGGAACGGCCGGUUGGUAAUGGUGUCUCGGUGACUCAUCGAUUACGGGUACAGUCGGUUCAAUUCCAUUUAACAUUUAUUGGGUCGACUCGAUCGCAAUCGUCUAGAACGUACCAGUGGCGUCAGUGUCUGACUAUAGCAUCUCCGUAAUUCGGCGUACUGAUUUGAGAUUUCUGUCAGGACCAGCGGAGAAGAUUAUCCGAGCCAGAAGUUUACUGCCGCGUGAGGUACAGUUUGCUGCUGCUGAAUUCCUUUCCAGAUGGUUUGGGGAUGCCGGUUAAUCGGAGGCAUCUGACAGGAACCGGAGUCGACGACUGAACAGGUUAUACUACUCGUUGUGCAAUCCAUUGUCCAACUGCCAACUAAACUUCUUUGACAGGGAUCGGAGUAUCGAUCCAAUCCAUAAUCGUCAAUCACGCAUUCGGACUUUAGCUAAUUAUAAUCAGUUCAUUGCUGGAGUUGUUUGAAUAAUGAACGUAGUAGUCAUAUUGAUUGAACGUACAAACUAUUCUCACGUCCGUUUCCCCGUGAAAAAAAAUAAUGCAGCCUUGCAGCAGCAGCAGCCAGUUGGGUGCUUCCGCGAAUGCGCAAUCUUUUCUUGUGCAUCAGAUAAAAAAAAGUUUAGCCGAUGGAGUCAAAUGUCAACGCGUUAGCCGUCAUGCACUCAUCCUUAACUUUACCAGCCACCAGGUGCCUAAAACAGUCGUAAGAUCAAAUCUCCUUGGGACUUUAUUCGAAGAUCGAUCAGUAGUAGUAGUAGGUGACUCACCUAACUACUCCAGACGCCAACUGUAUCCCGGCCAACGACUAACCUGUCCACGUAGACAACACGCACGCGGAAAAUUGAACCUGAGAGCUGCGAGUUUGGUCGAUCCGGUCCUGCAUGCGGCAGCAUACUGAACUAGUGAUCAAGUACUGACGCCUGCAUCACGUACCCAUCGUUAGGUAGAGUGCAGCCCCGGUCUUGCCGUCUUGGCGGCAAAACGUAGUACGGGCGAUUAUUUGACCAAUAUUUUUUUUGGAGACGAGAAUAAACUGAAAACGAUGGACCGGCCGCCUGUGCAUUUUCACUCCCAUAAUUUCUCCAACCACACUUGGGCCAAAAACUUCUAGCAUGUGAUCAAAACACGUGCACGUUUUCAUAGCUGUUUGGUUUUGAAAGGCUCCCGGAAGGCCGAAACCAAAGAAGAAAAGCUCGGUUUCGAGGUCAUACUAAGCAUGAUUCAGGCACUGUGUCGGUCAGCAGUCAGCGCAAGCUACCAUGUCUUGAAAUGUGCCCCCAAAAGCUAAGCUUUGUACUAACACGUACAGAACGAGACCCGUCGCCUGCAAGACUCAUGCGUGUGCGCACGAGUCCGAUCGAGCUGCACCAACCACCACUAUUCCCGCUUAAUUUUCCACCCAAACUAAACACCAGGAAAUCACGACAGCCACGAGCGAGCCCACGAUCUAAUAAAGAUUGAACCGGAUCUUGGACUCGGACUCUCAAAACCGAGACCCACCAACGCAAGGCCAACGACGAUAAGCGCGGCCGGCACGAUCCACCCAACUCCCUUUUGCUUUGCUUUGGAUUAGUCUAUGACGAGUAGUAGCUAGUAAUUUGCAUUGGCCAGGUCAUGGUUGCAUCAGUUUUUUUCUUACACGUCGCUGUAAGCACGAUCGGUGAGAGCUGCAAGAAGUCGAUCAGCUCCGCAUAUUUAAUCCUGCGACUUGUGCACUCGGAGAGUACUUGUGGAAUUGUUAGUGGUACAGAUGUCCGGCCGGCGGCCGGUUUCUUGCAUCGCUUGGACACUUUUGUCUGUGUACUGCCAGCUGAUGGGACGAUUAUGCCAGCGCCACAGGAUUUUCAAGGGAAAUUAGGUCGUCCAGGUGGAGUACACUACGUAUUUUUUCAUUCUCUAGAAAUAUUAGGACUUUCUCCUGCCAAUUCGCAAUCGCCGUGAUGCACGAUGUACCCGAAUAGCCGUUGAAAAUCGUGUAUUUUAUUUCUCACAUUCCGAUUCAAGACGGAUCGGAGCAGCGUCAGUGCUGGUUAAGACAAGCACGUACAUGUUGGAGACGGCGACCUGUUCAUGCAGGGUGAUUUCAGGAGAACACGUCAGCUUCUCAGGGCAUGCAUGGAAGUCAAGAACGCAGUUGGAAAGCACAUCUCGAUCGAUCGCAUGGACUUGGGUACAUGGAGGCGACGUGGAACCCGUGCAACUUGGAUCAUCGUCACAGAAACGGUUUCACACGGGUCAAUCAAUCGGUCGAUGGCUCAGCUCUUGGUCGCUACGGGAAUAUUUUGCCUUUUUACACUAGCUAUAUCUUGAUCUGUAGUGACAGCGAGUUACUAGACAGUCAACAGCAUGUGUAUGCCAUGGAUGAUGAGUUGAUGACUCCUAAUUGCGGAAAGGUGUGGCGAAGACCUCCAAGUUUCCAGCACUCGCUGAGUCAUAUCAAAUGAAGGAAUGCGAGCAUGUCACAGUUAACCCUGCAGUUAGCGCUUAUCGGAAGAAGAACUUUACCUGCGUGGAUGGCGUCAGAGCUGGCGUAGCAAUCCCAGGUCGUCAGAGUUUAGCUUCGCUCCUUUUCAUAUUCAGGUCGUUCGCUCGUCAGAGGAUGAACAUGCUGCUUCCCCUCAUACACUGCACCUUCCUUCACGUUGCGUUGCUGCUAAGUUAGUGGAGAAGAAAAGGCAUACUCUCUGAACGAAAGCCAUGUUAAACCAAUAGUGCAAAAGCCAUCCUCUGAUCUUCUUCAUCAGAUGUCUGCAUGAUUCAUGGCGUAACCCGUUGCAGCAGCAGCGUUUUUCUUUUGUUAUGUGUUGAGUCUGCAAUAUUUCCUUGACAUGUUCAGUUUACAGGUGACAGGCGAACCUUCUCAGAUGCUUCAGAGAGCACAUUUUCUAAGAUCGCUCGUUUCUAACCUAGCAGGAGUAAGCUUCAACCAUCCCUGAGUCAGCUAGCCAACUUUUCCAGGUACAGCCGACAAGUAUACGAGGUACAGCCAGCAAAUCCAGACGAGAUACCAAUACAAUUCAUGUUUACUUUUCCCCACACCAAUGGUCACACAUACUACGGAUAUAUCUUUCCAAUCCAGUUCCACGGCUGUACUAUUCAGUAGAACAAUAUCUGUUUCAGACUAGGAUGUGCACUGCAAGCCAAGAGGUCGGUGUCUGGUCAGCAAACCCACCAGCGCAUCAAAAUCACAAAGAUCUCGUUGCUGCCUAUGAGAUGAUGAGUUACCAAACACUAAUCUGUCCACUGGGAAGGAGUCAACACGCAGGAAAGACGGGCCGAAAACGCCCUCUUUCAGUUAGUUUUUUUUUUGAAAGAUCUGUUUCAGUUAGUUCCUCAACUUGCUGCUACAAACCUAGUGAGGAAAGAACCACUAGCGACUUACCAGAGAACUAUCAGCUAGGCUAUGUCACGCACACGUCAACACAAGAGAUUCCAUUAGACACAAAUUUAAUAAAACGUCGUAAGUUCAAAAUUUAAUAUAUUUCUACCAUGGCUCAAAUAAAAGAGGGGUACAUGCUCCAAUAGUUACCGUUUGCUCCCCGUUUUACUGAGUUGUUCGGAAUAACUUAGUUCCAGUGAACAACUAGGGAUAAUAUGAUCCACCACUAAGGUUUCAUUCUUCAGAAAUGAUAAAUUUAGUAAACAGUAGCAUUAGACACAAGUUUUAAUUAAUAUAGAGGCAGAUUAUUUAAGUCACUAAGAAGCUAUAGAAAGUAAGAUGUAACCAUAUUAAAGAACCAUUGUAUGAUGACCACUCGAAGCAAAAAUAGAAAAAUGGCUUAAUGUUUAGGAUUCAUGACAUAUGGCCAUAUUUUUUUCAUUUUCCAUUUUCCAUUAUCUAUCAUCAUUCACAAUCUCAUAUACUGCAUGCAUGAUAACUAAAGAACAAACAGCCUGAGCAUAACUAAGAUUGUAGUGUUAAAUAUACAAAAACGAAGUAAGAGUGCAAACAUCUCACCAAGGGGAAUGAUAUAUAUUCAUGGAUUGACACUAAAAAUAAGGAAAAUAUAAAUCCCGACUUGUUUUUUUAAGUCCUUAUUUUUUAACUGCCUUUCAAUCAAUUAAGUCUAAGAAAAGAGGGAAGACCAAGAGACCGAACAGAGACAAAACAGAGAAGGAGAAACACAAAUCAUUGGUGAAAUUAAAGAAAAGAUCUUUGUUCUUAAUAGUAUCUAUUUUUUUAACGAACGAAGAACCGCUUAUUAUAUUAAAAAGAAGAAUAAACCCAAACUGGGUACAACAACAACGCACAAAGGUAACCUUCCACAGAUCACGCUAAACUCAACUCAACUCAAACCAAAACAAAUUCUAUGGCCGGUCGGAUUGAGACAUCAAUACAAGCCGCAUGCUAACACCUGAGCACUGAACCACCACAUCGCACCACCACAACCCGGGAAAAAAAGCCGACAAGUAGCCCUCAUUGCAAGCGCCGUCGUCCCUGACGAUAUCCCACACCGAACUAGCCGCUGCCAUGCAGGACUGGCUGUCGCAGUCCAUUGCAAGCCGUGUCGCUACCAUGACACCUCCACCGUGCCGUCAUCGUCCUCAGGUCACGCACACACGAUCCUCGAUCUCCUAAAACGGCCUUGCGUCGGAAGAAGUCAAAAGGGGAGCACACUGCACCACACCAAAAGGCCACCGCUAUGCAGGACCCAACGCUGAAGCACCGCUGCAGCACCGUACACACCAAACAACCAAAACACCACACCGGAUUCUAGCUCUCCAAGGCAACUCGAACGCGUGGAGGCCUCACCACUUCCACCGCUGGACUCCACGCCAAAGAUCCGGACUUGCUUUGCCACCGGGGGUGAUAUGGUGCCACCGAGCUGCUCCAAUAACUUCACCUCCACCUUGCCGCCGGAAUCUCAGUUGCCCACAUAGGUGGACCCAAAGCUUCAAGAGAUAAUGGCCCACCACCUUGGCGAAACCUAUCAGACGUUGGCCAAAGAAUGGUUUCCGGAAAACCACAAAGACAACGCCUCCAAGGAGGGAAACGGUACCCGAGGGCGUCGCUGUCAUCGUAGCCAGUAUAACUAGCUUAGGCUUUCGUCGGUGUUUCCGUACAGCCCAGCUCAUCACCAACGUCGACAGCAACACCACCCUAUCACCGGCGCAGAUCCUCAUCAGUGUCGCCAGGCAACCUCUUGCAGCAUACCUUUGCACGCGACCACCACCCACACGCGUGCUUGCGCGGCUCCGCGACAUUCGUGCUGCCGCCCAUGACCAGCCAUGGACCGCGGGAGGCCAGAACCGGUCGCAGGGACGCCGGGAAUUGUCCAGGUGGAACCAGAUCCGUCACUCCAGCAUCGGCCAGCCACCGGCACACCGUGCGGCUCCACUCGCGCCCGCCGCCGCCAGCACUGCCUACACCCUCCUCGCCGCUAGCCUCGCAACCCUGUGCAGCCGCCUCGCACCGACCCUCGCCCACGUCGCUGCAGAGCCACCGGCCCCAAUAGCUGUACUUGAGCCGUGUGCUAGAAAGCGCAGAUCCACUCUCGAGACCUCCACAGGCUUCCUCGUACUGCACCUCCAGACUGUUCCUCGCGUGCAGCCGCCGCUGGCCUCGCACAGCUGCCACAGGGCCGCCGCCAUGCGCUCGUGCGGCCGCCGCCAACCCCCACGCAUUCCGCCUACUUCCACUCCCGCACACAACCGUCAUCGCACCGCCUCCUGCUCCGUGCCGCCGCCAUCGCUACCACUCGCCUAUCCUUUACCACAGCCGCACCGCCCUCCGCUGGUCCGGACCGGCAGCCGCAGGGCCGCCGCCGCUUGGCGCUGCCCGUCGGCCACCGCAUCCUGACGCCGCUCCCCCAGCUUCGAGCCUAGAUCCGGCCCCGAAGGGAGUAGAUUAGGCCAAGAGGGUGGCAGAUCUAUGCCCGGAUGGUCGAAAUCGGUUGACCGGCCAUAACCACUGUCGAUGCAAACGAGAGGGCCUCACCGGCACGAGGGAGAAGAGACCUCGCCGCCACCUUCCUUGCAACCGGAUGGACUUCCGCCUGCCUGCUUGGGCGGCGGUGAGGAGAGGGACGGAGGCUGGGGCUGGCGGUGCUAGGGCCUCGGGUCCGCCCGAGUCGCCCCGAGGAGGAGCAGCUCGGGCGUCUUGCGAUUUUCAAUAGUAUCAUGCUACCUUUCUAAAAAAAAUCUAGUUGGUGCUCAACACGCUAUACGAGCCAAAAAGUUCAAUGGGGAAAGAAAAGAGUUUAACUGACUCCACACCUCCUACAUCAGUGGAUUUUAUUUAAAAUAGAGCUAUAGUAGACGGUAGUUGGCUUUGCCAACACAUAUCAGACGAUCACUACACAUGGAUGAAAAAAAUUCCAUCUGCCCCUUGGGCAGCGUCAUCCAGCGCCGCGCGGGUAUCCGGACUCUGUCCAACUUCAUCGCGCUGGUAUUCCAGCCGGCUUUGUUUUUGCGAAACGACGCACAUGCAUGCGGCUGGCCGCGCUGCCAAUCCACGGCGACUGCGGAGGCCUUUGGAGUUACCUGUACGACGCGAGUGGCGACGUGUGGGCAUGUGGGUGCCGCCGGCCGGCGGCGAGGGCUGAAGGGGUGCGUUCGACUCGAAAUAGGAAUCUCUCUACGUCAUGCUUGCAAUUGCGCAAGUUCUAAUCGGUGCUAGUGCUAGUAGCAGGCCAGCACGAUCAGUCUGGAUUCGUCUCCCAGGUGUCAACUUGAUCGCAUUGCUUGUACUGCCAGUUGAUGGAAUUCCGCAGCCCACAUUUUGGAAGAAAACCAUCUCGUCCAACCAUUACGCAGUAUGUGCUCUAGAAAGGUACGACUUCGUGGGUAACUCACGAUCUUACUUCUAGAGUUCUAGUAAUGGUUGGAAAAUUGCAGGCGUUUUCCACUUUGAACAUCUGAGUUUAGCAAUAGUGCCAGCAGUUCAGAAGGGAACCUUCUGCAGAUGGCGUGAUCCCGUACAACACUAGCUACGUACAGCUCGAUCAGCUCAGGGCAUGCAAGUCAAAAACGCAAAUGAAAAUCAAGCACACCGCAGUCACACGAAGAUCUUGACUUUGCAAUCGAGAUGGGAGAUGAGUUCGAGCAACUUUGGAUCGGAGAAACACUUUCAAUUUUCUUCGCCUUUAGUACUAGCAGCUGUCAUUUCAGUGGCAGCAACCGCUACACAGUCAAGAGCAUGUAGUUGCGGCAAUGCAGGAAGAAGAUUUGCAAGCUCAUUCUGCUUUGUUUUCCUUUGCUAGUACUCGUGGAGUCAACUAAUCAAAAUAUCCGGACAUUUUUUCCCCAUCUGAUCAGGCGACUUUCGAGUAAUUUCACCAAACAAAUAGACAAUGUAGCAUGGAGAUACAAUUCUGGUGUAGUACUGUACGCACGUGUUUUCAACUAAAUGGUACAGGAGUACACAACAAAUCAAAUUAGACGCUUGCACGUUUCAGAUUAGGAUGCGUGCAAGCCUAGAAGGAACCUGCUCGAAACAGUGUCUUUUUAUACAAUUAAAAGAACCCCUCAUCAAUACAUCUAAAUCACAACUUCACAAAGACCCUGUGCGACCUUUGAGGGGAUUAAUACCAUACUGAAAAGCAAGUCAACACACGAGAAGGACUUGCUGGUGAGUUCAGGUGGCUUACUUUCUUGAGCUGUUGAAUAAUUAGCUUUGCAGCACUUGUCAACAUGUUGCUGGACCUUACUGAGGAGGAAUGGAACAAGAAAACAAGCAUACAACUUACUAUUGAGAUUUUUUUUAAAAAAAAAUCGGCAACAUCAUACACAAUUGAAGACAAGAUCUUGCAUAAGAUACGUACAGAAAACCAUCGAAAGCUUGUAGCUGAAAUUGUAAAUAAAACCAUGAGUAAGGUAAAAUUAAAGUGUUCAUUUACAUUGCAUAUAAGAGCAGUUAAGAGGAAAAUUUACUUACAUCAAAAUUCAAACAAAGUUUCAUCUACAUUCCACAUAAUAAGGUACAUAAACACAAAAUCAAACACCACAAUGACUACAAGUCUACAACGACAAAUUUCCUGUUCGUCGACAGCUGAGGAACAUGGCUCAUUAAGAGCAGGUAACAAUGAGACCAGCCUACACCAUUGAGCUUAACAAGGACUGUAAUCUUAUCUAUGAACUGAUAAUUCAAUAGGUGAUCUCUCUGUACAUGGACCAUCAAAUUGGACCGAUGCUAUUUUCUAUCUGCACAGCUACUGCCAGCAUGCUUAGCAGUUUAAUUUGAAUAACUUCAUGUAAUCAGUGCAUAUGUCAACAAAAUAUUGAAAGCACUGCAUGUCUACUUCAUUUACUUGGCUAUCAUCAGGCGUUGUUUCUCACAUGAAGUGAUAAUGGCAACAUGGCUCAAUAAUUCUUUAUUCAUGACAUAUGGCCACAUUGAUUUUUUUUUCAAUUAUAACUCAUGACAUAACGACUAUAAAGUGAGCGUAUAUAGCUUGCUGCAGUGAUGCAGAUAUGAACUACAACUUAUGUCAAUAAUUAAUUAGUACUCAUCCUUUUGCAAACAUCUCAGGUACCAUGUGGGUCCAACCGGUCACAUCCACCCAUCACCCCUGAAGAUAAUAAAAAUUACAAAGUAAAGGAUGUCCAUGGAAGAAACGGACAGAGGCAAUUUAAAGCCAAUACACUGAGUAUACUAAAAUGUUUAAGAAUAAAAUAAAAGAACAAACUUUUUAUGGACAUGUUCUAUUAUGUUGAGGAUUUAAACAGAUGAGGGUUCUAUGUUAUCUGGUUUAGAAAUUGGAGGUUGAAAUUUAGACUCGUCAGGGAAAAUUGACGGUUGUAAAUUGAACCUUUCCCUAAGAAAAUGAAGGCUAUGGCAGCACGAUGGCUUGUUUGGUUUUGCUAGAAAUAAUGUCAUAUCUUUGGAACAUUACAUGAAAACUAUUGCACUACUUGUGGAAUACAAAAGCAAUAGAUGAAAAGGACUGGGAUUACCCUAUUAUUCGCAAAUUUGGCUUCACCGACCAAUUAGGUAUUAUUGCUGCACACAUAAUGAGUCCUUUAUUCCUGAAAGGAUACAGGGAGGAAGGAAACAUGAGCUUUCUAAAUAUAAUUAAUACGAAACAACAUCCCAGUAACUCUAGCAUAAUAUGAUAGUCAUACUAAUUCUCCAAAAGAAUAUAAGAAAAGUUCAUGAAAAAAAAGGGCACGCUCGACUUACCAAUAAUACCGGCAGCAACAGGUGAAAAUAUGAUGAGCGAGUGUGUAAGGGCUCGCUGGUGUUCUAUCACUGUGUACAAUGUCUUCAUCAAUGGCUGGAGACCAGGUGUCACUACCUAGGUCGUAUUGCUCAACAAGUGGGUGGGCUGGUCGCACAGCCCGUCUUCCCAACAAUGGAUUAAAAUCAUGUGUCUCAACCAUUCGAGAUGAUCUAUUUUUGCAGAUGAUAGAGUUACCCAAAAUAGAGGGGAACCUCUUAGCGGAGAUACACAAGGCAUGCACCUCAGAGAAGAUAGCAUGCUCUCCGAUACUCGUUAGAGGAGCAACUCUUCCCUUGGUAAGGUCUGAGACUCUGUAAACUACCAAGUGUGCAAGUGAAACGUCAGUGAAGCCAAGAACCAUGAGCUCCGAGCCGCAUUCUACCAGGCGGGCUGUACCGACGUACACCUCCGUCCAGCGGAGACUUGACGAGCAUCCUCGGUGGCGGCAGUGACAGCGAGUGGUUACCCUCGGCGCUCGGUUGUGGCGGAUCAAUCCGGCAGAUGUAUACAUUGUUCUUGUCAGCAGAAUUCACCGCCAUGGCAUAAAAUUUGCCUUGGAAAGACAUAGUUACUGCUCGCAAACGAGGGAGCUUCCAGGCCGAGAGGGACCAUCGCCGGUCGCCGGUAGCGGCAUAGGCUACACGACGUUUGGUGUCAAGGCACAGCAUGACUGUGAUAGCACCGGCGGCGUUCACAGUAACUGCCGCGCAAACUCCCCUGAGGAAGACACCGAGCUCGCGAAGCUUCAUACUCUCGGUCAUGUAGCGGCAGAUGUGUGGUUCAAUGUCCAUAAUCUGUGGCCAGAGGGGCAACACCGGUGGGAGCGGCGAUGUCGCCGGUGAAGGGGUGGAGGAGGCGGAUGGCGGUGUCGGGGUGACGGAACAGCAGGAGGAGGCCGUCGGCGGAGCCGAUGACGAUGUGGUCGUCGAAGAGCGGGAGGUGACGAACUCACCCGAGAUUGGGGUGGCCGGGGUAGAGGCCGUAGCCCUCGGGGAACAGCAUCCAGCGGCGCGGGUGGAAGCGCGGGUCGACGAGACCGCGGCCGCGCGGGGGAACGGUGCUCGAGUUCCAGUGGGAGCAGACGGAGCGGAAGCGGACGUAAUCCAGCAGGUCGCCGGCCAGCACCCGCCACGCGAUCAGCUCCAGCAGAUCCUGGGGCAGCGACGCCCACGGCUCCGAUCCAAGGAGCCGGUGCUUGCUGCUCCUGUCUUGGAUCAUCGUUGCCGACAGGGGGCGUUUUUGACACGACGGCGGCGAUCGACAUCCGGAAUUGCCGCGUAUCAGAUGAUCCUACCGCAGACGAGACGAUGAAUAUAACCGCGGAUGACAUGCGAGAUUGCUUGUUGUUGUUUUCUGUUUCCGUCUCGAUCCCGUGAUCGUGGAGACGAGCAGAACCGAGCAUAGAAAGAGUCCCGAUUGGAUUGGGUGUACGUGACAUAUGCUCGUUAACGCUCCAUCAGUUGAUUGCAUGGCUUUUACAAGCUGAUGGUAUUUCUCAACACAAAUUUUCAAGUUAGCUUAGGUCGAAGCGCCAAAUGUUUUGUCAUGGUUGAGAAACUCAGUUUUCCCUGCAAUUUAAGCUCACAAGUACACGGAGGUCGCAGACUGUGCGACCCAGUGUACCACUAUCCUAGUACACGGAGAUCACGAAUUUCACGUCCAUUCCUCUUUGCCUUAAACAUUUUUUAUUGCAAAUAAAGAUAUAGAACAGAACUUGUUUCAUUCUUGUACUUGUCAAAUUAGGACGUCUUUCCAUCAAAAGAAAUUAGGAUGUGUACCACGAGUUUCACUAUUCCAGUCUACCAAUGACCAAAAUUAAGAAAAUUCGCACUACUACUGUAAACCUGAUGGUAUACUUCGUUUCGUGUUAGCAAGGAACUUAAGGGAUCAAGGGACGGAAUCACUUCGGCAAUCUGCUGCCGAGUCUGCUGACGUACCGGCUCAGCAGGUCUCUCUGCGUGACCGCGUCGUCGUCCACCACACUGCUGACCUGCUGCCUGUAGCCGUCGUCGUGGUUGUGCGAUGCCGGCAUCCCAUCCCUCAUGUCAUCUUUAAGGUCGAUCAUGAUGUUGUUUAGCAAGCAGCAAGCGUAGAUGAUCCUUGGCAGCCGGUGCUUGUCCGGCCUCCACACCUCUCCCUUAAGGACCUGCCACCGUUCCUUCAGAUUGGCCAGGGCACCUUGCACCACCGUUCUCGUCGCGGCGUGACGCUUGUUGAACUCCACUUUCUCUGAAGAUAGACCAAGCUCUUGAUAUGGAGUCAUCAGCCAUGGAAGAAGAGGGUAGCUGGGAUCCCCAACAAUGUAUUCUCUGACCGUUGGCCCUUCUGAUUCUCCAGGAAGCUCCAUUUGCCCCGCCAGCCUUGAGCCUUUCUGGCAGAGCCUGUAGAAACCUGAGGUGCGCAGGAUGCACGAGUCAUCCAAGCUCCCGGGCCAGCCACAGACAACAUCUCUGAACCGCAUGUCAGGGUCAACAACUGUCUGCAGGACCAUGCUGUUCUUGUUCUCGCCGUCCAGCCAGACAUUGCUGUUAGGCUGCGCCGAAGAGCACAUGAGGAUGUGUGUUGUGUCCAUAGCGCCACAGCAGUUGGGGAGACCCUGGAUCUCUUCAAACUUUGCUUUGAUGGUUGCCAUCUCCUCAGGAUCAGGCCAUUUCAGAUGACCAGUAGCGCGCUCCUCCAAGCACUCGAUGAACUUCCAAGUGAUGUGUGAGAUGCUUGAGUGGUUCAUCCCAAAGCGUGUUCCUAUGCUCAUAAGUGACUCGCCAGUGGUCAGUCUUAGCAGAGCAACGCCGACUUGAUCCUCCACACCGAGAAUCACCUUGUCCCCAAACUUAAAAUUUCUGAAACUCCGUGUCUUUUUCGUGAAGUCCCCUUUAAUUAGAGAGCAAAGGUAGUCGAAGGUCCUCCUUAACAUCUUAAAGGCAGUCUCGAAGUUUUGGCAUUGUUUGGAAGGUUGUCCUGUAAAGGAAUCAGAUUGAAUCAUGUAUAGAGAUAUCAUUAUCUGAAUAACAAUGGAAAGUCAUUGUACAAGCCACCAUGAGAAAGACAUGAAAGGUUAACAUCUGAAGGAUUUAAGCUUAUGCUCUGCAUGGUUUUAGGCAAAAGAGGAACAUGAGCAAAAGACAUGAAAGGUUAAAAUCUAAAAUAUUAAUGUUUAGAAAGAUGGAAGGAAAUCAAGAUAAAGCAGUACAUUGGCAAAAGUGCCCAAAAAACAGCAGCUGAUAGAAAAGUUGAAUGAAUGAUUUUCUAUCAUUAUCUGAAGAGGUUAGGCUGUUUUUGAGGGACAACAAAAACAAGUUGUACAUAUGAUUGCACAAGAUACUUGAGUCGCGGUUCAGGACAAAACUUUCAGUUGAGUGCAGUUAUAAAUAGAUAGUUAAACCAUCAUGAUUUAACCCUUCAUGUGACCAUCUGACUAAAUCUUACUUGAUGCCUUGGUCUGCAUCAGAGUUUGAACUUUGAACAGGUAACUCAACUGUAUCUUUUUAGCAGUUACUUGAAAUUCGGAUAAUGUUACUAUUCAGCUUACUGUCUGCACAUAUGCUACCUGGUGAUUCAACUAACUUUUAACGAUAAGAGCUGAUUGCAGAGAGAACACUCAUAGCACUAGAGAAAGUCUCUCUAAACUACUUUAGGUCUGACCAAAAUAAAAUUUGCUAAACUCUUGUAGCCUUCUACAGUAUUUGUUCUCUCUUGGAAGGCCCAACCCAUAACCAUCUGCAAUUUGUACUCUCAGUAUGGAAAUAGUCAGAUGAAUCAAAAUAUUGCAAGGAUGAUCCUUCAUAUCAAAUCUACAGUUAGCUGUACAACUGAGACCAAGCAAGAUCACUAUGUGUUCCUGACUCUUAGAGUAAAUUCCUAACCAAAUUGUAGCUUGCUGGAUUAGUAUAGUCGUCCACAGCAAGCGUUUUGGCAAAAACAUCUUUUGGGAGGCUACAAGCCUGCAGACACUGACAUCUGCAGUUUAUACUCGUACACAUAUUGAUUGAUGAAUCUAAAUACUGCUAAGAUGGUCCAUCAAAUUUAAGGUCAAUUGUACAAUUGACACUAAACAAAAUUUAAGUUCCUCCAAUAAACUCUGUAAGCUCAUUGAACUAGUUCUACAUUAAUGAACUUGUGUAAUGAUGUUUUAAGAGGCAAUACUGAAACAGGAAUUAUCUUCAGAACUAGCGGGUAACUAUCAUUACUUAAAAUAUAGCAGCAACCCAAAUUGCUGGCGGAGUUAAUCAUAUAACCAGGUAGGCUUGAAUAUACUACACCCAAAUAAAGUUCGACUGUAUUAUUGGGGAAAACUAUCUGAGAACAGAAAUGUCAAUGUUCAACAACAACCAAUUAACAGCUAACUAUUAUUAACCAAACAAGUUUCACCAUCCUUCGCCAGACUGAAGAAGAACUGCUGUUUCUUCAGGCAAAUUUCACUUCGUCCCUUGCUGGGAUGAACUCAAGACAGGAGAAUAUAGUCCUCCAGACACGUUGCCAUCAACGGUCAAGCAAAAGAUUUUGGAUUAGGUUGGCACAAUGGGCAGAAUCAACAACACCUGUAACACCACUGCACCCGGUUUAACAGAUCUGGAAUGGACACGACGAGGCAACAAACCCACAAAUGGUAAAACUAAUUGUGACCUCAAAGCAACAAGCAUCGCCCAUACCCGUAUGCCUCGGUCUGGAACGCCCAUCCCAGUGGUUCUUGCCUCUGCAGUCUGUACACCUCGCAAGCCCGAUGCCCACCGGCUUCAGUAACCGCGAGCAAACAGCAGAUUCAUUACGCCUAGCGUCCGGAUUAAGAAGCACGGCGAGAGCAGAUUAAACAACGCGCCGAACGCACACGCCAUACGAGCACUGCAAAUUCAGCGACGGCUCUCCUAAUCUAGAACCGCGAAAUCGGUCCAGGAACAAUCCAAAAGGCGAGAGAUUAGCACGCAUUACCUGGGGCCGCGGCUGCGAGGUUACAGCGGCACAGGAAACGAGGAGCCGACAUGGUUAGGGACAGAGAGCACGCUGUGGGAGAUGGGAGGGAGAGGAGGGUGUAUGUAUACCUGCUGCAAGCCUGCGGGAGAAGGCGUCCCACCAAUCGCCGGCGAGGGGCUGCGGCACCGGCGGCGCCUGCGCCUGUGCCGGCAAGGCCCUCUCGGGCUUGCGCUUCCUCCGCUUGGCCCCCCUCAGCGGUGCCAUGACGAGCGCAACGCCGGAGAGAUCAAGAGAGGAGGCGGCUACCAAGCAGGCUGCGACACCCCAAAAUGACUUGGCCUUGAAAAGACCCUGCUGUUUAGUGACAAAGCAGCAGGCUGGUGACUAAGGGGAUGUUUGGGUCGCAUGUGCUAAACUUUAGCACCCGUCGUAUAGGAUGUUUGAUAUUAAUUAGGAGUAUUAAAUAUAGUCUAAUUAUAAAAUUAAUUACACAGAUGGAGUCUAAUUCAUGAGAUGAAUCUAUUAAGCCUAAUUAGUCCAUAAUUUGACAAUGUGGUGCUACAGUAAUCAUUUCCUAAUGGUGGAUUAAUUAGGCUUAAUAGAUUCAUCUCGCGAAUCAGCCUAGGGGUUCUACAAUUAGUUUUAUAAUUAGCUCAUGUUUAGCCCUUCUAAUUAGCAUCCGAACAUCACCUCGUAGCCAAACACGCCCUAAGAGUUUUCUAAAAAACAUUUCCCCAAAACUAUGUAUUGGAGGCUCUUUAAAAGAAAAAUUCUCAAAAACAUAUCAACCUACAACAGAUCGCUAAUAACUAGCCCCCAAUAUUUCAAAGCAGGCCAUGUCAUCGUAAUUGAGUCCUGCCCGGCGCCUCCGUACUCUCUCCCCAUUUAUUCUUUCUUCUUGUUCCGCGUAGGUCUCCCGCGUAUAGCACGCGGGAAGGAGUUGUUCGGGGCGAUCGGGAAAGAACCGGUCUCCCGCGUAUACGCGGGGGCGACAAAGGUGUUUUUAGCGUCCGCGUAUUUUUACGGAAAGGAUGGUGAAGCUGUUGGAAGUAAGUUUUUUUUCCUAAGAUCUUGUGAUAAUUUUAAGGAGCUUUUAAAGUUGCUCUAACAGAGCUGUGGCACAAGUAGUUCCACGGUCGCCUGUUGUUAUGCAGUGCUGCUCCUAUUGCCCAGUGCCCAGUGGCAUGCCACAACCAACAAGGCAGGUUAGGACGUUAGGCGUGGCCAUUGUCAUGUGCCAUGUCAACAGCCCCCGUCUCUCCUUCUGAUUCACUUUUCUGUGUGCUUGUCACCCUGUGAUGGGAGGCUAGGUUAAAGGGAGUGGCUAUUAUAUCCAAAUAUACCAUUAUUUAGUUUUGUAGAAAGGAGAACAAGUUUUUGAGUUCUCGUGUUCUUUGUAACUCGGGAAAAACAACCAAUUUCCAUCAUACGAUCCCUUUCAACCUCCGGGAAUCCUAAAUUCUUUAGGUUGACCUUUUGUUUAUCUUUUUUUUAUCUAGAUCUUAUUUUAGAACUCUGUAGGUUCGGAAUAGUUAAAGCGUUAUUGUGAGUGUGGUAUUAUAUUGCCAGGCUAGUCGGUGAGUUACUCCCUUGCACAAUAAAGUACGGAAUAGUUUGGUAUUCUUGGAAGGGAAUGGACCUAGAAACUUGACACUUUUUCCGUGCCGUUAUUUUGGGAGGGGGUAUAGUGCUAAAAUUUUUAGAAUUUGAUCGAUGUUUUUGUUAGUGGAGUUUGAAGCAUGCUAGGGUGCAUGUGCCCCUACCUGCUCCUUUGCCUCCGCGGCUUCGCCAGUGUUCUUGGGGUGUUGAUAGCGAUAUGUUUUUCAGUGCAUUAAUCUUGUUGUGAUUGUACCAAUUUUUAUAUGAACAUAAAUAUUUUUUUAAUAAAAUAUUUUAUUGCGUGUGAUGUACCAAACGUAGCAACAUUUAUAUCUACAGUGAAGUUCUAUGUGAAAUAAGAUAUGAUGGUGGCAGCAGUAAAAUAUGAAGAAUUAUGAAUUACGUGCUUGAAGACAUGCAAAGAGGCGGAUAUUUGUAGAAUUAGUGUCCUCGUGUGGUGCCUGAUGGUUAAAUAAUGGACAAUUCUUACCAUGCAGUUGUGUUUCUUUAAUUAAAAGAGUAAUACCAUACAUUAAGUGGUCCACUUCUCAAUCUAACAAAUAUAACUUCAUGCACGAAAUUAUCAGAAUCCAGUGUGUGGAAAUUAGGCAAACUUCCAAUCUUUAGUUUGGCUAGAAUUUUGUUGUUUGUUUGCUAUACAUUGGUGUCAAUGGCUACAUCUCCGCUUUGACCGUUGACUACUGAACUAGAGUCUCCGUCCCAUGAAAGUGAGCAGCCAAGCACCUCACGGGGGCUAUAAAGUUUACGGUCGCCGGACGGAACGCUCCGUCCGGACGUCCGGUCGACCGAGUGAGUGUCGGAAGGACACCCCCGUGCGGGUGGUUCCUUCCCUUUUUUACCAAAAAGUUAUAUAGAAAUAUUUUCCACACAAAAAAUUAUGGCAUAAUUUUUAUACCAAAUAUUCACGACAGAAGAUUCGUAGAAAAAUUUUGUAGAGAAAAGAAAAUUUAAAUGGAAAAAUAAUAUAAAAAUUUAUAAAACAAAUUUUGGAACAAAAUAAGGUAAAAAAUUUUGAAACAAAGUUUCUGAACAAAACUUUGACACAAAAUUUUGGAGAAAAAAAAUCGAACUGAGACGGGUGAGACCUGAGAAGGGGAAUGGGAGGAGAGUGGUGGGCCCACACGUAGGGUGGAUCGGUGCGUGUCCACCGGAUUCGACCGCUCGUUUGGAAGGUUCCGCUCGACUGUAAAUUCAGCACCGUAAUCCCCAACGGCCGACGCAUAGCAAACCUCGAGUCCCUGACGGCCUGACCCCACCCACGCCAUCCGCGUCCGUCGUCGUCAUCAUUAUUCCCUCGGGCUUCUUUUCCGCGCCGUGCGGCGCAAAGAAAGCCCAGAUCCGCCGGGUAGGCCAGGCCCAGUUGGCCCACCGACGCUGACAAGCCCGGCCCGGCAGCGAGCAACGCUCUCGGCUCUCCCGGAGUCGUCGCGCGGUAGGUGGGGCGGCGGCGUGGACGCGUCGCCGUCACGUCGCGUGGUGCGGAGUAGUGUGCCUGCCGCGCGACGCCCGCACCCUUCGUGCCGUGCUGACCACACGACGCAUCGCAAACCACUCCUCAAUUCCCCUCUCCUCCCGUCCGCAUUCGUGUCUCCCUCAGCAGGUCGGACUUCUCGCUCUCCAAGAACUCGGCGAGGUAACUGCUCUCCACACGCCCCUUUCCCCUAUCUCUCCUCACCUCCUAGCUUCCUCUCGUCGCUGUGAAUUCGAGCUCUUCCCCCGCGAUUUUCCACGAGGAAGGUCUUCGUGGCGGGUGGCUUCCCUGAUUGAUGGAUCCGUGGGGAUCCAGUGGGCUUGAAUUAAUAUGAUCUGGGGUCAAUUGGGAUUUGGGUUGUAGCGAUUGUGGCGUAAUUGGUGAGCGGGGUGCGAUUGUCUCGGUUUCGCAUGUGCAGAUCUGGUUGGUUGUUUCUGCCGAAUUUGUUGGGAAAUUGCUGGUUCGCAAGAUGUUAGGCAACUCAGGGAUCCGGUUCGCUCCGGGUUUGGACUUGGGAGCAUGCGGGAUGAGGUUAGCUAUGCGAUUGCGUAGUUGCCCGAUCGAUGUUGGGCAAGGGCAUGCCUUGUUCCCCUUACACGAGGCUAAGGUAACCUGUUGUCCGAGAGUGUCAUGUUUAUCCUGGGGGCUCUAGCUCGUGAUUUGUCAGGAUAACCAUGCUGACCGUCCGUGGGGGCAUUGGUCAUACAGGACUUCUCCUGCAAAAUUGAUGAGGGUCAACAGAUUAAAUUAGAGGUGUUAGAUGAAAAUUAGUUAGGAGAGGUGAAGAGGGCAUUACCCAGGUAGAAGCAUCACAGUGAUACAGCAAACAUACCAGCGUGUAAUCUGUACUGAACUCCUAUGAAGGAGCGCAUGUCUUUUGCGUGGUCUCAGAUAAAGGAGUAACCAUGUAGGAGCGACCACCUUAUGCAUGAAAUUGAAAUGGCCAAUCAUUCUGUAGUUACUCUUUGGCACUGAUCAUGCCUGAAGUACAUCAAAUCUUAGUCUUAUUGGUUCUACUAUUGUCAGCCUGUAUUCAGUGCACAGUAACAAUACCAGGGCUCUUGAUGGUGCUACUUCCUUCUGCAUUUGUCAGUAGAUAAUAUUAGUAUACACGUUUACAGAAUUGCAUCGCAGUGUUUAAAUCAUACCACAAUAACAUGUCUACAGAAUAGUAUUACAAUGUUUAAAUUACACUGCAACAGGAUGUCUGUCUAUCUUAACAGUUUGCCUUAUAUGCGCAGAAAGGCUUAUGGGCUGUCUGUCUCUGUCCAUCUCUAGCUAUAUAUGAAGUUAUAUAUGAAGCAAGAAGUUAUUAAUGCCAUAUUUAGUACACCUACAUGCAUUCAUCUAGCAUGCCUCUGAAUAAGUGUUCCUAUGACAUUGCUCACUGUAUAUCAGUAUAUGGCCACUGACCAGUACCUAUUUUGAUGUUUCUCAUGUUCUCGUGUACUUCCUAUAAGAUACUACAAAAUCACAGUUAAUGAUAAAACAAGGGCCUCUGUAUUUCCUUUUCUGUUGUCUACAGAGUAAAACUAUUGUAUGCUGUUUGCAUCUUAUUUUCCUGGCCCUCAGUUAUGAUUCUGUCAAUGACACAACUACUUUUAGUAUCACUGAUGUAUAUACUAGUUUUAGUGUUCAUCAUUCUAUAUCAAAUACAUCCUGCUAUGUCGCUAAUGCUUGUCUGGUUUUGCACUUGUCAGGAUGGAAAUGUUUUUCGGCAGCUUUCUCAGUGAAUCAGCAUCAUCACAGAACCUUUUUGGCCACCCAGAUGUUGAGAGAUGCCCAUUCCUGAGAAACAUCAAUGGAGCUACAACCUUUUCAUUUACUUCUGCGUUGCCAGUAGCUGUAAGAUCUGUUUCCUAUGACCUUUUGUGUUGGCAGCGAUCACUGUCAUUGGAUCAUCAGUUCCUUGACAAUAUGUGGUAUUGUGCAGGCCCGAGGAGGCAAGGGUCCAAUUUUUGAGGAUGGACCAGGCUUUGAGUCAGCAUUCAAGCUUUUCCAUGGCAGGGAUGGAAUAGUUCCCCUUUCAGAAAGAUCGUAUGUGCCUGAUGAGAGCCACAAUGAGAACAUUAAUGUGAAGACCGAACCUGCUCUGCCGUUUAAUCCAUUGGCUGCUAGAGCAGCCACAAUAAGUCUAUCAGCAUUUGGACCAUUUGGUUUUGGCUUUUUCAACGGCAAGGGCAAAAGGCAGAACAAGAAGCCCAACAAUCUAGAUCAGUCCCACCAGAAACCCAAGACACCAGAUCAGUCUUCCAUGAAAGUUUGUUCUGACGCUUCUUUUUUCAUUAUGCAUCUCAUUUCCAUCUGAUGAUAUGCUAUAAUUUUUUUUAUUCUUUCUGUUGUAAUAUCAACCCAGGGCUCAGUAUGUACUGUCACUUAUUUUACAUUUCAUCCAAAGUCAGAACAUUUACUAGCUAUUCAUUAGAUGGCUAUAUCCAAGGGCUAAUGUAGUUGCUCAGAAAACCAUAGCUAUCUCAUUCUUCCUGCCUUUAGUUUAUCUUAUUAUCUGUAUUCUCAUUAUCUUUCCUUUGUUCUUUUCAGCAAAAGGGAGUCAACCCACCAUCACACGAGGCAUUCAGCGAAGAAUGGUUGGAAAAUGGCCAGUGCCCACUUGCGCGGUCUUAUCGGGCAAUGAGUGGUGUUUUGCCCCUUGUCGCCAAGGCUUUACAGCCACCAGCUGGUAUGAAGCUGAAGUGCCCACCUGCUGUGGUUGCUAUCCGAGCCGCCCUUGCACGAACUGCACUUGUGAAAUCCCUCCGACCGCAGCCACUGCCUGCAAAGAUGGUAGCCAUUGCACUACUGGGAAUGGCAGCAAAUAUCCCUCUUGGUGUCUGGAGGGAGCACACCAAGAAGUUCUCUCCUCAGUGGUUCGCAGCUGUCCAUGCUGCUGUUCCCUUAAUUGCAAUGCUGCGGAAGUCUGUUGUGAUGCCCAGGACUGCGAUGGCAUUCACCAUAGCAGCCUCCAUUAUUGGUCAGACUAUUGGGUCAAGGGCCGAGCGCAUCCGUCUGAGGAAUCUGGCUGCAAUGGGUGCUGUUAAUGCUACAACAACUGCUGCCAUGUAUCCAAACAAGAAUGGGAAUUGCAGCGACACUGAGGGCAAGGCAUGGGAUCCCCUCGAGACAAAGAUGGCUGGCUCAGCUGCUAGGGGUGCACCUGCGCCAACCACUAGCAUGUGCUUCUGAUUGUGCUGUGCGUGUAAUUCACAGAAAUGCCUGCAGAGAUUAUGCCUCAACUACUUUAUAGUGUCAUGUAAUUGCCUUGCUUGUCCCUGAAAACUGAGCUGUCCGUGGGGCGAGACGAGUGGAAUAAGAGGUGCGUCAGUACCAAUAUGGCAGUGUGGUAUGUUAUUAUGGUCGGGGCUGAUGCACGUGUAUGCAAUUUGGUGCUGCUGUAUUUCCAUUUAAAAUUAUAGCGUCGGAUUAAAGAAAAGUCUUGAUGAACCAUUGUGCGAGCUAUUGUGGGAGCUUUGUGUCCUCUUGCGUCUGUUUGUUUUUGCCAAAGUGCCAAUUCCAUUGCUGAAUCAAAAAUCUUUUCUGAUAGCUGAGAUCAAGCUUUCACAUGUUCUUGGGAGAAGUUGGGGGAUGUGCAGUUUUAAAUCAUCUGGUUCUGCUUUGUAUCAUGUAUCUGUUAUGAAAUGUGGUGCUUCUGACGCUGAAGAGCCCUGAAAUUAUAAACUUCAACAUGUGCGGGGGGUAAAAUGUAAUCCCUGAUCAUUUCCUUGCCGGCACUGCUUUAUGUCUAACUUGAGAUAGCAUAGCAACAUGCAGAGAAUUUGCUGUAUGUAACCUGGGGCUUCAAUUCUAUUGCUCAUUUUUCCUGUGCAAGUUCUCGUUUUGUUUCUGAAGCUCGUUCAGUCCGUGUUGGUCUGCUCUGAAUGUUUGCUGGAACUGCGAUAUUGUGACUACUUGCUUGACGAAGAGUAUGCCUUACCAAUUCGAGAUGUGCCUGAAGCAGUGUACUCGCAUGUCCACCCUUCUUCUGCCAUUCAGAACCACGACAUACAAAAUCCAGCAUCGGACACUGUAUACGCACAGAGAGUUCAAACUGCUCAAGGACUUAAGAGGACGUCGGGUUAUGUUGCGACCAGUAACCGCUAGUGCGAACUGGGAACAAAGACUCCGUGGAACUGGCAGUCUGGCACCCGAGCUGAGUCUCCACCGUAAGAUAUCAGAUAUCGCCUGCCUCAACGAUGCAGAUGGUAGACAUGGCAACCAUGAACCAUCCCAAUCGUGUUCAACGCCAUAUCAGCAAGCAGGAAUCUAGCGGCAGAAACGUGUUAUGCUGGAGGAGUGCUGGACCACCCACGUGUGGAAUGGACCGGACGGACGGCUCAGGGAGGCUCACGUUUUCCGGUCAAAAACGAUGAAUUUCCAGCAGUUCUGAAUUCUGAUCUUCUUCUUCCCGUUCACCGGCUUGACUGUAAGUGGGUGGAUGCGACCGUCUUUCGUCCCGGGUCCUGCACAUUCCUGCUCCCUCUCCACCACCAGAUGGCAAUUGACAACAUGGUCACCUUUUUUAUGCAUGGCCACUCUUCUUCAGCCAUUUGUUCUCCAGUAGACUUGGAUUGAUCAGAGAUCCUGGCAAGUGGCAACGUCGCCAAAGCAAAUUCCGCCACCGGAUCCAUCCAUGUCCGGGCCCGACACACGAACUGGCUCGUGGGCCUCCAGAUGAACGCCCCCUUAAUACCUCUCACUCUCAGGAAGUGUUGGGGUGUGUAUUUGAAAAAUAGAUAUAAUAAAAGAAUUAAAGUGUAAAAUACUAAGAGUAAAUAGAUAUAGGCAGAGAAUGAUCGAAAGACCGAUUGAUUCAGAACUUUUCCCCAUCUACCUGUUCAUGGCUGAGCCUGCUCUUCUUCCCAAUCACAAAUCUCUACUAGAUCCACCCUUUAAUCUUCAAUGGAAAGAAAAAAAAAAUCUGAGUGAUCCGAAACUAGAUUGUCAGCGUGUGUAACCCCCUCGAGAGAAAAAAAAAAGGCGGCGUUCAAAGGAAGCAUGGAGACAGGGACAACAGAAAAUGACGAGAUCCACAGUCUUCCUGCUACCACGCCUGCUAAUGGGAUUGUAAUCCAACCGACACCAAUCCACAUCAAGCUCACCCCAUAUUUAUAUUGUCUAAAUCCAAACCAAUCCACCUACUAGUUGAUGAUAGAACCCAUAGGUUUGCUAUAAAAAAAUCAUGGUUUGCUAUAUAAACCUAUGAGCUCAUAUAAAAAACUCCUAUAUAUUUGAAAUAAAUGUGAGUUCGACAUGUGGGUCCUAUGUCAAGAGCCGGACUCUAAAACUAAAACAUCAUGUUCACGCCUUAAAAUUUUAACGAAAUUGAUCGAAAUUUAUUGAAGAUGACAGAGUUUGACUGUCCGCUACUUUAUGCUAAAUAGUAUAGCUAAACAUACAUUUAGACCCGCAUUACGAGUCGGACCUUAGAAUUAAAAUCUCACGUUCACACCUAAAAAUUUUAGUGAAAUUCAUCAAAAUUUGUUGGAGAUGACUCAAUUUGACUGCCCACUGCUUUGUGUAAAAUAGUAUGGCUAAACAUACAUGUGGGUGUCGCGUCAAGAGUCGGAUCCUAGAAUUAAAACCUCGCAUUCACACUUUAUAAUUUUAGCGAAAUUGAUCGAAAUUUGUCGAAGAUGACUCAAUUCAAGUGUCCGCUACUGUGUGCAAAAUAGUAUAGCUGAGCCCCACAUUAAGAGUCGGAUCCUCGAACUAAAACCUCCUUUUCACACUUUAAAGUUUUAACGAAAUUGAUUGAAAUUUGUUGGAGAUGAUUUAGUUUAAUAAUUAACUACUUCAUGUGAAAACGUAUAGUUGGACUUAUACAUGGGCUCAUAUCAAGAAUUGGAUCCUAAAAUUAUUUCGUGAAUCAAACUAAUGCAACCCACUCUAAACCACUCCCAAACUAUUUCCUCUUAGGAGUAAUCCAAACCAAACCAACCCAUUUGAUAAAUCAGUCUAUUAAUAACCAAUCUAAACAACUUCCAAAAGAAACCUAAUCCAUUGAAACCAUUAAACCCAAUCCAAUUAGCAUGAAUGCCUGCUACCACCGGUAGUGGUUUUGAAUCCCUAACCAAGUAACCAUUCCUUUUCAUUUCUUCCGUGCAGAACGUGGAACCCAUCGACGAUCACACGUUGGGGCCUUUCGCUGUCAAAAUCAGCACAUGAUAACCGUUAAACCCGUAGCCGGCAUGUGCAGAAACCCGGUGAAAUUUCUACGUACUCCUGGUGCGCUUACUUUUCCACUGUAUCAUCCUGUACCUUCCCCCUCUACCUUUUGGAGCACGUAAUAUAGUAGAAGAUGUAAAAAGAAUCCUUUGAAAAAGUUACAAAGUCAAAUAUGCUCACAUGUCAAAGCGUUAGGCUCUUGCUUUUCCUUCUUGAUUAUUCCCCGCUCUACCUGCUUCUUCUCGAUGUGACGGUAUACUUGAUCCAGUGAGUAAUCGCCCCUCCUAUCGCCACGACACAGCAUAUAUGCAGAGAGGGCAGCCAACCACUCCAGCGACACUUGCCGAGUAUGUACCAUGUCGCUACCAGUACUACGGACCACCAGUCGCCUUCGCCUCAGCACGAUGACGUGCACAUCCAAAUCAAAAGGCUACUGGAUGGAUGAAGGCCCCAAGUUGAAGUUGACUUGUAACAGUGGCUUGGCGCUCUCUUCGAGCAGUACUAGCAGGAGAGAGAAAGGUAGGGAAGCAAUGCCAUACGCUGGAGCAAAAAAUUUCAUGGGUGAUCCGGUAGCACCUGGAGCCCAGUUGAGCGAAGGGUGCUCUGGUAGAAAGGACAGCAUGUUUGUCAAGGAAAAGAACUGUGCUUUGCAUAGUUGUUGAUAUAACAUGUAGGCCCUGUAGAAAGGACAACAUGUUACGAGGAAAUGGUGUUAGGAUACUUGGUGCUAAACUUUAGCGGUGUCACAUCGGAUGUUCAUAUACUAAUUAGAAGGACUAAACAUGAGCUAAUUACAAAACUAAUUGCAGAAACCUAUGCUAAUUCGCAAGAUGAAUCUAUUAAGCCUAAUUAAUCCGUCAUUAGCAAAUGGUUAUUGUAGCACCACAUUGUCAAAUCAUGGACUAAUUAGCCUUAAUAAAUUCGUCUCGCGAAUUAGACUCCAUCUGUGCAAUUAGUUUUGUAAUUAACCUAUGUUUAACACUCUAAUUAGCAUUCAUGGACUAAUUAGCCUUAAUAAAUUCGUCUCGCGAAUUAGACUCCAUCUGUGCAAUUAGUUUUGUAAUUAACCUAUGUUUAACACUCUAAUUAGCAUUCAAACAUCCGAUGUGACUGGUGCUUAAAUUCAAAGUGGGACCACGAUUAGCACAUGACAAGAAAAACGCUCGUUUUUCGCUGGACCAGCUACCUGUGGCGUGGGCGCGUGGCUUCCUUUACCUUCAGGGAACAGCCUAUACGCUGCUCCUGCUCUUCCAGACCCGGCGCUUGCUUUCUGAACCCUGACCAUGAGUCCAUGACCAACAACCUCUUGGACGAGCCAGAGGAGAGAGAACACUCCAAGAAAUCGCUUCGGGGACCUGUUGGCUUGUUGCACUCCGCUUCCGGCCCAAGAAAAGCGCACGAUCGAUGACCCAGGGAAAACGUCACGGAACCGAGAGGAAUUCCGCGUCGCGUUUUUAAAAAUCUGUGCCGCACAGGCCAAGUGACGGCUCGUCGGCCGCCCCCCGUUGCUUGGGCCUUGGCCUUGCCUUUGCUUCGCGCAUCCGUACAUCACACCUUACGUCCGCCGCCGCCGUGUGGACUCGCCCUCGCCCUCGCGCGGCCGCGGCCGACGUGGUCCGCGCGCCCGCCGCGCACUAAACUACUAUGCGGUAAGCGCCGGUGGAUUUGGCCGUCCAAGCUACCGGCGCUGAGCACCGUCUUUCUGCCGUGAAGAAAAGGUCACCGCACUUUCGAUUCGUCAAGAUAUGCACGUACAGUCACGGAACAAAUAGUCAAGAGGCAUGUACAUGUACAAGCCAGGUACUACAAAGACACAGUGACACAAGCAACUGGCCGGCCGGGUCGACGAUGAACGAGUACUCUAACUAACCGAAAAAGCCACCGGCCGAAAAAGAUUCUGGACGCGCGGCAAAAGAAAGCACGCAACCUUUUUCGCUACGUGCCUAACAGUGCGUUCCGAUCCGAGGCGCCACGGGGGUGUGACCAAGUGUGAUACGUACGAGUGCGACCGCGGCACGUUUCUUCGUGUCCAAGGCCUCUCUCAUCACAUCGGAGUGGCUGGCUGGCUCGCUCUCAUCGGCCAGUUCGCACGCGGGCAAUCCACCGAAAAGCCCUGACGUGAACGCCUCUUCCUUCACACAUGGCCGUGUCCAGUCACGCACACAAACCCAUCUCGUCAGCGCGCACGCACGGCCCCGCCUCGGCUUAUAUACCAGCACGUACGUGCGCGUAGGGGUGGAAUUUUUUUUAGCUCGUCUCUCGAUCGAUCGAUCGAUCGCCAUGACGCUUACGAGGCACGAAGCGGAGGACAGAAGGGAGAUGGAGGGGCUCCGGGCGGACGCCGUCGCGCGGCUCUCGCUGUCGUCGUCGCCUGAGUCUUCUUCUUCGGCGGCGGCCGGCGGCGACAGGCCGUCGUCGUCGUCUGCCGCGAGCAGGAAGGCCAUGGCGGCGGAGGGCGUGUUCGAGUGCAAGACGUGCAGCAGGCGCUUCGCCUCGUUCCAGGCGCUCGGCGGGCACCGGACCAGCCACACGCGGCUGCAGGCGCGGAUGCUCAGCGACCCGGCGGGCGCGGCGGCGGCCGCCGAGAGGGACAGGGCGCGGGUGCACGAGUGCGCCGUCUGCGGGCUCGAGUUCUCCAUGGGCCAGGCGCUCGGCGGGCACAUGCGCCGCCACAGGGGGGAGGCGCCGCCAGCCUCGCACGACGGCGCCGCGCAGUCGGGGCAGGCCAUGCCGGACCUCAACUUGCCGCCGUUGGAGGACGGCGACGGCGGCCAAGAUCAACAACAAUCGGCUGAUCGGAGCUCGGAGCCUCAGCUGCUCAACCUGCUUGUAUAGCUAGCCUAGCGUGCACAGCAUAUUACAUAUGUGCAUGGUGAUUCUAUGGUGUACAGUACAUGAGUGGUGAUUAAAUUUUCGGAACCUGAAAUGACAUGAAAUUAUACAUUAACUGUAGCUUCGUUUCAUAGGUUAAGUCCUUCUUAAUUCGGUAGGUUUUCCUUUUGUAAAGCUGUUUGUCGACUGUAAUUCGUUUGUUGUAAGUAAAAUUGUCCAUAUAUUAUCUGACAGCUUGCUGCCUCAAUUAGUGGUUCGGUGGAGAUUGUUAAUUGUACGAGUCUAUCAUUCAGUUUUCCUAAAAAGAGGUGGAAGUGUUUCCGAUGCGAGACAAAAAUAUUCCCAGAAAAUCACAGCAAAGAGCUGAUGUUGUGUUUGUGGAAUUUGUGAUUGGACCUAUCAUCUCGUCUUCUUCUCUACCGUCGGUUGGCGUGGCCCUUCACCACCACACCUACCCGUCAUGCCGCCUCAUGUGCAGGUGCAAGCAUCUCUGUUCCGCGCCCUUCCUUCCCUUUUCUCUGCACGCAUUACUACCGUCCUAACCCUGUCUUCAUUGGCGUCGUGCCCUGCACGCCGCUCCCUUCCUUCCCCUUCCUUUACACACCAUCAUUACCGUCCUAACCCCCACCUCUGCUGGCGGCGUGCCCCGCAUGCCGCGCCCUUCCCCCUUCCGCUACACGCCAUCAUCGACGUCCUAACUCCGCCUCCGUUGGCGUCGUGCCCUGCAUGCGGCGCCCUUCCUUUCCCUUCUUCUACAUGCCAUCAUUGCCAUCCUAACCCCGCCUCUGUUGGCGUCGUGCCUUGCACGCCGCGCCCUUCCUUCCCCUUCCUCUACACAACAUCAUCGCCAUCCUAACCCCCGCCUCUUUUGAUGCCGUGCCCUGCAUGCCGCGGCCUUCUUCCCCUUCCUCUACACGCCAUCAUCGCCGUCCUAAUCCCGCCUCUUUUGGCGCCGCGGCCUUCCUUCCCCUUCCUCUACACGCCAUCAUCGCCAUCCUAACUCUGCAUCUGUUGGCCUCGUGCCCUGCAUGCCGCGCCCUUCCUUUCCCUUCCUCUACACGCCAUCAUUGUCGUCCUAACCCCACCUCUAUUGGUGUUUUGCCUUGCACGCCGUGCCCCUCCUUCCUCUUCCUCUACACGCCAUCAUCACCAUCCUAACCCCGUCUCUAUUGGCGUCGUGCCCACGCGCGCCCUUCCUUCCCCUUCAUCUACACGCCAUCAUCGUCGUCCUAACCCCGCGCACUGCUAAUCAUGGCAGCUUGUCAUCCCCGGCACCAACUUCCAGCUGUAUUCUACUGCUCUGGCCAGCGGCUCCCACCAUCUUGUCUCAGUAAACCGACCAUCCAAGCUCCUUUCUAAGUCAGAGGAUAGCAAAUAAACCCAACCCCCACCCUAAAACUCGAACCCAUCAACAUCUUAAUGGUGCAAUGCUCCUAAGGCAGCAUCACUAAUAUAAAAACCAAUGGAAGAAAACGAAACGGAUCUGACAUCCAACGGUGGACACAUGUAUCUAAGAUAACUUAGGCUCUCUUUUUUCAAAGAUGAAUAAGAACCCGGUUAAGAGUUGAUAAAAGUCUAGGCUGAACUGAAAAGUCCAAUUACCGUUACCGUUCACCUUUUUUUUUAAAAAAGUAGGCCGUUCACUUUUUAUUUGGGAAAUUUUGCAUUUUUAUAUAUAUUUUUUUCGAUUUUGCAGAAAUAUAUAGUCGGAUGAAAAAAUUGCAAAACUAGGCUAUUGUCGCCGGCCCAGUAGGCUUUUUUUCAUCCGACUAUAUAUUUCUGCAAAAUCAAAAAAAAAUAUAUAAAAAAAUAAAAAAAGUUCUUUAUUUAGGAACUUCGAGAGAAUCUGUGGCCCAACUCUUGCUUUCGCGAUAGUUGGGCCAAACAUUUUAGGCAGCUCGAGUCCUGCCGGGGCUUCUGGGAACUUCUUGAGCGUGUCACAGGCUCACAUCCUCACACACAGGCCACUGACGGCGCCACAGCAGCUCAUCGCCGGCUCGCCGCCACCACCAACCACCGUUGCUUCCUCGAGCCCAAUGCCAAAGCUUCCCCAAGCUUGCCACCGUUGCAAGACUGCUAGUCUGCUACCGCUCCGAUCUCGUAGUCAGGAAAGGGACUGGUGUGAGAGGAAAUGGAUCAAAAGUAGGGAGAGCUCAGAGCUGACCAUGGGGACCGGUGCUGAUGUGGAGGCAGACAAGAUGGAAAGAUGAAGUACCAGUAGGGGCAAAAUUGUCCAAUUAUUAGGCUCCUAUUUUUGCCAAGCACACCCCCAAAUUUACAGCUUCACCCAGAGCCUCUUCCCGUAGGAGCCAUCUCCUAGCUGGGGUAAGACGAAGGAAAAGGAAUGCAGUACAGUCGAGUAGGGUACUGCUUUCCCGAGAUUCCACACAUCUCAGAACUGGGAGGAAUCGGAGGACGAGAAGUAAUGAUAGCAUUACGAUUUGGCACCGUGCUACCAUGUACCGUGGAUCACGCGGCCAGCUACCACGGCUCGCAUUCAUAAUCACGCCUAACGUUACGUUAACACUUGGAACUGACAAGUGACAACCCCAUUAGCACAGCAUAAAUCAGGUUACAGGACAGUAUCAAGUUCAGACAACGACGCAGCACAGGCACAGCACACAUAUUGACAGGGCUCACUUCACUCGGAGAAUCACAGGCAGGAUCUAGCAAGCAGAUGGAAACAAACUGGACUACAGGACAGUUAUCUACUGUUCCCCACGCAAGAAGCCACGCAGGCGCCGCCACCACUCGAUCGCCAGCUCGCCGGGAUGACGGCCGCAUGCCACCGGCGACGAGGACGCAGUCGUCAUCCCUUGUUAUUAUUCCCCUGCGCGGUGCAGGAGAUGACCAGGUAGCCGCCGUCUCUCUUGGCCUUGGGCUUCCGCGGGAUGCAGCGGUCAUGCAGGUCCCCGGCCUCCUUGGCCAGCUCCAGCUUUAUCACCCUGCCAGACAGACGCAUGGUAGUAAUAGUAGAGUUCAGCACGACUCGGAUCAUCAUAAUCAUCACCGUAUCACUAUCUCAUCAUCACUAUUCUCGUACGCCGUCACUCACAUGGCAGUAGAGUAUAGUACUCUAUACUACGAUCUCUCAUUUCCAUGCGCUAGUGAAUGUAGAUUGUGCCCACGCCUAAUUAGGGCUCUGUACGACUGGACCACGGAUUAAAAGCGGGGUUUGAAAUUCCUGACAAAGGCUGCUGUUACAGGCUCACAUCAUGACAUCAGGUUACUCUUUCAAGAACUGCGCAGUAGUACUGCAGGUUUAUGAGUAGCUUCAGGCUAAUCCUUCUGAAACGUAGAGCGUACGCGCGCCAAAAGCAGGAUGAACCAAAUGAUUUGGUGCUCCCGAUUACCGGAGCCCCGAUCCUGCCCGGCUCGCACGGAACGGGAGCAGGUCGCCAGGUCCCCCGGCCGAGAAUUGAAGCCCACCCGUUCCUGAUGAAAUUCUUCGCUACCCCUCGUCCCCGCGAUCAGUGCGGCCGUGAUGCCUGGUGCGCGACAGCUCCACGAGACCUACUUCUAUUUAUGGAGGUGACCACUAAUGGAGGCUGGAUGGAGCGUAUCUCGCGCGUACGGCAAUGGCGUGGUGGGUUCAGCUGCGGCGAUGACGAUGAGCAGAGCCAGAGCCAUUACUGCCGAUUACGACAGGGCGGUUCAAUGCAACAGUGGCAGCUCAUCCUUACUACUACUGCCAUCCAUGAGAGGCGUCUCGCGUAAGCGACGGAUCGGUGAUCCGGGCGCUUGCUGCGGCUUGCGUCGUCGCGUCAAUUAUGAUUACGAGAGGGAUGGAUUUCUUUUUUUCUUCACCUGUCUGCGUUGUACGACGACGACCGCCGGAGAACGGCGAGGUCCUGGGACGUGUCGUCGUCGCCCGACGAGCGCUUCGCGGUCUCGAUGAUGCUCCCGCUGAAGUACUCCUUGUCCUCCACGAUCUUCGCGCGGUAGGUCGGCACCUCCGCGGCCGCCGACGCCGGCGGGCGGGGCGGGCGCGCGCGGUGGCGGUGGUGGUGGAGGUUGUGGUGGUGUCGCGCGCGCGGCAUCACCGGGGAAGCACGCGCGUCGCGCACGGACACGGACCCGCACGAGAUGAGCUGCAUGAGCACGGAGGGUGCCCGGGCCCGGCCGCUGCCGCUGAUGGCCGCCACGACGCGCCCGUCCGCCUUGAUCAGCGCCUCCAGCGUCUCGGGGCUCGUCGACGCCGUCGGCGGUGACGUCUCCGCCCGGCUCAGCUCGUCCUGCGGCGCGGCGGCCUGGGCAUGGGCGCGCCUAGGGUGUCCGCGGCCGCCGUCCUCGGUCUGCGUCGCGGCGUCCGCGGCGCACUCCUCACCCUUGUACACGACGUACUCACCGAGCCCAUCGGCCGCGCGGCGCGCGCCGGCGCUCUUCUUCCGGUGCGCGUGCGCCUCCCACCUGGCGGAGGACGAGGAGGUGGGCGUCUCCUGCGAGCCGGAGGACGACGAGGACGCGGCGGCCGCGUCGAGCAGCGGGGCCGGCGGCACCGCCGGGUGCAGGCGCUCGGUGCCCUUGAGCACGUACUCCCGGCCGACCACCGGGUGGAUGUAGUCGUCGUCCGCCAGGUCGUGCCACACGAACCCGUUCCGGUAGCUCCUGCAUUGCAGUUGCAGCAAUGAACACAUGUCACGGCGUGGUGCACCAAACUCGUGACGAAAACGAGAAGCACUCGCGCAGACACCUACCUCUUGGAUGCCCACGAGUACAUGCGCGCCAUGCCCUUGCCUCGCAGCGCGUCGAGCCGGUCGAUCACAUCUACGCGCACAGAACGAAGCAAUGGCAACACGUUACAGAACGCUCAACGAACGCCAUUGAAACGGAAGGCGAAAUGCCAUGAGAACGAAGCAUGUGUGAGCAGAGCAUUGGUACCUCGGAGGUAGAGGCCGUCGGGGCUGGAGAGCGCGACUUCCAUGAAGUGCGGGUGCUCGAGGUGCCCGUUCCUCGACAGGUAGUACACGACCGCCGGCCUCGGCCGCGGUGGCCUCGGCGGCGCCGCCGCCAAGUCGGGGCUCCUCGGCUCCUGCUCCCGCCUCUGCAUCCUUGCCUGCUCCGCUCUCGCCCUGCUGCCCGCCACCACCACCGCCAUGCGCUCUCUCUGCCACUGAGUAAAUUGAUGCGCGGCAGCUGGCGUCUCUCCUCGCUCGCUCGCUAGAGCUCGUAGCGUUUAAAUGGCGCGAGUGCGACACAAGGGGAGGUGCGAAAGGGAGGGCUCAGGGGCGCAGCGCGCAGUGCACUGCAAGAGGCAUUCAAAUCGUGUGCCAGGACCAGCGUGGCGGCUCCUGCAAACCGCAGCGCUUUUGCGUGGCUUGGUGCACACUAAUGACCGCAGUGAAAUUAAACUGUGGAGCCUGUGGCUGGAGGAAAAAGGAGCUGAGAAAGCUUGGUAGGAAAGAACUCUUUGCGAUCUUGUUGCUUUCUCCUUGGUUCCUCUUUCCUUGGCGUCCUUGAGGUCAACUGGACGCCGGAAGCAGCAGUGCGUUUUGUUUGGCAGAAGACUGUCCUGCUGGUUAAGUACUGUACUGCUUCUAUCUGGUAUAGUUAAGAGGAGCCUAAUUGCUGUCGGUGUUGACUAGGUAAUGACUAAUAAGGCUUGCCGGCUGUCAAAGACUGCCUAGUCUAGAGGACGGUGAAAAUGGCAGCUGGUUUGGCGCUGCCAAGGCAGUUGUUUUAUGCUUGCCCCUUCGACUCGCGAGGCCCACGCAAACACGAGUCUGGGGCACGGCGAAUCGGCGCUGACCAGACGAGCCGGCGAGUCCAAGUGCCACAGUCCCUGGUCCAAGUCCAAGGCCUAUCACAGUCGCACUGUAAAAAAGAGGCUUAGAGGGGUUCGGAUCCUGAGGUUAAAAUUUAAUCCGUGUCAUAUCAAAUAUUUGGAAGCUAUUUAGGAGGAUUAAAUAUGAGUUAAUUAUAAAACUAAUUACAUAGAUAGAGGCUAAACGGCAAGACGAAUCUAUUAAGCCUAAUUAAUCCAUCAUUAACAAAUGGUUACUGUAGAAGCACAUUGUCAAAUCAUGUACUAAUUAGGCUUAAUAGAUUCGUCACGCUGUUUAAUCUCCAUCUGUGUAAUGAGUUUUUUUAAAUAAUUUAUGUUAAUUAGGAUCUAAAUAUUCGAUAGUUCCUUAGUCCGCGAAUCAAACACCUCUGAAUAGUCCGCGAAUCAAACACCUCUGAAUAGUGUGUACUUCGAGUCCAGACCGUUCCAAGUUUCCAACGAUUUGUUUAGUGGCUCUGAGGUUCCAUGUCCGAUGCAUGCCCCGUGGCGUGGCCGCGCACCAUUACAUAAUAAUCCGUGCAUCAUGUGAGCCGCCCGAGCACGGGUACGCCGCGCCGAUGUUGGUAAUAACAUUUGGAAGCAUUUGCGUGCAGGCGAAGGCUGCAAUCCCUGUCCUGCCCACUUGGGGCCUCCGAGUUCCAACCCGCUGCUCUGCUGCUGCAUUCCUGCAUGGGAGCAGGCGGGGACAAGUAUGCUAAUCCGAGCCACGUGACAAGGAUCAGGCAGGACCACGCUAACAGGACUAGGGGCGGUGCUGAGGAGGAGCCACAAUUUGGUCCAGUUUGGUUGGGUUUUUUUUGUGCUCGAACUUCACCUGCCACCGGCUACUGUAGCAUGUCGGUAGCCUCAAGAAGCCGAAGCUAGCAGGUUUGUGAGGGGGAGGAGAAAGAGAGAGAAAAGAAGCUCCACACUAUAGUAAAUGAACAAUAGAUGGUUAGAAGGAGCCGCAUUCAGGAGGUUCUCCACCAAACUGACUCUUUGUGCCUCCUUCGGCUCCUCCGCCGGCUAUGAGAGGGAGAGGAGGAGAGAGAAAUUUAAUUGUAAUGAACAGUGCACGAACAGUAGAUGAACAGUGCGGUGUCGGAGCCGCGCCAAGGCGCCCUGGUAUAUCCCGAGAUAAUCCGAGCCCGCUUAGGGUCGGUCCCCAGUGGUCAGGCAGCUGUGAUUAACCACCACUCCACCAGGCGAUUAUUUACUGGAUCGAGAGCGGAGGGGACAGGCGGUGAGGACAAGCGGGAGACUCCACCGGCUACGGAAUGAGGCGGGCAACCGCAGGUGCGGAAAGCGAGAGCGCACGACGGGCGGGCGGCGACACCGGGGGCGGGGAGGGAGCUCGCGGGGCGCGCGGGGGAUCGAGACUGCGUUUGACUCACGGCGGAGAUGGACGGGACGCGCCACCGCCGGGCCGUUCCGGCGUUCGAGAUCCGCCGCCUCGUGUGGAGUUGUUUUCGCCUUUUCACAGCUCGUCUUUACCGCGCCCGGUAAGCGUAGCGCAGCGCACUGAUUAACCGCUGUGGUGGCCGGUGGUCGAGGCGGGCAAUCGAUCGAUCGCGUUCACGCUGCCGGUAUCGAUGUCAGAGGCACCUCAGAAGCUCAUCGUACUGGGCUCGACACUUUUCUUUUGUACCCUACAGAUGAGCGGAUUUGGCGGGAUACAAAAGGAAAAAAAUGCAUGUAGCUGCUGGCAUGUGAUCUAUAGCUCGGAGCAAAGUCCACAUCCGUUGCGUCGCACAGGUUUCCAAGCGCAGCAAAUCACCGAGGUUUUAGUUUAGAGCUGGAAGCUUGUGGGUAGGCGUAGGCGUCGCCGCGCAGCACAGCAACCAGCAAGACGCCACUUGAGCAAUGCACGGGUUGAGGACAGAGUCAUGCGACGCGUAUCGUCCGGUCUUGCGAGGAGAAGAAGCCGACGAGGCCAGAAUCACGGAGGACGUAACUCUUGCCACUGUUCCGUUAGCUGUUUGCUACGGCCGCCCUUUUUUCACGCACCGCGUUGGUCCAGCGCACGCCUUGACGGGAGAGGACAAAGGACGGGAUCUGAUCGGUUACCUUCGAUGCGAUCGGGUACAGGCGGUUGCAGAGAACAUGCGCGGUAGGAGGACGGUUUUUUUUUUCUUUUUCUUUCAGAGGAUCUCAGAGUCAGAGUCCAGAACUGCUGUUAGCUUGUCACCUGCUCUCUCCCUGGUGCGUGGGCCCAAAGCGCCGCCUAGAUUAGCUCACAGAGGCCCAAACAAAAGGCCGGAAGUGCAUUAAACAAAUAGAAUACUAGUGAAGAAGAAAGAAGCGUGCAGGCCCAUGAAGGCCCGUCCACACCUGUCGCCAGGCCUGUUCGACUCAUGAAUCGAAUGGCAGGCGAGCCCAAACCUAGCUAGCGCAUCAGGUCCGCCGCACUAAGCCCGCUCGCAAACCCCUCACAACCCUCGCCGCCGCCGGCCGCUCCACCCCCGCCGUCGCCAUGGGCAACUUCCGCAAGCUCGGCCGCCCCGCCUCCCACCGCGUCUCCAUGCUCAGGUGUUCCUUUCUCCCACCUCGACGCCCCUAUCUAUGGCUCGGCACCGCCUUGCCGCUGACCUCUGGAUUUGUCUCCUCGGCAGGACGAUGGUGUCGCAGCUGGUGAAGCACGAGCGCAUCGAGACCACCGUCGCCAAGGUACUCUCUUUCGCAUCUUGUUGCUUCGUCGAUAGGCCGGUGGGAUUUGUGUUCUAGGAGCUGUGAUUGUUGACUUGAGUGCCCUGCCCUUCAUUUGCGUGGUUGGUUUCAGGCGAAGGAGGUGCGGCGGAAGGCGGAUCAGAUGGUACAGCUCGGGAAGGAGGUAAACGGAACACCACUCCUCUGUUGCUAACUGAAUUCCAUCCUGAAAUAUCGUGCCAUUCCGUGGUAUCGAUGAAUCUAUGUGGAGCAGUGGGUGUAAAACAACCUAACAGUCAUUUCGUUAAGUUCGCACAUAGAUUGGAAACAAUUGUAAGCAUGGAAUCACUUAGCGUUACUACUCCUGGACUCUCAAUUAGCAGUGUAGAAUUCAGAUUCAGGGAUGUGUCUUCAUGAGACGGGUAGGCAUUGUUGCUUAACUUGGAGGUGGAGUGGUGGACACCAUUAGUUGCUGAUUAGCACUUUAGAAAUAGUAUUGCCUGUCUACUGUUUGACAUUAAUCUUUAAUGAAAUCUCAGUGAGAUGCUUAGAAGUAGCUUCUUUAUAAGUAAAUUCAAAUGUUGAAGUCUCUCAGCUCUUGUCGAAGAACUGAUCGAUGACAAUGAUGCUAUCAGACCAAAAUAUGUUGAUUUCUGGCAUAGAAGUUACUCCCUAUCUUUUUUUUUGAAUUUUUAUUUACUCCCUGAUAUGUUAUUAUUUCGUAAAAGGGACAAAUUUUUUUUGCAAUGCCUUUAUCUUGAAGUUUAUAUGCAGCCCAAACUUUUGUCUGACCUGGGUUUCACGUUGAUUUUGGUAACACUGUCUCGAAGCUAAAAAUGCAGAAACUUAUGCCGUAUAUCGACACAAAUAUGUAGGGUACUUUGGAUGCGGCAAGACGUGCUUCUGCCUUUGUUCGGGGUGAUGAUGCUGUUCAUAAGCUAUUCACAGAGCUGGCCUACCGCUACAAGUAAUCUAUUUUACCUACCCAUGGAUCUGCUUAAUUUAGUAUAGUCUGGCGUACCUACAUUUGAUUUGUUACUUCCUCUUUUUCAAAAUAGGUCUCAUGUUGAUGUCUAAAGUAGACAACUAGGCAUAAAAUAGCAUGAGUAUCAUAUCAGUAUUUGAUGUUUUUUUCUCCAGAUCCUUAGUAAACUUCAUUCAGUGAAGGAGUAUGAUGCUUUGUAUGAUAAGACAAAUGAGAAAAGUAGAAAUAGAUUGCUGUAUAUUUGGAAGCAGAGUGGAUUGGAACUAAUUGUAUGCUCCUUUUAUAUCCCAGGAAUCGAGCUGGUGGAUACACAAGACUUUUACGCACCAGGAUACGUGUUGGUGAUGCUGCAGAAAUGGCUUACAUCGAGUAAUAUACUUUCUCUAUAUUUUUAGCAGCAAAAUGUGUUUGGCCUACACCAACUUGCUUGGGACUAAAAAUCUUUGCUGCUGCUGUUGUUAUUUCUAUGAGAAAAAAAAUAAUUUCUAGGAUAUCUUUUCCACAUGGUGCUGCUAUCUUGCACAUAUCAAAAGUAAAAAUUUUAUUUUCUGCACUACCUUUAGUAAUCGUUCCUGCUGGUUAACCAAUUAGGUCUUAGAGAUUUAUACUUCCAUUGUUACUGUCUGUUACUAUUUACAAAUCCCUUGAUAUGUUUUAGAAAUCUGCCACGUUCUAACAGUACAGAAAAGUUUUGGAUCCCUCGAAUUACUUUAGAAACCAAUAUGGUUCCACCCAAGCAUGCGGCUUUUCUUUACAUCGUACAUCGAACACUGAAUGGACAAUUUUGGCGCUAUUUCCUGCUCUUUCUGUAGGUCACUGUCAAAUCUUUUCUGAGUUAAGCUAUAUACUGUGAUGAACAGUUCAAUUUGAAUUUACUAGCAUAGCAGCAACAUGUCAUAUACCAGUUUUCGGAAGCCUUGUAGAGAUGCGGUACUUAUCGGUUACAUAUGCAGGUUCGUGGACAGGGAGAAUGAGCUUCGAGAGGCCAAACCUGCAACCCCACAGCCGCCCCAACGAGCCCCUAUGGAUCCGUGGGCCAAGUCUCGUGCUAGCCAACAAUGGGCAGGACCAAAGCUCACCAAGAGCUCCGGAUCAGACGGCUUAUGAGGACAAUAGCAGGCGUAUCCAUGUUCUGAAUGAGGCUUCAUUUAUUUGCUUGAUAUGCAGAUGGGAUUCUUUUUUUUGGUUUAGAGAUACCUGGCAAUAGAAUAAUUCAAAUUUGUAUUGCUAUACCGUACUAGCUCAUGAGGUGAAUGCUUCUAAUUCAUCAACAGAAAAUUGCAAGGCAGUACACGCUAGAAUUUUGCCUGACAGAUGUUUCUUCCUUUUCUUUCUUUCUUUUUUUUGUUGCUUUACCCCUUAUCGCCGAUGCAUCUGUGGUCCAAAGUCCAAAGAAGUGCGAUUUGCCUUCCUGUGUUACUGGUUUUUUCUGUCGGCACGCUGUACUUUUCACCGAUUAUUAAGCUGAUCUGUUGGGUAUCAGAUUGGAUCCAUGCAGUUGAAGCAUUACCAGACCCGUUUGCAAGGCUGACCACGCCCAAAUCUACAGUACAUCAUUUAGCUUAAGCGCUGAUGUGCCGAAUCCUCCUCAGUUAACCCCGCCCAAAUCGCGAACACCCUCACCUGUUCUCGCGUCGGCACGUAGGCUCCUACCGAGUCUUACUCCGCGCUCCAACGAAAAGGCCAAACCAGACUCCCAACUUCUCCUCAAGUCGGGGGUGACCCCGCCGCCCCUGUCUCAGUUCAUCCAGCGGUUCGCGCGCAGUGCCCACGGCGCGCCGCACUGUGACUAGCGCGCAACGUGCUCGACGGAAUGCCGCACCGGGACGUCGUCUCGGCCACCGCGGCCAUCGGCGCGCUCACCCGCCGCGGCCGGCACCGCGACGCCCUCGCCAUGUUCUCCCGGGUGCUCGCCGGCGGCGUCGCGCCCAACGAGUUCACCUUCGGCACCGUCCUCCGGUCGGCCACCGCGCUGCGCGCCCCGCGCGUCGGCGCGCAGCUCCACGCCUGCGCCGCCAAGCUCGGCCUCUGCUCCAACGUCUUCGUCGGAAGCGCCCUCCUCGACCACUACGCCAAGAUGGGCGCCAUGAAGGAGGCCCAGGGCGCGCUGGAGGAUACCAGUGAGCCGAACGUGGUCUCCUACACCGCCCUCAUUGCCGGUUUGCUGAAGAACGGGAUGUUCGAUGAAGCAGACCGCUUGUUCCGGCGCAUGCCAGAGAGGAACGUGAUCUCUUGGAACGCGAUGAUCGGCGGGUGUAGCCAAGCCGGGCUUAGCGAGGAGGCUGUUAAUCUGUUCCUGGAGAUGUGUCGAGAAGGCGUAACGCCGAACCAAAGCACCUUCCCCUGCCUGCUCACUUCUGUUGCCAAUGCAGGGGCACUCGGCGUUGGUAGAAGCGUCCACGCAUCGGCCAUCAAGUUCUUGGGCAAUCUUGACGUCUAUGUGGGCAAUUCUCUUGUGAGCUUCUAUGCCAGGUGCGGUAGCCUGGAGAACAGUGUCCUAGCGUUCAAAAAGAUCAGGCAAAAGAAUGUGGUAUCAUGGAAUGCGCUGAUCUGUGGGUAUGCGCAGAAUGGGAGGGGAGAGGAGGCUUUGGAUGCUUACAAGGCGAUGAGAGCGACGGGGCUGAAGCCGGAUAAUGUCACUCUUCUCGGUUUGCUGUUUGGUUGCAACCAUGCUGGUCUGGUUGACGAAGGCUAUGCAUUGUUUAAGACUGCUGAAAUGGAGCAACCUGGUAUACUGAAACCUGAGCAUUAUGCCUGUGUAGUUGAUCUACUAUCUCGGGCCAAGCGGUUCGACGAUGCCAAGAGGUUUCUUGAGGAGCUGCCCUUUGAACCUGGCAUUGGUUUCUGGAAGGCACUGAUAGGAGGUUGUCAGAUUCACUGGAACAGGGAGCUAGCUGAGAGCGUUGCUAAGCGCAUUCAUGAAUUGGAUCCAAAGGACACAUCUUCCUACAUUCUCCUGUCAAAUGUUUAUUCUGCAGCAGGAAGCUGGCAAAGUGUGUCCAAUAUCAGGAGGGAGAUUAAGGAGAAGGGGCUGAAGAGGAUUACCGGCUGUAGUUGGAUUGAGGUCCAGGACAAAGUCCAUGUCUUCUUCAAUGGAGACUGUAGGCAUCAACAGAGUGAUGAAAUUUACUCGGUGCUUGAAGCGUGUCUGUAUACCGGGAAAGAUGAUGAACAUGAACUCUCAACUGUGUGAUGAUGACAAAUCAUCCAAAAGAGUGAGACUAUUGGAAAAGAUGUUUGCUUGUCACUGUCUUCUAUCGUUUUGAGGACCACAGGAGACUGCAGCGCUGCACCAUGGAGAGCGAGUAAUCAGGUUUCAGCCUUUCAUGUAUCAGAUGAUCCGAUGCCUUGCGGUAGCUGCAAGAAAUGUCCCUUGUAUCGCAACAGCAAAGGAAUACUGCAGUGUUCUUGGACUGAAGAUGACUAGAUGAGCAGCUGGAUCAUGCUCAGGUUAGAGGAUGGUACCAUAAAUCAGCAUGUCAAAGGAAACCUGCUAAGUUUUUAGACAAGAUGAGCAGCUGGACCAUGUUCACAUCAGAGGAUGGCGGUACCGACAUGGCACCACAAAUCAGUAUAGAAAUUUUACAUAGCAAUGCUGGCUGGUAUGUUCCUUGUUCAGGGUUAACCCUGUUUUCAUUUAAAAGAACUCAUUUAAUCAAUUGGCAUUCUUAAAUAAAUAAUGUUGAACCUUUCAACUGUAAUGUUAAUGGAUUAAAUGAGUCCCUUGACAAAUUGUAAUUCAAUUGUCAACCACAUAAGCUUCUAGAGAUGCAUCAUAUGUAUCAUCCAAAAGAAGCUUCUCUACAGGUGCUAAAAAUAAGCAAGAGGUACCAAUAAUUAGUAUCGGGUGCUAAAAAUAGGCAAGAGGUACCAAACCAGUCCUAAAUGUUUCGGAUAAGCAACUGCAAAAUCAAAAGUUGACGCAAAAAACGUGACUGUCGACAGUUUAAUACACUACCCAAAAUAUAAUGCCAUACACGCCUUGGUCAUCGUCACAACAUUCUACAAGCAAACAUGCCCUGGGGAAACUCAGUUUUGAUGUGAAAAUUUGAUGUGAAAAUCUGAACUCCAAAUUCAAACAACUCUCCAUCAAAACUAGAAAAUGACAACAUCAAGAAUUUAAGAAAAUUAUAUUUGGAUAAUAGCGUUGUAUUCGGAACAUCCACAAGGGUCAUUGAUUCCUUCAGCACAGGUAAACAAUUCUACAUUGUUCCACUAGCAACCUAACACUGCGCUAAACAAGUAAAACAUCGGAGGAAAAGAAACAAAGACCGCAACAACGUGCGGCAAUCUAAGAGGAGGUGAACUUGGUGACAGCCUUGGUGCCCUCAGAGACGGCGUGCUUGGCGAGCUCGCCGGGGAGGACGAGGCGCACCGAGGUCUGGAUCUCCCGGGAGGUGAUGGUGGGCUUCUUGUUGUAGCGCGCGAGGCGGGCGGCCUCCUGGGCGAGCUUCUCGAAGAUGUCGUUGAUGAACGAGUUCAUGAUGGACAUGGCCUUGGAGGAGAUACCAAUGUCCGGGUGCACCUGCUUGAGCACCUUGAAGAUGUAGAUCUUGUAGGUCUCGACGCUCUUCUUGGCCUUCUUCUUCCCCUUCUUCUCGCCGCCCUCCUUGCCGGAGCCAGGCACGCGCUUCUCGGCCUUGGGCUUCUUGUCGGCCUUCUCCUCCGCCGGCUUCUUCUCAGCGGGCUUCUUCUCGGCCUUGGGCGCCAUCACGGAAUCGAGCGGGUGGAGCCGACGGCGGAGCUCGGGAAGCGGCGGAUUGGGAAUUUGGUGGUGGGGGCGGCGGUUGCUCUUGGCUUUUGGUGGUGGGUUUCCGGGGGGGCGGGGUGGGUUUAUAUAGGCAGGUGGGGCGGGCUAUGAUUGGUGGAGGGGGUGGCGGCGCGGAUCGAUGAUAUGGCGGUCUGUGGAGCGUCGGAUCGUUGGACGGCUGGGAUUUUGAGGCGCGGGGGAGGGGUUUGGCGUGGGGACGCGUAUCGCCGCGGAUUCGGGAAAAUACGAGCGGGAAACCGUCAGCCAUGUGUGAAAUCGUAAGUUUUGGCCUUUUGGGGCGCGGGUUGUUUUCUUUUUUAUGUGGAGAUUUUUGCGCGCGGGCCAGCGGCCAGGUUUUGGGGCGGCAAGAGUAGGCUGGGCCUCUGUCGGCCACAGGCGGGCUUCACUGCUAGAGUGCCGAAGAUUUACUGGCCUAGCUUUAAAAUUCAAAGAUUAACUGCACUCGCAACUUCCCCCUCAAAAAAAAAAACUGUACUCGCAACUUGAUAUUGCCACGCUCUUAAUUGUGGAAAUGGGGCGGCGAUUAUCUUGAGAAAGAUAUAAUUUUUUUAAGAAGUACCUGUUGAUGUUGAUGUUGUAACUGUUGUAAUAGAAAUUUGUUUGUAACCCAUACAGUGAAAUCAUAUCGGGGAUUAAGAUCAUCACGGCUCAGAUUGGUGCUCUACCACUAGGAUCAAGUCCUUAAAGUCUUGGAUUGAAACCUUGCCACCGGGGAGGCGGGGAGAAAGCUCCAUUAUGCGGAAGCAACGUCCAUGCAUUUGUUUCGCUGCAAGCUAGCUUUUAAAUAAGUUUUUUUUAAUUUAGCCCAUUUUUAUUAAGUAUCAUCUUAUAUCAAUUUUAGAGGCAAUCUCAUUACCGAGCUGACAAACCAACUGACAAGCCAAACCUUAUCGAACUGUGUCCACUUGGCAACAUCCUGAAUUAACUAUUUAUCUUAAUGUAAACAGAUCGAAAUGCACAAAUCUUGAAGCUUCUACCACAAUUCAAGGUUUUUUUGCCCAACCCUUUGCAGGAUGAGCCACUUGACAGCAUGGUCAAUGAUUCUUGUUGUCUCUUUUUGCUAAGCCACGUUACUAGAAGGUCUUCGGCAACACUGGCUAGUGAUGGGUUCUAGUAAAAUCAAAUAAUAGGUAGUAUUAUAGUUUCAACCAUUUUGAAGACCAGGUCUUUUAGAGAUAGAAGUCGUUUUCACUUUUUUUAGCGAGAUUGAUUUUAUCCAUUUGGUGUCAAUAAUAGGCGCCCAUUCGAGGUGUAAAGAAAUUGAUCUUGUUUUAUUAUUAAUGAUGCGAAGCUAUUUCUUAGAGGCUUCAUCGGGUGAUAACCUGCAUUACAUAUUGGAGCCUAAGAUCUUUCUACUUUGACCGACACGCCACAAGAACACUUUGAACAAAUGAAUUCUUGAAAAACCUACAAAGUGAAUAGAUAAAGCUACCUAUAAAGUGAACAUAUAGAUCUUCUUAUAUUUCGAGCACCUGGGGUGCUGCUGCAAACCCUCGCCCUCACCUACCUGUAAACUACAUCCACAUAUAUAUCCAUCGGUUGUAGCACCCACACACACGGGUAAGAUUGGCAUGCUGAGUAUCUAUCAAUCUAGUAAAUCCAAUAGUUGCUUUAGUGAUGUAUCCCACUGGGGUGCUUUUGGCUAUGGGUUAUGUUUCAUGGUGUCAUUGUAUGUGUUAACUUGAUGGCAACAUUCUUUGUAACAGUAAUAAUUCGACUCUUUCUUCUGGUUAUCGAUGUUAUAUCUAGCACUUACGAGGGAUUUAUGAGGAUUAUGAUCGUGUCAACUGAUGGUAACAUGGGAGAAGAAUGGACGACCUUUAUCAGGCCAGAGGUGCGGUAUCAUCAAUAUUUCUCAAACAUUUAUAUGCAUGUGUACUCCUCAAUACGCAUGACUAUUAUGGUGUUAAAAAUCACUAUGCGAUUGUGAUUCAUCCGUGUAUUACUUUUCUCUUUUUGUCCACUCUUAACGAUGAGGGGAGCAAUGCAUAGUAGUGAUGUAAUACUUUUAUCAAAUUUGAUCGUAUUGUUUGGCACGAUUUUUUAACCCGAUCAUGUUUUUCGUAACAUAAAUAGACGCCCAAUGACGUCUUUGCUUAAAAAACAACCGCUAUGAUUCACUCCAUGUCCUUUUUAAAAAAAAUGAUUCGCUCCAUGAAACUUUCCUUUUCUUAGAGCACUGAGUCAAACCAUAGUGCCGACCGAGUGCCGCAAAAGAGCCGACGCCGCUUGCCUCGCUCCCCCGCACGGAUGGGGGAUAUUUAAGUAAUUGCCACCCUUGCAAAUGGCACUCCUUCAUUUGCCACUUUUACGGGAGCUUCUACUAUUUUGCCAUCGCGAACGAAACGUGGCAACUGAUUUGCCAUUUUUGCUGACGUGGCACGCCACGUCCCCGCGACAGCGUGGUUUAGGGGUGCCAAAAGACCCUCAUGCCCCCGUCGGUCUCCUCCGUUACCCCGGACCCGACGCCAUCCCCUUCCCCGUCUCCCCCCCCCACUUCUCCCCUCUCCCCCCAGGCCUCCCUCCUCCCUGCCUCCCCGACGAAAAACCUAGGUCUAGAGCGGCGGCGGCGGCGGAGGCGGUGGCGGCCAUCCAUCUCCCCAUUCCCAUCCCCUUCCCCAUCUACCCCAUUCCCCAUCUGCUGUUGUUCCUCCCUGCGCCAACGGGUCAACAAUGGAGCCUCCUCCCUGGUAAGCUGCAAACCAUCCCCUCUUAAAGUGUUUGCCUGAGAGGAGUUGGAUGUUUCUAACUCCGUAUUUUGUUAUUUUCAUUAUUAUACCAGGAUUGAUCCUGGAAAUGCAUUUAGAAUAGAGGUUAAGGUUGAAAAGUAUAAGGCAUUUGCGGAGUCUGGUAUUGUAGAAAUUCAUGAACAAGAACAUGUGUUGUGGUUUGAUAGAUGCAGUGGGUAUAAUCUGGAUAGUUUUGUUGUUGAUAUGGCUAGCAAAAUAUACUGGGGAUCUAGUCAGACAAUUGCAGUGUGGUCUGUGGAUGUUAACAGUGAAGCUGAGUGGAAGGUUAGAAAAAAUGAGCAUUUUGAGUCAAUGAUAAAGCACAGAUGGAAUGUUGGAGUAGCAAAUGUUAGGGUAGAAGUUGUGGACAGAUGGAAUGAAGGGUACCAAAAUGUUAACAGUUGUGCAGGGUCAGUAGGCAAUUCUGGAGUAGGGACUUCUGGAGUAACAAAUGAAGGUGCAAGUGAAUAUUGUACAUCUCCAGCACAACAUGAGCAAGCCCAAACAGAAAUUGUUGAUUGGAGUACACUGACUAUACUGCCAGAGACUCAACAAGAUGGUGAAGCUUAUGUUUUGGCUGAUGAGGACAGGGUUUAUGAGGCAAUGGGCUUCAAAGCAGCAGAUGAGGCAGCAGCUCAGGCAGCAGCACAAGCAGCAGCAGAAGAUGACCCUGCUAUCCCUGACAUUCCUCCUGAUGUACAAGCAGAGAUGCAUGAGGCUGGAAUUCAUGUUGAUGACAAUGAACCUUCAGAGCCAAUACUUGAGUGGGAUAGAGACAACCCAGACAUGAGGGUGGGCACAAUCUACCCUAACAUGGUAGAUUUCAGAUUGGCAGUGAGGCAGCAUGCUAUAGUCAAUGAGUUUGAGCUGGGAACUGAGAAGUCAGACAAAGAAAGAUUCAGGGGGCAUUGCUUGGCUAAAGGGUGUCCAUGGGUUAUUAGAGCUAGAACAAAAGCUGAUGGUUCUGUCAGGGUACAUUUACUAACUUACAUGUGUUGUAAUGUUUGACUAACUUAGCCUUACUAUUUGUUUGCUGUUGAGCUAACAAAUCUUUAUGUCCUGCAGGUCCAAAUAAACAAUGAGCUUCAUAAGUGUGCUUCAAGAAGCAGAGUGCUGGGCAGAAUGGCCAAUCAAGCAUGGGUGGCUGAGAGGGCCAUACCUUUGCUCAAGAGGAAGCCUGGAAUGGGUGCUGCAGAUGUGAAGGAAGCAUUGGAGGACAAGUACAAGAUUAAGAUCAACUACCAGACAGUUUGGUAUGGUAGGCAGAGAGCAGCUGACAAAUUAUUUGGUAAGUAGGAUGAUUCAUUUGAUUGGUUGUAUAGGUUUAAGGCAGAAGUGGAGUUGAGGCAGCCUGGUAGUGUAGUUGAGAUAGAUACUGUCAAAGUUGGAGAGAAGCACCAUUUCAACAGAUUUUUUUGUGCUUUCAGAGGUAGUAUAGAUGGGUUCUUGUAUGGGUGUAGACCUUACAUUAGUAUAGACUCCACAGCUUUGAAUGGGCAGUGGAAUGGACAUAUGCCUGCAGCCUUAGCUUUAGAUGGUCAUAAUUGGAUGUUCCCUUUGGCCUUUGGGUUUUUUGAUUCAGAGACCAAGGACAAUUGGAUUUGGUUCAUGGAGCAGUUAGGCAAGGCCAUUGGGGUACUUCCAAGAAUGGCUGUUUGUACUGAUGCUUGCAAGGGCCUAGAGUCUGCUGUCAAGCAUGUUUUUCCAUGGGCUGAACAGAGGGAAUGUUUUAGGCACUUGAUGGAAAACAUGAAGAAGAAGUUCACAGGAAAUGUAUAUGCUGAAAACAUGUGGCCUGCUGCAAGAGCUUACUCAGCUGGAAAGCACAAUUACUUUAUGAGUAAAGUCUUGGAAGCUAGCCCUGAGGUAGGAAAAUGGUUAGAAGAGCACCAUAAUCUGUUGUGGGCCAGAUCCAAGUUCUCUCCAGACAUCAAAUGUGACUACAUCCUGAACAAUUUGGCUGAGUCUUGGAAUGCAUGGAUCAAAGAAUUCAAGGACCUUCCACUACACUGUCUGGUAGAUGCUAUCAGAGAGAAAGGUGUGGUCAUGUUUGAAAGGAGGAGGAGGAUUGGAAGAGCUUUGAAUGGAGUUAUUCUCCCUGCUGUGAUUCAUCAACUUAAUGCUGCCUCAAAGGGGAUAGGACACUUAAAGGUCACCAAAGGACUGCCACACCAAGCUGAGGUCACUGAGAUAUACAAAGAUGAGGAAGUAAGAAGACAUGUGGUCUAUCUCAAUGACCAGAGCUGUACAUGUAGAGAAUGGCAGGUUACUGGUAAGCCUUGCUCCCAUGCUUUGGCUGUUAUAACCACUGUGAGGCAGCCAGAUUAUGAAAAGUUUGUGGACAUGGCAUAUUCUGUGAUAUGAACCCGCUAGGGGUGAUUCCCGAUCUUUCGAUGACAGGCGUGGGAUAACUCGAUUGGUCAAUGGAGACGACGUUCACGGCCCGACUACAGCCUUCCAAGCUGCGCCUUAGCAACCGACACACCACCUCCAAUGGCUGCCGCGAUCUUGUGGAGCGCGUCACCCGGCCACUAGAGCACUCGUCCUGCAAGCAAUCGAAGAACUAGCAAGAACAAGUAUAACAAGUACUGAAUUUACUAGAUGAAGAUGAAGGUUUCCAACUCAAUCUCAAUACGGUGGGGUUCCGAAGACAGCAAGACGGGCGGCUGAUCCAGCACGCGCGCUUACAAGCAAGUAGCGAGAGCUAAACUUGAUCUAAACAAAACCCAAUCUGUUCGUGACGGCUCUAAUCCUUAUUAAUACCUAGGAGGACGACCAGGGGGGUGUUGGGGUCGUGCUCCAACCCUAGGACACGUCCCUAAUGGACCCAACUUGAUACACGGCCCAUCGGGCCAAAAUAGGGCGACGCAGCACCUGUGGACAGAAAACCUCUCGGUAGUAUUUCGAUGAUUGCGGCCGCCUCAGAAUAGAUAUGGACAUGAGUCCGGAUCCAUAUGAAAAUAGACUUUAUAAGGAUUCCAAGAAGUACUUGAACGCCCAAAACGGAGUCCGGAUGAGGUCGUGGUGGUCGUUGCAAGUUGGGUCAGAACUGUAGUCCGAAUCCAGCACCAAAACGUGUUGGAUUGGAUCUCUUUCUUUCCUUGGGCCAAAAGUGACGUGGUGGUCUGGUGGAGGACAUUAGGAAUACUUGGACUUGGCCCCCAAUCUACUUCUUUGGUCCUCCAUGCCUUCCAUGUGUGUUUAACACUAUUUUUGAUCCAUGUAUGUAUUUCUGAAAUUGACAACGAAUACACAUCAUGGUGCAGCAUCAAUUCAUCAAAUGUAUCACAUAUAAUUAUGAUAAAGAAUUGUUUCACCUCGGAGUCAAAAUAUGCCAAUAUGGUUAUAUCCGAGCAUGUGAUGUCCUCAUCAUUCUCCCUUUCUUGGCUGCAAGUCGUCCUCGACUUGCUCCAGUGGCAUUCUAAGGUGCUUGUUUUGAUGUUGGAGCACGGAGCGACGGCCAUGCUGCAUGGCCACAACCAGUAAUGCUCCCCUUCUUUGGUCUUACCCUGUUGCAUAUGGGAAAAACUAGAAAAACUUUGCAAGACAUUAUUAGUGUUAGUGCAGCCCUCUAUUUGAUCAUGGUAUUGUAGCCCAAAAGGAUAUUUCAGCGUGGAGCAAACAUAAACUUUAUGCACCAAAUAUUCUCCUUUGCUAUCAUAUUUGCCAAUUGCAUGAAGCGAACAAUGAUUAAAACUUGGCAAACCAGAACCAAAUUGAAGUUUCUCUUUUAGACAAUUUAGAUUACACAAAACAUCAAAUUCAAUGUAACCCAAAGUAUUUAAAGAGGAUAGCAAAUUCAGUUCAUCUUGUGCACAAGUAAUAGGAUGAAAAAGCUUAGCUUCAGCACAUUUGUAUGAUUCCAAACCAAAAGUAUCACACUUAUUCACUACUUGUGGUAUAGGAGUAAAAGAAUCAUCAGCACACAAGUCCUCUUUAUCACAAGGAACAGCAAGUAAUUCAUUUUGUGACAAAGGAAAAUCAGCAAUGGGUUCCACUAUUUGAUGCUCUUCAUUAGCAUGGAGAGUGGACAAAUUUUGAAUAUAAUGGGUCACAUCAUGCUUGCAAGUAUUCACAGAUAAAAGAAUCUCUUUUUCAACAUUGAGAGCAAGGCAAAACAAUUGACCAAUAUGUAUGUAUGAUUUGCUUAGCAACAAGGUUUGAAUUUCAGAAUUGAGCCCUCUCAUGAACCUACACAUAACAUCUUCCAUGCACUCAUCUAAUCCACCAUACAUGAUACAAAUUUUAAAAUCAUGGAAGUAUUCUUUUACAGUCCUACUACCUUGCCUCAAGUUGUCUAAUUUAGCAAGCAAAUAAUCAGCAUAAUAUUCAGGAAUGAAUGCAUCUCUAAAAAGAAAUUUAAAGUCUUCCCAAGAUUCUAGAACUUUGUUGUGCCUACAAAUGUGUUUCCAUUCUAGCAAAGCAAAUCCAGUCAAAACAUUAGAGGCAAUAUAAAUCUUUUGUUUCUCGGACAAGUCAUGCUCAUUAAAUUCAUUAUCUACUUUUAGCUCCCAAUCAAUGUAAGCUUUAGGAUCAAACUUACCAUCAUAUAACGGCAAUUGUUGAAUGACAUCUUGAAUAUGAGAGUCUAGUUUCAACAGCUCAAAAAUCUCCGUAUCACCUGCCAUGAUUAGUAGAAAACAAGAAACACAAAAAUAAUAUGUAUCCUCCUGUCAACUACUAGGAUGUGUCGGUUGUAAUUCUCUCAAACUCAACUUGUAAAAACAAGCCCUUACAAGUUCUUACCAAGCCAAACAGGAGGUGACGGCAACCAACAAGUCUACAACCGUGGAGUGAAGUGUAUCGGUGCCGCAGCAACAAAAAACCUGUCAAGCUGUAGUCGAAUAUGUGGAGCUGUAGGUGGGCUUAAGCAAGGAAAUAUACUAGCACCACGUUAGUCACAAAAGCAAGCUGAAUAAUAGUUCAACGGUGGUACUGUGCUGGUCCUAGCCUAGACCGUGCUAGAGACGCGAGCCUGGACACAAAGGAAGUCACAACACACCACCGGAAAACAAUAGGGAAGCACAACGAACAGCCCCUUUUCUUCCUAUUUUUUUUUGUCUUUCUUUUCUUCUUUUUUUUCUUCUGUUUUUUUUUCUUUUUUUUUCAGGGGAUCCUCAAAUCUGAUUAUAUGAACAAAAGGACUUCACAAGAGUCACACACCACACAAACGUUUGCCAAAACGAUAGAAAUCAGAUUUGGACUCAAGAUAGCAACAAGGCAGCUGUCAAUUCAAACUCCAAACCGAUUCCAACUCGAACUCAGCACCACGCGGGAUUCGGUCUUAAACAAACUCGGAGUCCUACUCGGACUUGAGCACAAAUAUGUAUUCAGAUUCAGCCAACAAAAGGUUUUAUAUGGUAGCACACGGCUGUGACUAGAACGUGACAAGAACUCGAAACUCUAAAGGACAAAAACUAAGACCAGCAACUCGACACAACCGAUGCAACCAAAAACUCAACAAGCCCUAACUAAGCAGUGCUAGCAAAGGCUCAAAGGGUUUAUAGGAUUGCGAGUAAACUAAUCUACUACUUUUUUUGGCUUUUUCUGGACAAUAGGAAAUUAAAAACAGCAAAAAACUAGAAGUCUCUCACCGAUAAACCUUGCUCUGAUUACCAACUGAUAUGAACCCGCUAGGGGUGAUUCCCGAUCUUUCGAUGAGAGGCGUGGGAUAACUCGAUUGGUCAAUGGAGACGACGUUCACGGCCCGACUACAGCCUUCCAAGCUGCGCCUUAGCAACCAACACACCACCUCCAAUGGCUGCCGCGAUCUUGUGGAGCGCGUCACCCGGCCACUAGGGCACUCGUCCUGCAAGCAAUCGAAGAACUAGCAAGAACAAGUAUAACAAGUACUGAAUUUACUAGAUGAAGAUGAAGGUUUCCAACUCAAUCUCAAUACGGUGGGGUUCCGAAGACAGCAAGACGGGUGGCUGAUCCAGCACGCGCGCUUACAAGCAAGUAGCGAGAGCUAAACUUGAUCUAAACAAAAACCCAAUCUGUUCGUGGCGGCUCUAAUCCUUAUUAAUACCUAGGAGGACGACCAGGGGGGUAUUGGGGUCGUGCUCCAACCCUAGGACACGUCCCUAAUGGACCCAACUUGAUACACGGCCCAUCGGGCCAAAAUAGGGCGACGCAGCACCUGUGGACAGAAAACCUCUCGGUAGUAUUUCGAUGAUUGCGGCCGCCUCAGAAUAGAUAUGGACAUGAGUCCGGAUCCAUAUGAAAAUAGACUUUAUAAGGAUUCCAAGAAGUACUUGAACGCCCAAAACGGAUCAAAGGUAAGCCCGUCUCCUCACCGACAAGAGCAUCUACAACCGGCCUCCUCACACUUGAUGACGCUCCAGCCUGCGACAUGGCUUGCGCGUGACGGAUGGGGGAAGAAGGGACGACUAGCGGGGGGGGGGGGGUUUGGGGGGGGGGGCUGGUGACCCGCUGCGCAGGGAAGGAAGGGAGGAGAUGGGGAAGAGGGGAGAUGGGGAACGGGGGAGAUGGGGAAUGGGAGAUGGAUGGCCUCAGUCGUCGCCGCCGCCGCCGCCGCCGCUCUAGAUGGGGAGAGGGGAGAAGUGGGGGGGAGACGGGGAAGGGGAUGGCGUCGGGUCCGGGGUAACGGAGGAGACCGACGGGGGCAUGAGGGUCUUUUGGCACCCCUAAACCACGCUGUCGCGGGGACGUGGCGUGCCACGUCAGCAAAAAUGGCAAAUCAGUUGCCUCGUUUCGUUCGCGAUGGCAAAACAGUAGAAGCUCCCGUAAAAGUGGCAAAUGAAGGAGUGCCAUUUGCAACGGUGGCAAUUACUUAAAUAUCCCCACGGAUGGUGGUUCCGUCACCCCAAACGGCGAUGGGCGUCCAGGAUCGAUGAUCAUAGAUCGCUCCGACGCCCAGUCGCUCACGGCUCACCCGGUGGAUGGCGGCGCCCACCAGCAGCCUGCCUGCUAGCCGGUUCUUCUCCCUCCCUUCUCUCGGGUACGAUUCUUUCGAACUUUCCAUCCCUCCCUCUCCCAUCACCUUGUCCAACUGCCCUCCGGUCUACUCACGUCCGAGUCCAACGACGGAUCUCCCUCUACGAUGAUCUAUUAGCUUUUGCUGCGAUCUGAUCUACUAUAAGCUUUGUUAAAUUGAUCGAUCUAUCACGGGAUCCCCUUCCGCAGAUCCGACUUAGAUGCAGAUCGCAGUCACGGUAAUGUCAGAAUAGGCUUCAUCUUCAGCACUAAUCUAGUGGCGUUAGUUACUCGCAUGGCUGUCUCCUCCCGGUUGGAAUUUGGGGCCUUUCAUUUAACCUGAUUCGGAUUUGGGACUUGGAAAUAUAGAGGGAUCAAAUCUUGGGAGCCAGCCUUUUGAAUGAAACGCCAUGUUUAGUCGCACCGGGUGCGCCCCACUUUUUGUUUCGACGGGAACGGUGGCACAUCCCAUUUGCACUUCACACCAUAGAUCUUACUACUGCUUGGUGAUUUGGGAUGAUGAGUUGUCUGUUGGUGCUUGCCUUUGGUGGCUGCUGGCUGGGUAGUUCUCACUGGAUAAAGUAGCAAAGUUUUACAUCAGUUUGAUAUGGUUGCUGCAAGCAUUGACUAAAUGUAGCAUAUAUGUUGCGUGCUAUUAGAUGUUUCCGGGUAUUAUCUUGCCUGUAAUUCUAUAUUCUUUACACAACUAGAUAGGUCUUUUGUCUGCAGGGCCACUCAUUGGCGUCCAUUCGUUUAUAAUGUAUCCCUUGAAUGCAGGAAUGGGUGUCAUGUUAGAGGAACUGUCAAUUUGGAACAAUUCAUCUCCACAUACUCUGUAUGUAUUGCAGGAAAAAUUUGUAAGUUUUUUGUGUUGCAGAGCUCUGCUGUCAUGUAUUGCUCAUCUACUCUGGUCCACAUACCACAAUUUUGAACUGUUGCUGGCAAUUCAUGCAUGUGCUUUAUUUUCUGGUGAGGUUAGUUCUAAUGUUCAUGUAUAUAUGCCCUUCAUCACAACCAUAUUUGUACUUUUGUAGUAUACAUUUUAUUUUACCUUUCGAAUGUCACUAAUCCGUAGCCUUGUGUGCUGGCUACUGUCUGAAUGCUGAUACCCAUAUCAGAAUUAGGAUGUGUUGGAAGACAACAGUGGUCAUAUAGCGAAGUGGAUAUCGCGUUAGAUUCCGAAUCUAAAAGUCGUGGGUUCGAAUCCCACUAUGAUCAUUGUCUUCAGGCUUUUUUUCAUGUUUCUUGUAUCUAUAUUUCUUUUUUCUUCAGACAGGGACAUUUUGGCGGCCACCACCAGAAAGUGUACAUGCUCUCUUGUGAACUGGUCCCAUAAGCCUGCUGUCUUUUGUGAGAAUUGUCACCUCAUAUGCACCGUGUCAUCUGCAUCCACUUGUAUAUGUAAAUACAUAAUUGCAUGAUAUUAUUCCAUAGCUUAUUCACUUGAUUUAUGUAACCUGCUGCCUGCUUGUAACUGGUGCCUUAUGGUUUUACUUUUUGUGAACUAUGGAAGAUGGGAGCUUUCCAUAAUUGGUAACUGGUUCACGUCUUCCUGAUGGCCCCAACGUUAUCUGAAACUUGUGGCUGGGUGUUGCUGUUCGUUCCUCAUCUGUUGGUACUUGGUACAGCAUUGCAACUGUGCAUUGCUCAUCUCAUUGUAAAAUCAAAUUCAGCACAGUUCAAUGCAAUUUAUACAUGAUAUUUACACAGGCCAGGUAUGAUUCAUAAUGUGAUGUCAGUUUCUUUACCAAUCUCUGCCGAUUGCUGUUCGGACUUCAGACUGAUUUUGCUACAACUUGAUUCCUGUUCGGACUUACUGAUUUUGCAUCGUUUAAGUGUUUGACAAGGCAGCUAUACGACAACAAAGGUUAAUACAGUUAAGCUGUACAGCUGCUGUGUAAAGUAACGGGUAAAACUUAAUAACUAUGUUAAGCCAUGCUUACACAGUUAAACUCGCACCAGAGCACCAGGAAAAGUGACUAAACUCACAUAACUAAUUAUCUGGACCAAAAACUGAUUCAGUACACAAACUAUUGCACGAUUUCAUAGAUAUGUUCUACCUAUUGAAAAUCCAGCUUGUUCGAAUAGCGCUCAACAGUUAGCUAACAUAAGUGGCGUCAGUUUAUACCAGGUUCACUACCAAAGUUAUGAUAAAAUUUAGCAUUUCAAGUUUAUCAACAUUGGUUGCCCAAGACACACGAUACAAUCGAAUCUUUAGAAUACGCGACCCGUCCCAGUGCAUUUCUGGAGACAAAACCACUAUCAACCAAUGGACAGACGCUAAGUGGAGAAUAUACAAGACGCUGGCAUCAGAUGAACAUUUGGAGAUCGACAGCAAAAUCUUGCGGCCUGACACUGACACGGGGUUAGAUUCCACAGUAUACCCAUUUUCUUCAGAGCAUUUCCUGUGAUUUCCGCACGAUGCGCCUAACCUUUUUCUUGAAGUCCUCCCUCUUCUCCCUCCACUCUUUCUGUGCAAUAAAUACAACAGGCAUACAUUCAGAAACAAAGAAAUGCACUUUGCAUCAUUGCAGUAACACAUGGUAGUCCCUAUGCAACAAACACAAAUACUCUGGAGCUGGCACUUGUGACUCGUUCCUGACCCCAACAACUGGUUGAUAUCUAGAUGAAGUAGUGGAUGGUGUGUAGGGGCAUGAGAUGUCCAAUGGAAUUAUGCGAAUAAUAAUUUCAUAAUGUUUCAGAAAGUACUACAAAAGUUUUUUUAUGACACUCAGCACUGAAUUUUUCAAUAGUGGACAUUAGAACAAAAUUUGUUCGAGAACAGCAAAGCACACAGCAUGAUUUUGAGAAUGCUGGACACCAAGACAACUUUGACCUCUCAGUGUUGUUGAUUUCCUUUUAAUACUGACACGAUAUCUUGCCAUAGUACAAAUAAAUCCUUAUCAUUUUAAAACACUGGCAUGAUUACUGAUUGAUGGCAACAAGGACAGUAGGAGACAAACAUGAAGUAUUUUGACAUCAUAGAGGCCCACAAGUAAAGGUCCAGUAAACGAAUCAGUAUAAAGUAAAUUGUCAGUUGAACUUACAGCUGCCUCAAUAUUUGCUGGAGACUCGUCAUUUGGACUAGAGAGCAUAGAAAUAAUGCUUAGAACUAUACUUUCAACCUACAAACAAAAAACAAUAAUCAACUCAACAAUUAGCAAAAGCAUACAUAAAAAUAUUCACUGCUGAAAGGAGCCUGCACUUUAUCACUCUACCUAGAGACCCAAUGAGAGUAUUCUCUAUCUAUCCAGUGGAAGCUAGCAACAAUUCUAGAAUUGUUCACCACACAGAAGAAUACAUGUCAAUAUAUUAUUAGUAAAGCAUCUGCCCGCAAGGCAAUCAGCAAAUGCAAUAAUCUCUCAAAGACCAGAUGAUGAAUCCCAAAAAAUAAGGAAUUCCCUAGCAAUAAGCACUCAUAAAGCAUCAAAUCAUAAUGAAAUUCAAAGAGUAUACAAAUCAGUCAGUGAACUUCUGAAUAUUGUUUUCGUGGUGUAUGGCAGUAAAUUUAACUAAUAAAGGCUUCCAUACGGAAUAAGUUAAUGGGUAUGGGAUGGUACUAAUACAGAACACAAAAUGAAAAUGGAGAAGGAAUAUUUUAGCACCGGAGACAUUGUGUACGAAGCCUUACUGUAUGCACAGGUGUCCAACGCUCACUGGCAAGCUCAUAGCCGUUGGGAUCUUCACCAGGUGGAUGAAGAAUAGAGAUACACACCCGCCCAUCAGGAUAAACUGCCAAUUGCCCAAAUAUUAUGCAUGAUGUCAGAAAUCAGAAUUACAGAUCAAGUAUAAAUAAAUGUGAGUUCACAGCAAUAAAGAGCUGACCAUUCGGAUGCCACAUUUCAGAUGUAAAUCUGACUGAUGGUGGGCUGUUCGGGUAAUUUUGAGGGAAGCUCAUUAUAGCAUUGAAGUACCCUCCAUCACUGCAAAAUGAAGGUUAAUAUUAGUGUGUUACUCAGAAGAUAAAUAAAAUACUUUUACAUGAUUGCAUCAAGAAACUUCAAAGACAAAUACAAGGCCAGCAAAUCAACAGUUUUAUCUUUAAGGUUUGUCAGUAGUUCAAAAAGCUUUAGCUGAGUUUAUUCAUUCAAGACUCAGAUCACAUGUUUUGUUUGAGAUUGAUGUGAUUAUCAAGUAAUGCAUUAAAGCUGGAAAUAUAUUGAUCACAACUAUCCAAACUCCUGAAGGUAUUUUUAGGUUCCAGUUAAAUUUUCCUUGCAGUGCACUAUUUCUUUGCAACAAAGUGAACAUAAACAUUUGGUACAAGAAACAAACACCUAACCUAAUAGCUCCACUGCUUGCUAGUCCAUUAGGCCAGUAUAGAACCGUGCUGCAAUAUACGUUAUGGUGAGUAGCCAGCCAGCAAGAAAACUGACACGUAUCACUACUCUAUCAAUGAUGCUGGACAACCAUCCGACCACUUGGUCAGGAUUUAUCAAAGAGAACAUACUUCAUGAUAAUUAUUCCAGUCUAAUAUUCAUGUUUAUUUGAUCACAGGCCAUCUUUUAAUGCCUAGCAUGAUUGCACUAGGUUUUAAGUCUAUGAUUUUGUUAUCAAUAUGAACUGAAUUUGAUCUUCAUAAAAUGUACCCAAAGUAAGCUAGCAUGUAUUUUAAGAAAUUUUAAACUAACAUCUCAAAUGUCCAAUUCCAUAUAACCAAUUUCAAAUAUGCAGCUGAAAAAGAAACUGAUAGACAAAAAAAAAACACAGCCACACUAGUUCAGAUUAUGUAGUGAUAUGUAUGGCCAUAAAUGACAAGUUGCUUUGCUACUUUCCAUGCUGAGCUAAUGGCAGGCUAUUCAAGAAACUCUCAAGUGUGCUGCAUGCUCUUCCAUACAAACCACAUCCUUACGUAUGAGAUAACAAUUAUCAAACAUAACAGAUGUUUGCAACUGUGCAUAACUACAUAUACACCAAACUCAUCUACCAACACUAGUGUUCUUUCAAAUUUAUAACUAUCAGACUAUCAGUUACUCAAGUGUUGUUUUAUGUGUGCAGAACUCCACAAAAUGGCAGGCAUACUUACAACAUGUGGCGAAUAUUCUAGUCCAUACUGUAUUUGAGUAAUUAGUAGUCAGUGUAUUUACUUCGAAUCUGUGUGUUUUCCCUCUACUUCCAACUCAUAUUUCAAAUCUGAACAGGAAGACGCAUUCUGCUAUAAAAAUUCUGCUCAGGCACCACUGCACCAUAUAGCUUGACAAAAUUGAAAUUCAGGUGGCACUACUCAUGCAAGUGCCACAAAGUCACUCAAUAUUGAAUCGCGGGAAACAAAGUGUUCCUGAAGAAUUUCUCCCAUCUAUCUUUUACAAACUCCAAAACAAACAUGCAGUUCCAUUUCACAGGAUGAUGUAGCUGAAGAACCCAUCCGAAACUACCAUGAGACCGUCCCCUGCAGCAUGCCAAUGGAGCCUAAUUCCCCCCAUUUUCAAAUAUGAAACCCAACCCAGCAGUACACACAAUUUAUCCCGGAACUGCUGUCCCCCUGGUAGGCAUAUGCAGACCCAAUUCUAGGUAUUGUACGACCACAUAUUCAGAAACCACAAAUUAGACGAUAAACAGAGCAACCCACACAAUACGAACCAAACAAAUUCGAUGGAACUUGGCACCAGCCAUGUAGCCAAGUUGUUGCACUACUAGCCUCCUAGGGGUAUGCCACCCGCUGCAACAAUCAACAUGCCAAGCAAAUUCAGCCGCACACCAGGCUCCGCUAGAAACGAAUCCUGGGGAAAGGUUCUCCGUCGCUGCUUCCGAGCCACAGAUGCACACUAAACACCAUAAUUCUCAUGGCACCAACACAGCGAACAAGGAAAUCCAUAGCGAUAAGCGAAAUGGAGAGAAAAUCCAACUCACUAUAGGGUGUCGGGCGGGCCGAUGAUGGUGACCUGCCACUCGAACACGUUGCUGUCGUCGACCAGCCCAGCCGAGAACCCAUCCACCGGGUGCUUCGCUAGAUCUGCGCCAAACAACACCAUACCGCAAAACCACAAAUCAGUCAGCCAAUCAAUCCGCAUGGCUAGAAAGAAAAAUCGAGCGGAAACAGAUGCAGGGAUAACUCAAGCGGUGCCGCACCUCUGAGCUGCUUCUGGAGGAGGAGGCUUGCCUGGCUGGUGGUGGCCGCCAUGGGAGGGGAUCGGCGGGCGGUGGCUGGGCUAGGUUUUUGCGGCGCGCGGAAUGAUUCGCGCUCUCGGUACGCGGUGACGCGAAUUGAUGGGCGCCGCUGGCGCCUUAUUUAUAGACGUGAGGCGGGGAGCUCGGAGAAGAUGGGAAUCGGGAAGUGGGGCGAGCGGUGUGGGGAAGGAGAACGAAGCGGUGGUUGACUGGUAGGGCGGCCGCUCUGCCUCUGCCUGUCUCUCUGCUGUCUGCUCUGCUACCCCGUGGCCAUGGGGUAUCGUAUUUAUUAUGACAAGGGGUCAAUUUGGAGCAAGAUUGUGACGUCAAUUUGGAUUUUUGAGUAAUUUCAAGUCUUUCAUACGAGGAUUUUUUUUAAAAAAAAUGCAUUUCAUACGAAUAUACUAGUACUGAUGUAAACCAUUUCUUAGAUAAAUUGACUACACGAGCCCUCGCAUUCGAACAUUUCGUCCUAGCCAUCCAGGUGGUUCAUCCUAUUUGUCAUUUUACGUAGUAUAAAAUGAAGACUACCAUUUGGAUUUGGCUCACAAGAACUCUACCGAAUCGAACCUGUUCCACGGUGCUCGUUAUUGGACGAAAUUAGUGCGGUCAUCGGGAAAGAAUCGGUGUCUCUGUCUAAAAAGGCCUAGGACAACAUAAACAUGUUUGCUCACGUGAGCACAAAUAGCAAAUAGUACCACUAAUGUCAGUGUCCGUUUCACGAAGAGUUUCAUGGGCACUAAAUUUUAUGUCAUAUACCAGUCAUUUUGCUGACUUGGUAAAGUUAUUUAUGAGGAGAGUUUCAUCAGAGGUGAGAGGAGUUCCAUUCCUGUGACAUUUCGCAACAAUUAUCUAGUUCUCAGUCUUGAUAACUGUACAAUAAACUGUACACUGAGAUUGGACUACUCAAAAUUUGCAUCGAAUGGUCUGCAUCCGAUCAUCUGAAUAGAAAAAUCACAAGCAUUCUAUGGCAACUACCCUAUGUUUGACUGGUGGGAACAGUCAGCUUCAGUCUAACAGAGGAGGAAUUGUAAGGGCCUGUUUGGCAACCAAGUGUUAAAGUUUAACACCCGUCACAUCGGAUGUUUGGAUGCUAAUUAAGAGUAUUAAACAUAGGCUAAUUAUAAAACUAAUUGCAUAGACGGAGUGUAAUUCGCGAGACGAAUCUAUUAAGCCUAAUUAGUCCAUGAUUUGAUAAUGUGGUGCUACAGUAAUCAUUUGCUAAUGAUGGAUUAAUUAGGCUUAAUAGAUUCGUCUCGCGAAUUAGCACAAGGUUCUGCAAUUAGUUUUAUAAUUAGCUCAUAUUUAGUUCUUCUAAUUAGCAUCCGAACAUCCGAUGUGACACUGUUAAAGUUUAACACCUCGUAUCCAAACACCCCCUAAAUCGUAACGCUUCCUGGGAGAAGGCUGACCCGAUUGGAAUCACCGCCCUGGAGCCGCCUCCGCGGAAUGGCCGACAUGCUGUUUUCUGCAUCAAAACAGGCAGAAAAAUCACAACGCGGAAUAAAGAAAGCACGCCGUCGACUAACGAAACGAUCCGGCCAUCGAACCUGCAUGCUUGGCCAUCCCCCGCGAUCGACGGCUUGUUUUUUAAUACAGAUCGCAGGAGCCUCACUUGGACAGUUGGACGCUGCCUUGUUCCUGGCCAGCCUUCACUACACACCGCAGCACAUCAUCGCUCGGCCAGUCGUCCAGCCAGGAAGGCUGCACGGCCGAGCGCCGGGCGGUGUCCUCCUCGUGGUCGUGGGCGCCGGACGCCACCGACGGCAACGCACGCGAGCCGGACGAGCGUUUCAAGCAAAUGGGCCGACAAAGGUGGCGUGGGUGCGUGGCUCCGCGCGCGCGGGGCAGGGCUCCCCACCCCGCCCGUCCGUUGCUUUGCCCACGCCGGCCAGCGCGAAAUGAUGGUCCGCCGGCCGCCGUGCCGUGCCGUGCCGCGCGUUCCCCCUCCCCUCCGCGCGGCAGACGCGUACGGGGAACGGAAGCUUCGGGGUCGAGAAUCGGCAACUUGCUCGCCCAACCAAGAGGAGCCCCCCACCCACGUCGUGCUCGCUCUCUCGUUGCGUUGCGCCGUUGCGUGCCUCGGCGAGCUGGUGAUGAGGAUGUUCCUUCUCCGUUAAGUUUGCGCACAUCAUCAUCAUUGCAGCCAGGGCGAACGCCUACGCCCAAUUUCCGCGUGGUUCUUUCUGAAACGACGUAAAUCGGGUGCUAGAGGUUCGGCAUCCAUCUAAUCUAUCAUAACUGACUUUGUUCCUCUAUCCACAAGUUCUUGCGGUGAUUCAGCCAGAGUCUUUCGAUGCAAGUAUGUCGACAGGAGUGCAUGCCGGUCACAGAAGCUCAUGACCAGCUCCCCUCCAACAGCAGUCACCGGCCGGCCAAAGCCUACUUGACUAUCCAUCCACUUUGGCACUUUACACGUUUCAGGCGGAUCUAUCCUACGCGCAGAGCGAAUGAUAUCUUCUAGGAGCACAAAAAGGACAACACUUUCGCAGCCUCAAAACGUGAGCCGCUGCACGUUACCAGAAACUACAAUUUCGGCAGCGAACGAUGGCAGCCGUCGGUUCCCACCGGAGAGGGCGACGGAUAACGAUCGGAACAUGCGCGGGUUCCGCUCCCGCCUGGUCGUAUCGUACGAGCGGGCAAAGUCGCACGCUUCCGGCCACCAAUAGUGCGGUCGACGACGACGCCGGUGGACCAUCGGAUGCCGCAGCGCAGAGGCAGAGAUCCUCCCUGCCCCAGCGAGGGUCGUUCACGCACACCGAAUCUAGCUGGGCGUCAAGGGGAAAAGCAGUCGUAUCUUUUAGUGCUCUUUAAUCAGCAGCCUCUGACCUGACCGCAUCGGUUGUCACUUGUCAGUGCCGGUAAAGGUACGAGCUCAGCUGGACAGGAUUAGGAUUUGGUGAGAGAAAUUUAGGUACCGUUUGGGUAUCCUCGCUAAAAUUUAGCACAUGUCAUAUCGGAUGUAUCCCUCGCUAAAAUUUACCACUUAUCAUAUCGGAUGUUCGGAUGCUAAUUAGAAGUAUUAAACAUAGAUUAAUUAUAAAAUUAAUUGCACAGAUGGAGUCUAAUUCACGAGACGAAUCUACUAAGCCUAAUUAGCCCAUGAUUUGAUAAUGUGAUGCUACAGUAACCAUUUGCUAAUGAUGGAUUAAUUAAGUUUGUCUCGCGAAUUAGCACAUGGGUUAUGCAAUUAGUUUUAUAAUUAGCUCAUAUUUAAUCCUUCUAAUUAGCAUCCGAACAUCUGAUGUGACACUGCUAAAGUUUAGCAUCUAAGUAUCCAAACACCCCCUUAAGCAUUUGGUUCUUUAGGAGCUCCUAAAAUUCCUGUCACAUCGAAUAUUUAGAUACUAAUUAGGAGCAUUAAACAUAGACUAAUUACAAAACCAAUUACAUAGAUGGAGGUUAAUUUGCGAGACGAAUUUUUUAAGCCUAAUUAGUCCAUGAUUUGACAAUGUAGUGCUACAAACAUGUGCUAAUGAUGGAUUAAUUAGGCUUAAUAGAUUCAUCUCAGGAAUUAGCCUCCAUCUGUGUAAUUAGUUUUAUAAUUAUCUCAUGUUUAUCCUCCUAAUUAGCCUUCGAAUAUUCGAUGUGAUAUGAAUUUUAGUCCGGACGAAAGAUCCAAACACCCCUUAACUUGGCAACGUCAUCUUGGUUGAACAGUGGACUGCCAUCGUAGGACCGACCGAUGCUGGUGUGCUCGCUUCGCGACAACGGAGGAGUCCACGGACCAAACGUAAUCACUGUUAUCUGAAACUAAUCCAGUGAUUGGGCAUCUGCAUAGCUCUGAUUUAAUUCUAUACUAUAUGCUUUUCUUCGUGGCUUGGGGCAGCGUUUGCGAAUCCCUCGACGAACUGCCUCUACCUGGAGGUAAGAAUAACCCAGGUGGGUGCUUGAGAGAUGUUCACACCUGGUAGUGACGAGCCGUGUGCCUGCAGCGGGAUGCCCCCGGCGAAAGCUUUUACCGGCAUCUUAUUGGUGAUGAUGACGACGACGCCCUUGGACGUCGUUUUACCUGUUGGGGAUGUCAUUGGAGCUCUACCCCUGCUAUACGGGGUUCUCUGGGUGAAAACCUUUGUGGACGAGCGACCGCCGCGCCAUAAGUGUCGUGCCCUCCUUGAAAGCGUCGUUUCUAGAGACCCAGCUAGGCUUCUGGCAAUACUGGUGACGCCAAUGGUCAUGGGAAGCUGACGCUGGGGGUGGCGAUCCCGCCGCGGCGGGCUUGCAGCGCGGCAAGGCGGCACGGUGCAGGAUGGCAAGCUUGGCGGGAGUUGCCGAGCUCACGUGGAGGCGAUCAUAGUUGUGGGGGUUGCCGCAUGUUUGUCGGGUUGGCUGCUUGCAGCGGAUCGCGAAGGCUGGUGCUGCUUAGCAGCUGUCGGUGCGGCGUGUGACUGCGUCGGAGGACGGCGCUUGCAGCAACGAUAUCGUGGGACGACUAGGCUUGCAGCAGCCUGCGACGGGUUGCUCAGCUUUGCUAGGCUACUCCGGUACAGUAUAUCGUCAGAAGACGACGCAAGUGACUUAUUUAGCUUGCUGGCACGGCAGCGAAGGCUAUGUGCGUGGAUUGUGGAACGAGGUGAAGUCGACCUGCGGCGGCAGCUUGGUUUAUCGGGGAAAGAUCCCCAGUACCCGCAAGGAAGAAGACGGACUCCUACUAUGAUUUCUCUGUAAUCCUACUGGUACUCAUACCAUGUAAUCCUAUUAGAACUCUUACUUAUAACAGACUAGUAAUCUCACCCCCUGGAGUAUAUAAAGGAGGGCAGGGGUACCUAGAUCGGUAGAACCACAACAGAGGAUCAAAUGCUCAACACCAAACAACACCCAAGCGUAGGGUGCAAUAUACAACACCCCAAAUAGGAUGUAGGGUAUUACGCAACUCUGACAGUCCCAACCAUUAUAAAUAUGUGUCUUGUGUCCUCGCUUUUACCAUCGAGUUUCAGGUCCGGCGAUCCCCCACGAACCAAUCUACUACCUCGGAAUACACCUUGGUAGAUUGUUGGGUAUAAAACAUCAACAUCUGGCGUGCCAAGUAGGGGUGAUCGUUGAGAUCAUCGGGCGAGUUUUAAGGACCUCAUCAUCAAGAUCAAUCUAGUCGAAUCGGCACGUUCGUUAUCCUAUGCUGACUAGCACGUAAGAUCGGCGAGUUGAUCUGCCUCAAACCGGUGGAUUUUGCAUCGUGGGCAUCGUUAAGUUCGAGAUGGAGUCUGAUCCAAUCAAAGCUUUGAGUACAAAUCGUCAUAACCAGUCAACAAAUCGAGGUCGAGCUGAUUAACGUGUCAGGUCCGAAAAGGAAUAAAUCUCACGGAGUACUAUAGCAUCUCUGAGUUAGUAUCGGUCAACACACACAAGGAUAAGGUGGAAUAACCUCUUCACGUUUCCGUUGGCUCCCGUGUGAAGGAAGGAAAUAUGUGGAAUUAUGCUACACACACAAAUGGGACACCACUAGAAGACUUCAAGUGCUUCAAGGCAACACCAAAAAUUGGCAAUGACGACUCGCCGACGAUUACUCAUCUCGACUAGAAAAUUAGUUGGGGUAGACUUCGUACCAUCGACAAUUAGUCCGAAUCGACUUCGACUAGUCGGCUUCAUCAACAACCGUCGCAGCUUGCUUCAUUGACAAUCGUCCACGAAUCAAACUAGUUACUUUUUUUAAUUAUUUUACAUAAUUUUUUGGCUUGUUUUCCACAUGCAGGGCAACGCGCCGACUGCUUAUUGGUGCAUGACUCUCAACGGAAAUUACCCUUCUGAGCUACACUUUGCCAAUUAUUCCUGUGGCAUGCUAACCGACAGCCACGGACUUAAUACACCGAAUUAUGGAGGCUAUUGCUACGGGUUUGGUGCACUAAGUUCCGAAAGCUCCGCCACAGGCUUGGUACACCGAAUUAGGAGGCUCUGCCACGAAAUUUGGUGCACUGAGUGCUGGAGACUCGCAGCGGCUAUAGCCUAAGGAGGCACAAAUCCUAUACGCAGCAACACGUGCUCUCCUUGCCAAAAAGAUAGAAAAGUCUCAAUGACUACUUUACGUGCAAUCGCACAUUCUUUUUGUCGCAAUGCUGACUAAUUAUUUUAAAUGUCUUCUCUUAGCAGUUGUUAAUCUACUCGUGCAGAACACGCUUUAAUUCGUGAAAGACUCGGAUCUUCUGUCAUGCUUAAAUACUAGGAUGCGUACACGAGACAAAGAUCUUAGACGCGUUGCAGCAGUGCCAAUACACGUACACGAGACAAAGAUCUUACAUGCAAUGGUAAUAGGUACAGGGACUGAGAGCCUUAACGUAAUAGACUAACUACUUAGGAGAAAUAUAGCCGAAACAAGAGCCUAACACAUAACAUUUACAUUCAUUACUGAAUAAAUUUCGGUAAUAUCUUCAAAAUUCUACAAACAUGCUACAUAAUAUAUGCAUAUCUUUUUGUAGGACAAGCUUCAGCGUCGACUUUUCAAGACGCUCAGCGUACCUCCAGUGGCUCUGCUAGCUCCCACGCUCAGGGACUAAGCACCAAUUACUACUCGGAAUAUUUCAAAUGGCUAAUCUAGCUUCCAAACUCGGGGGCUAAGAGCCAAAUAACUACUCGACGUGGCUCCUAUGGCUCACCUGGUGCAUAAGCUCGGGGGCUAGACGUCGCAAAAUUACUCAGAUGGCGAUUGGUGUGAAGACUAAAGCUCGCUAGACCCUUGAAUUGAAUAUUUAAUCAUUUCAAGGCUCGAGAGCUGAUAAGCUACACCCAACAAUUGAUUUUUUUCAAGAUGAAAAAAAAAGAUUCAAGAUUUUAUUGACCGUCAGACUGAUUCUUCAAUUCAAUCUCAGGCUCAAUGGCUACUCCAUAUGGAGUGCGACUUUUACCACCCUCGAUAUCACAUUCCAAAAAUGAAGAUUACAAAAUUAAGAUGAUCAAGGGCUUCAGCACAUCAUAACUCAUGAUAGAUUUGAAGAACUUUGAAGAUUCCGCUAGACAAAGUACUCGAAGAGUACCAAAACUACUCGGGAAGGAUCUGAAAAGUACUCAAAGGCUGCUACACUCGACUAUGAAGUGCUUGGGGGCUUGUCGGGGAUAGAACCCCAGUACCCGCAAGGAUGGAAGAAGACGGACUCCUACUUAGGAUUCCUCUGUAAUUGUACUAUGACUCAUACCAUGUAAUUCUACUAGGAGUCCUACCUCAUAACCGACUAGUAAUCCCACCCACUAUGGUAUAUAAAGGAGGGCAGGGGUACCUAGAUCGGCAGAACCACAACAGAGGACUAAAUCCUCAACACCAAACAACAUCCAAGUGCAUGACGCAAUCUACAACACCCCAAAAAGGACGUAGGGUAUUACGCUACUCAUGCGGUCCGAACCUGUAUAAAUAUGUGUCUUGUGUCCUCGCUUUUACCUUCGAGUUCCAGGUCCGGUGACCCCCAACCAACCAAUCUACUACCUCGGGAUACCCCUCGUUAGGUUGCCGGGUAUAAAACACCGACAUGGCUAUUUGAUGACCCUGGAAGCGAGGCAAUAUAGCUCACCAUUUUGACGACGACAAAAGAAAUGGAUCCGUGACAGAGAGUUUCUUCAAGGCGACGAGAGCGAGAUGGAGUCCAACGGUGGAUGUGGCGAGACCUCCGUGCAUUGUGUUUUCGUGGUGGCGACUACGAGGCAGCUUGCGAGAGGUCCGGAUCUGGUGGUAUCACUUUAUUGAGUGGAGUGUGAUGUUGCAGCAGCACUACGGCGAAGGAUCCUACAUGGCGGUGGCCUUGUCAAUGCGGUGCAGUCUGUUUUCUUGGUUUCCCCGUUGAGGAGGAGUCAUGCCUGAAGGUUCGGCGACUACAUGAGUGUAAGACUACCAGAGGUGCUGUGAGGCGGGCUUCGCGUGUGCGUCGUUGCGAGUCGUGUGGCGUGGUGUGCUCUGUUGCCGCUGUUUGAGUAGAGUGAUGCGAACGCGGUUAUAUCCCAAUCCAACUGGUUGGGUGUAGUGGUUUUGAGUCGCAUGCUUAUCCGGAUUGACGUUCCAAUCCAGCUGGACGAGUUAAGCUGUUUUUUUCGUUUCCUUUUCUUUUUCUUGCCUAUGGCCUUUUUCCUGCCGCACUCUUGUAUUUUUUCUGGUAUAUCAAUAGAAACUUACACUAUGCUUCGUUAAAAAAAAAGAGAAUACUGCACGGAUACUAUAAUAGUUCCAAUGGAAAAGGAAAAUGAGUUGUUCGGAAAAAAAAAAGGAAAGAAAAAGGCCCAGAGGAGGCGAGAGGCUCCGAAAAGGAGGAGAUGGCUUCGUACACAUACGCGGGCCUCUCAUCAAUUUGUUUAGCCCACCUAAAAUGGAUCCUUUUGAGCCACGGGCCACAGCACAACAACAAUGGGCCUCUUAGGUUCAGUGGUUGGAAUCCGGGCCUGUUAGGUUCAGUGGUUGGAGUCUGUUUCCUUGUUCGAUCUCGAAAGGAAAACAGUAGCAAACACUACACAUUCAAAAUAACUUAAGUACAUGCUCCAAAUGUAUACAAUUUUUGCUCAAUUUUUUUGAACUUACAGACUCGAUUUGAAAGUUUCCACAGUUUAAGAUGCUAAGGAAGUCCAUAGAUAUAAGAGAACUCUCAUCAUCCUCAAUGCAAUUUGUCAGAUAGGGACAUCUCUCCACCCAUUGAUCCUUCAAAAAAACUCUCCAAUCAUCAACUGAAAUGCUCACAUGCUUUGGAAUUGAAAACGCAAGUUGAAAGCGCAGGGAGGGAAACGGGAAGGAUGUAGAGGGAGAGCAGUCCAUUCCUACCCUUGUUUUUAGCUAAAGGGUGUUUAGAUACGAGGUGCUAAACUUUAGUCGAGUUCCAUCGGAUGUUCGGAUGUUAAUUAGGAUGGCUAAAUAUGAGCUAAUUAAAAAACUAAUUGCACAGAUGGAGUCUAAUUUGCGAGAUGAAUCUAUUAAGGCUAAUUAAUCCAUCAUUAGCAAAUGGUUACUGUAGCACCACAUUAUCAAAGUAUAAAUUAAUUAGGGUUAAUAGAUUCGUCUCGUGAAUUAGACUCCAUCGGUGCAAUUAGUUUGUAAUUAGACUAUGUUUAAUACUCCUAAUUAGUAUACAAACAUCUAAUGUGAUAGGUGAUAAAAUUUAACAACAGAUAUCCACCCCUAAAUCUCGUAACCCCAACAACUUCAAAUUCUAAGGCGCUCUUCCCACACAGCUGACACUGUUUCGUUUUGCUUAGGAUCGUGCUAUCUGUUCUUAUCCUCUUCCUAGGGACCACCCACGUUCGCUGUUUCGCCGAUAGGGGUGUUUGGGAGGAGGGGGCUAAAUUUUAGCCCCCGUCACAUCGAAUGUUUGGACACUAAUUAGGAGUAUUAAACUUAGAUUAAUUACAAAACUAAUUACACAACCCCUAGGCUAAAUCGCGAGACGAAUCUAUUAAGCCUAAUUAGUGCAUGAUUUGACAAUGUGGUGCUACAGUAACCAUUCACUAAUGAUGGAUUAAUUAGGCUCAAUAGAUUCGUCUCGCGAUUUAGCCUAGGGGUUCUGCAAUUAGUUUUGUAAUUAGCUUAUGUUUAGUCCUCUUAAUUAGUAUCCGAACAUCCGAUGUGACAGGGCUAAAGUUUAGCCUCCUCCUUCCAAACAGCAAAUUCUGCGUGCAGUCACCGCCGCUCCGGCCUUUCACUGCUUCCGAUGCUCUGCCUCGUAAGCUUUUUUGCUCUACCGUCAGCCACGGGGAGGAUGGACCAAGCUCAUCAUGCACCGGCUUGGUGAGUCUCGCGUGUUGAUCCAGAAGACGUUUAAAAAAAUAAUGAGAGAAAAAUGCAUGCAGAAUGCGUGCUAUAGCGAACGUUUUUUCCGGUGUCCAUCGGAGACACUUUGCCCUCAAACAAAACAACGUUUAGGGCUGCUAAACCUGAAAUGCAGGACCUGCCGCUGAUGAUAGUCCAACGUUCAAGUGUUAUAGACUCGGACAGAUGACAAAGUUGCCAGUCUCCGCCGUCUGUUGAUCCAGUGGAACUCAAAGCCUGUGAUAGACUCGGACCAGCGACGCGGCGGGCACCGGGCUGGUGCCACUGUGCCAAGACGCAGAGAAACAAACAAUUCCCAUGAUCCAAAAGGCAGAGAUAAAGCUGCGGGAAAAAAUGGAACGGGAAAGCGACAAGACGACUCCAGUUACCAGAAGCAGAGACAGGACGGCCGAAACAGCGGAAGGCCCAACAGUUCAGCACUCGAGUGGGGUGUUUGCGAGGCAGGGCUAAAACUUGAGUCCUGUGGCAUCGCCUGUUCGACACUAACCAGAAGUAUUAACUAGAGUAUUAAAGGUAAUUAUAAAAUUAAUUGCACAACAUUUAGACUAAAUCGCGAGACGAAUCUAUUAAGCUUAAUUAAUUCAAGCUUAAUAGAUUCAUCUCGCGAUUUAGUCUAGGGAUUCUGCUAUUAGUUUUGUAAUUAGCUUAUGUUUAAUCCUCCUAAUUAGCACCGAACAUCCGAUGUGACAGGGUUAAAGUUUAACCCCUGGUAUCCAAACGCCCACUAGCCGUGGGCGGAACUUCUGUGGGGUAUGGUUUCACAGUAGUAUAUGUCACAUCGAAUGUUUAGAUACUAAUUAGGAGUAUUAAAUAUAGAUUAAUUGCACAAAUGGAGGUUAAUUCGCGAGACGAAUCUAUGAAACCUAAUUAAUUCAUGAUUAGCCCAUAUUUACGGAAGUAUCACAUUAUCAAAUUAUGGACUAAUUAGGUUUAAUAAAUUCAUCUUGUGAAUUUAAUUUAGCCUCCCAAUUAGUUUUAUAAUUAAUUUAUAUUUAGAUUCGAUGUUAGAGGGACUAAACACCACUAGCCGCAAUGCACUCGAUCGGAGAUCCGGAGUUCUUCGUUCUACCAGUUUAGGUUUGAGUUUGCCUUGCAUUAGCAGUGUACGUGGUUUUCAACCAAAUCCACUUUAUUUGGAAAGAACCCAAUGCACUUCGACAGGUGAUUCAACAUCUGAACAUGCGCGAACGAUCAUUGCUGAUCUAAACCAAGUUUAUUUCAGACUGCAAACUGAGCAGUAAUGUCAUUACAUCAGUCUCAGGGCCAGAACGCACACACAUCCAACGGGCACGGUACCUACAGAGCACGACCAAACCAGUGAAACCACUGCUAACCAGGCACAGAAGCACGCACUAGACCACCACGCACACCGCAAAUCCUACUAGCGACACUUGCGACGGCGCGCGCGCGCGCGCCCACCCCUCAGAGCUCCGGUGCUCCGGAGCUCUGGUCAUCUAGUGGCAGAAAAUGACCUUGAGCUCGCGCGGCGCGGCGCAUUGGUGGGUGAGCGACGGGCUGUCGUGCGCGUAGGUGAAGGCCUGCGGGCACUCGCGCUUGAAGAACUCCGAGUACUUGGAGGCGCGGCAGGUGCGCGGGCUGUUGUACAUGUUGCGGCAGCACAGCUCGUCGGUGCGGAAGGCCUCGCACCCGCUCUUGCACGCGAGCACGGCCCCCGCCGGCGACCGCAGCUGGAGCUCGCCGGGGCAGGUCUGGGUGAGGUCCGUGCGGCAGGCGAGGACGGGGCAGUUGCCGCGGCCCUCGUGCGGGGUCACGGACAGGCCCACGUUGAAGCCGUCCACCACGCUCACCCCGUACGAGGCCUGGUCGUCGCCGCCGUGGUGGAGGUUCACCUGCGCAAGGGUCGUGGGAGCCGCGCCGCCGAGCCCGGCGCACUGGAGCCGACCGCCGCAGUCGCCCGUGGCGCAGUGGAGCUGCGCGCCGGCGCCAGUGCACCCCGUGCGAGCCCAGAUGCGGCCCGACCAGGGGUGGGACGGCGCCGGGAACGACUUGUGGGAGAGCGCUGGGAGGAAGAAGCCGCCGCCCUCCAGCACGUCGUGGCCGGAGUUGGCCUGGAUGCCCGGCCACACCGGGAAGGGGCAGUUGUUCACCACGGUCAGGGUCAUCGGGGCGUAGUCGGCGGCGGCCAGGAGGCCGCAGCCCAGGAGGGAGGUGGCGAGCAGGAGCAGGAGCUUGGGAGAAGCCAUGGUUUGUUGGUUGGGUUGCUGAGCACGAGCAGGUUGUGACUAGUGGCCGACUGGCCGUGGCAAGUGAGGACUCUGGGUGUUUUAGGUGGUUUUAUAGGGACGUGGAGUGGUCUUGAGUCUCGCUCGAGUGGGCGUCGUGGGUUUCGGGUCGGGCCAUGGUGAACUGGUGCGGGUGUGUCUGUGUCUCGAUGCAUCGUCUGCUUUGCAUUUUCAGUCGACACCCUCCAUUCCUCCAACAAAGAUGAACGAACGGUUCACUUGUUUUUCACCGCAAGAAUGCGUUUUUGAAUAUUUGUAUCAUGUGAGCAAUACAGUACAGACCUAAAGGAUUCUCACCGGAAUCUGGUCAUGAUUCUGGCUGGAGUCGCAUCAAGCAUCAUCAUGUAGCUGAACACUUUGUCCACUGGGAAAAAUGUCUUCCCAGAAUUGAUUCAGUCAGAACCAUUUCAAGUUUGGCGCCAAGGCUUAUUGGCUUCUACGACGAGUUCAAAUUUGUUACAAAAAACUAGAGUGUUCACCUGCUCAAGACACUAAUACAAUGUUCGUACUAUAUACUAGCAGUAGUACAGUAGUGAUUGAUUAUCAAAGUUAUGUUUCAAAGAUUGAGAUAAUAAUGUUUCAAACUACGCUUAUCCGUUCUGAUAGCCUCGACGACAAUCAUGCUUGGCAAUUGUCCCGAUGACAAUGAGCUUAUCUUCGCGGUCUUGUUACCUCGGGGCCAACGUCAUGUCAGUUCUCAAAAGCUACUACUGCCUUGAACUCACUUUCCCAAAGCAGCUUUAGAAAACAAGCAAAAGGGUAUCGCCUCACACCAUUUUAUAGUUCUGCUUUUGGAUUUAUCAAUAACUUGACCGAUACUGUAAUUUCCCCUGAAUGACACCUGCUACCUUAGCUAUGUUUGUAGCUGAAACGGUAAUCCUUCAGAAGUAAGGAAGCCAGCCAGGAUGGCUCUCGAAUACCGACGGUAGCGGCUGGCUGCAUGUGCCAGCGCACACGAUGUGCUUUGUCAAUGUGGUCAAAUGGCAAUGCCAUUCAGGGUUCUCAUCCUCUUCUCCUGCGUCCUGCCUUUCUCCUGAUCGUGGAAAGCAGCAAACCCUGGCCUGUGCUCCGUGGAUAAGCACAUGCCGCCAGACAUAGCACGAGCUCCACAGAGGCGCAGUCGGGCAGGGCAGGCAUCGGAGGGCUGGGAGAGGCGCGCACGGGGCACGGUUCCUGUGGUGCGACCCAGCAGGCCAGCAGCGGCGGCUUUUAGCUUUUAGCAUCGUUGGAUCGCUGAAAGCCUGGCCCCAGCGCUGCCGUUUCGUGCAGCGGGGAAGCGAAUCCUGCCACCGCCGAGGGCCCCGCUCUUGCGCAUCGUACACGGAUGUUAUCAUGACGUGAAGCCUGCUGCAUCGCGAAUGCGGCUUUGUUCGCUUCCUUUUUUUCAGUUCUCGCCGCUCCGCGCUGAGCCGCCGGUUGCUGGCCACAGCCAGCCACGCCACAACCUGUGGCGGCUGUGGCGGUCUGAAUCGGCGCCACAGCUUGUAGCGUGGUCAGCUGUGGCUGCCGACUAAACAGGGACGACGAUAUCCGUGUCCUCGUGUUACCAUCAGCAAGUCCCGACCUUGCCGCCGUGACUAGUCAUCCCUGCCGCCGGGCGCCGGCGGCGAGCGCCGGAGCAACCAGACCAGGGGCGGCCGCUGAGGCAACGCGGCACGCCGGGAGGCGGCUACGGGCGUCAGCGAGGUAAUGGGCUCAGGGAACUAGGCCUUCUCCUGGCGCGGCCCAAACCAACGCUCCUGCUCCAGCCCGACAGGUCCGAAUGUCCGAUCCUAACCGCGCAGAUUCCAUCGUACGGCUGAAAAGCACUCCGGCUCGGACGGUAAAUGAAAUGCCGUCCUUCCUGGACGGUAAAGGAGAUACCGUCCGCCCCCUGGAUCGGGGGGGACGCCCGCGCACGCGGCCGCGGCACGGCGACGGCGCCCGCGCCGGCGUGGCGUCCUCCUCUCCUCCGCGCACGGCUCGCAGAUACCCUUGCGUCCGGUAUUCUUUCCUCGUAUUUGCGUCUCUGCAAGCGACUUCGUCGUGGGCGGUGCUGCCCGUGCGCUGCUAGCUGGGUCGCCAUCGCCGGCCGGUUCCUGCCAGCGGCGUCCUCGUGCUCCUCUGCAUCGUCGGGCCAGCCGGCGGCGUGGGCAAUGCGGACUAGUCCCUCCCUUCCCCUUGGGAAGUAUCCGUCUCCAGCCACUGUGCAGGAGCUGCGUCUCUCGGAACGCUACCUAUCUAGUGAAUGUUGUCUGUGGAGGUCACUUUGGCUUUGAGCCUUUGAUCGUCCACGUCGAGGAUUCCCCUACUAAUCAGCACGCUUACCAUGUGUCUAUCAGUCCAUGUCCGAUCUGGUCAGAUAAUGCGUAUGCGUUGCGUAGCGUAGCUCACCCGUCGAUGUAAAAACGUAAUCAUGGCAGCUAAUAACACGGAGUAACAAAAUCAACAAGCAAGAUGUCAGUACUGGCGACUAGACAUAACUAUAGGGGAACACAAAAAUAUGCAAUGUCAUGUGUUAACUCUCCCCUGAUUCGUUAAUAAGCUCAAAUUUCGUACAGGUUAUCAUAGUACUUUCUCUUGUAGGACUCUUGGUGGCAAGAAACGUGAUGGUGAGUCGCCAGCAUGUGCUUGAAGAAGAGGAAACAAGCAUCCCUUGAUGCGCGGCUGUCGAGGCAGAGGACCUCCCGUUGCUUCCUCACCAAAUCUGGGCUGGGAGGUCUAAUGCCAAAUGGGCGCGUCUCGACAUGAUCCAUGCAGUGGAAUUCCAGCGUCUUGAGGAACCUGCUGUUCCCGUGAAGGAACUUGGCCAUCUGCCGCUGCCACCCGUGCCCCGAGUAAUCCUGGAACACCACUCUCUCGAGGUGGUUGUGGACGCAAGGUGCGAGCCUCAGGUCGUCCCAUGACGCUGCGGCGUCUUGGUUCACGGACCAAUCUUCGGGCUGUACUAAACAACGGUAUCCCUAAAAAGAAACAGUAAACAACAGAUAAAAUCAUUCAUUAAUGCCUUUUGCAAAAAAAUAAAAUAAAAAAAUCAUGAACGCUGUAGAUAA